UUUUUUUUUUUUGUUUCUUUUACAAUAUCUGCUUACGGUUUUACAACAAUCCCCCACAUAUUGCAAAAGAUAAAACAUAGAGAUAAAGAAAGAAAAAAUAAUUAUGGGUUCAUCUAAGAUGUAUUGCAUCAGAGCUGGUAUAGCAAGCUAUAUGAACCAAUCUUAGAUUGAUGAACUUAACACAUAAUGUAGUUGGAAUAGCAAAUUAUAUGAACCAAGACAUUUAGUAUGUGUUAGAGGUUUAUCAAUCACAAUAGACCCCCACAUUACUUGCGGUUAUCGUUGUGUUGCGCUAGGCCAUGCGCGUGCCCGAUAUUCAUGAGUGUAGUAGAGAUCUUGCCAAGAUCUCAUACAAGAGGCCCCACUUGACACUCAUAUAGGUGAUUUCAUCAAGUAUAUGUUGCAAAUCAUACACCACCCAUAAGGGAUAUGAAAAUCAUUAAAAACUUUGUAAAUCGUUAAAGCUCUUUUACCUCAAAAUUUUAACCACAAAGUUUAUCCUCUCGAUAAUGCAGUAUCUAGCACUUUCACACACACCAUAGGAAUGGACAAAUUCAUUUUAAAUCAAUAUUAGUGCUAGCAGAACUAACAAGUGACUUAUUUUUACCCAUAUGAACCUUAUUCAUGGGAUCUCCAAUCACAAAGGUUGGGUUUCCAUCACUUGUUUGUUUGCAAGUGGCUUAAGUCUCAUUCCCCUCGAUGUUAUUAAAAUCAUUUUUCUCCCUAGAGGUUUAGUUAGAGGAGCUGCCAAAUUCCGUUUUGACUUGACAUAGUCAAUAGAAAAUCGUUCCACUCUUUAACAGUUGUUUCACCAAAUUAUGUCUCAAUUGUAUAUGUCUAUUCUUUCCAUUGUAACUUUUAUUUUUAGCUAUAGCUAUUGCCGAUUGGAAAUCACAACGCAUUGAUACAAACGGGGUUGGUUUCAUUCCUAACGGAAUGUUUGCUAAGAAGUUUUUCAAUCACUCAACUUCACUACCAGCCAUCUCAAGAGCAGCAAACUCAUAUUCCAUUGUUGAUCUUGCAAUAAUAGUUUGUCUGGUUGAUCUCCAUGUAACUACACCACCCCCAAGUGUAAAUACAUAACCACUAGUGGAUUUUGUCUCAUCUGAAUCAAAGAUCCAAUUAGCAUCAUUGUACCCUUCUAUCACAAUGGGAAAUCCACUAUAUUCAAUGGCAUAAUCCAUUGUACCUCUAAGUAUUUCAUGAGUCUCGCAAGCGCAUCCCAAUGAUCCUGACUAGGACAUUGAGUGUACCUACUCAGUCUACCUAGUGCAUAAGCAAUAUCUGGUCUAUAAAAGCUCAUUAAAUGCAAUAAGCUCCCAAUUAUCUAGGCAUACUUAGUUUGAGAAAUAGAUUCUCCUCUGCUCUUCUUUAAUUUAGAGUUAACAUCAUAAGAUGUGCUCACUGACUUAAAGUCAUAAUAACCAAACUUCUUAAGAAGUUUCUCAGUGUAUUUUUCUUGGGAUAGUAAUAUACUAUCUCCCUUCCUUAUGAUUUUAAUCACACUUGCUUCACCCAUGUCUUAUCUGAAACUUAGAUCCAAGAAACAAUUUUGUUUUAAAAACAAUAUCAUUGCAUGUACCACAAAUUAACAUGUCAUCCACAUACAAACAUAUAAUGACACAUUCACCAUUUUCAGUUCUAGAAUACACACAUUUAUCAGCAUCAUUGGUAGAAAAACCUUCACAAAGUAAAAUAUUAUCAAGUUUUUCAUGUCAUUGUUUUGGUACUUGUUUCAAACCAUAUAAAGAUUUUAAAAGCUUACAUACUUUUUCCUUUUGACUUGGAACUACACAUCCUUCAGGUUGAGUCAUAUAAAUUUCCUCUUCUAGUUCACCAUUCAGAAAGGUUGUUUUAACAUCCAUUUGGUGAAUUACUAACUUAUGGAUAGAUGUUAAGGCUAGCAACACACGGAUAGAUGAAAUCCUAGUAACAGGUGCAAAAGUAUCAAAGUAAUAUAUGUUAUGUUUUUUAGUAAAACCUUUAGCUACUAAUCUUGCCUUAUAUUUCUCUAUGGAUCCAUUGAGAUGGUACUUCUUCUUAAAGAUCCACUUACAACCAAUGGAUUUUGCUCCUUUAGGCAGAUCUACUAAGGUCCACAUAUUAUUUUUCUUAAUUGAAUCAAGCUCAUUUUUAAUGGCCUUAUCCCAAUGUUUAGCAUCAGGAGCACUAAUAGCUUCUAAAAAACUUAUUGGAUCAUUUUCAAUUAUAUCACUAUUAAGAACUAAAAACCUAUAGGCAACACUAUGUUCCGCAUAUCCUAAGAACAUGCAAUCAGAUGUUUUAGAGUCUAUUUUCCUUUUCUUAGGAUCAGGUAACAUCAAUUUAGCUAAACACCCUCACACUCUUAGGUAUUUCAGAUUAGGUUGAUAACCUUUCCACAACUCAUAGGGUGUUUUACUAGUUUUCAUAUGUUUUGCAAAAAAACUUGCGGUAAGCAGAGAUUCACCCCAUAAAUUAUCAGGAGCAUUAGAACUAAUAAGCAUGAGAUUCAUCAUUUCUUUAAGAGUCAUAUUUUUUCUUUCAGCUACUCCAUUAGAUUUAGGUGAAUAUGGUGGGGUUACUUCAUGAAUAAUGCCUUAUUUAACACAAUAAUCAUUAAAUAAAACAUAUUCCCCACCUCUAUCUGAUUUAAUUCUUUUAAUUUUCUUAUUCAAUUGAUUUUCGUACUUCUGCUUUAUAAGUUAAGAACAUGUCAAAAGUUUCAUCUUUAUGUUUAAUUAAAUACACUUUGGUGUAUCUAGAAAAAUCAUCUGUAAAAGUUACAAAAUAAUUUUUAUCACCUCUAGACAUGAUUUGUUUUAAGUCUAUGAGAUCGGUAUGAAUUAAACUAAGAAGUUUAGUUUGACAUUCUACAAAAUGACAUGUUUUCUUCGUUAUUUUAGAUUCUACACAUAUAUCACAUUUACUAUUUUGUUUGUCAUGCAUGUUGAUUAAUCAUAGUCGUUGCAAUUUCAUAACAUACGAAAAAUUCACAUGUCAUAAUCUAGCAUGCCAUAUAUCAUACGAAUCAACAAUAUAAGCAGAAGAUUCAUAUUCAUUAAUAACUUCAGAAAUGUUCAAUACAAAAAGACCUUGAUCACAAUAUCCCUUCCCCACAAAACAUUGUUUUUUUGUCAUAACAAUCUUGUCAGAUUCAAAUGACACUUUAACCCCAACUUUGCUUAGCAUUGCCACAGAGAUCAAAUUAACUCUAAUUGAUGACACAUGUACCACAUCACUCAAAGCCAGAGUUUUACCAUAUGUGAGCUUCAGAAGAACCUUUCCUUUUCCUAGGAUAGGAGUUGUCCUGGAGUCACCGAGAUAAACUUGUUCUUCUCCAUCCCCCAUACUUGUGUAGGAGGUAAACACAUUUUUGUUUGCACAGAUGUGUCUGGUAGCCCCAGAGUCUAUCACCCAUUUGCUCACAUUUGUCACAAGAUUUACUUGUGAAACGAAUGCCACAAUUGUAUCUUCCCCUUCAACUAUAUUUGUCUUAGGAGGAUAGUCGUUUUUGGUCCUAUGUCUACCCUGAGGUGCAUGAUGACCUAGCUUUCCAUAGACAAAGCAGUUACCAUUUUUCUUGAAAGUGGGGUUAGUUUCAUUGGGACAAGAGAAUUUAUUAUUAUAUUUCUUUUUGUGAUCAGAUUUUUUCUUGUACCUUUUUGGAGCUGGUUUGUCUUCUAUCACGUUUGCUUUAGCAGACAAAGCUUUGGCCUUUGCAACAACACACUCCUUCUUGUUUGUGUCUUCGAUGAUGAUGUGGGUGAUCAGAUCUGAUAGUGACAUCUGUUUGUGUCAAUGCUUCAGUUGUUGUUUGUAAUUCGUCCAAGAUUGUGGAAGCUUUUCGAUCAAGAGUUCAGACACGAAUUCAUUCGGCACGGCUAUGUUUUCAGCUUUGAUAUCUUCAAGCAGCUUGUGAUAUUCGUUUAUCUAGAUUUUGAUGUCUUUGCCUUCGAUCAUCUCCCAGCGGUAGUAGUUUCAGAAUCACGAAUUUUUAUCUGAUGACGUCUUCGACAAUAUAUUUGAGGAUAAGGAAUCCCAAAUAUCUUUUGCUUCCUUGUAAGAAGCAUAGACAUCGAACAAAUCAUUAAAUAACGCACUGAGUAGGGUGUGACGACAUACCUUAUUUGCAUGAAUCCAAUCAUCAACUUGUUUCGCAGCUGUGCUUGAGUCUGGUUUAGAAGUUGUAAGUGCAAAAACGACUUCGUACAUGUCCAAAAAGGGUGGACACACGUUCUUGCCAACGUUGGAAAUUUUGAGCGGUGAAGACUUCAAUUUUUGAGACAUACGGAAAUGGUUUCACACGUUCUUUUGUCCGUCUUGUCAGCCAUAAGUCCUUACGAUUGUAGUCAAUGAGGCUUCAAAAGACUAACAAAAUUGAUUUUCCCGAGGCAUGAGCGAUCACUGUCCGUAAGAACUUAUCCACGGUGUAUUGCGCAAGUCCCUCAAGAUACAACAGGAACUCCCCGAAAAAUUCUGAGGAUCAGAACUAGCAAGUUACUCUUAAAAGAGUAAGAACCCAAUAAAACCCAGAAAAAUAUUUAUAAUAAAAUAAAUGAAUAAAGAGUGAAGGGGAAGAGAGAAAGUGAGGAAGAAAGGAAGCGUAAAGUUGUGUGUGAAAGUGAGAAUGAAACCCCUCUUUAUAUAGGGAGAGGAAUCAAAGAUAUUUUGCAUCUCCACAACAAAAUUCACUUUGUUGUUGCACUUUCAAAACUGAAUUUGAUUUUUCUUUGACAACGUUCUCCAUAUUUCCGUAAGACCAGGAUCAAGCAACAUGAGUUUACAAACUGUUUUUCUGUUUAUUUUGCAAUAUCCGUUUAUGGUUUUACAAUAAAUAGUUCUCUCAAUCUCUUUUCAGACAAGAACACCAUACAAUAUAAUAGUCUUUGUUUUUAAUCUAUAAACACCUUCUAAAUGAAUUUCAACCGAAGGUUUAUAAUUUUGAAUGAAAAUGUAUUCGUAAAAGACUAUCCAAUAAUUAAAUUAGUAAAACUUUUAUGGUAUAAUCCAUGCUUUUUAAAAGAUACUACUUUCUCUCUAUCAUUUAAAAAUUUAAAAAUCAUAAGUAAUUUUUACUUGCUUGACAUGGUUGGUAAAUUUUUUCCUGCUUGAUAUAUUUUUUAUUUCCUUAAUCAAUUUUCCUAAAAUACUAACCAGAAAAUUGACAAUAAGUCCUAGUGAACAUCUUACAUCAAUAACUGUUCAACCAAAGUAAGAAAUGUCAUAAAGUAUUAACCCGUGAAAUUUUACAAACAUGAAAUGUUUAAGGAUUUUCCAAUUUAAAAUCGGUUGAUUUCAUAUGCCACCGAAAAUUAUUUGGGCUUUUUCUUUUGAUCCAAUUGUUUUACCCUUAGCAUUCAGAAAGACGCGAAAAUUAAGCAUAAAUUUAAAAAGUUAAUACAAAAUAUCAAUUGAUUAUAUAUAUAAACUCAUUUUUUAUUAUUUAAUAUUUUAAUUACUUUUUAUCUCAAGUCUCAUCAUUCAAUGAAUUUAUUUUAUAUAUAAAUGACAUUUGCAAGAUAAUUAUAAAAUAAAAUUAUAGAUAACACUAUUGAUAACUAUACCUGUGUGGAUGUCAGGGCCAGAGUAAUACUGAUCCACGUUGAUACACAAUUGUUGUCGUGUCAGCAGCUACCUAAUCCUUCAAGUCCUUCCUCCUUCGCGUGCGUGCUCGUCCGGUCGGCGGGGUACCUGCAAUUGCACUCUGACGCUCAAGUUAGUUAGUGCUAGUGUUUUGUCUAGUCUCUCAGGAUAUCAUAAAAAAACAUACAUUUUCCCCCUUUCAGAAGUCCCUUUAAUAAGUUGACUUGGGCUUUUUCUUGUGGGCCAGGUAACCGGUUGUCAAAGACAUGCGUAGUGGUCCUUAGGUCAUGUGUAGUGGUUUCCUGAUAUUAAGGAAGUGCUUCUCGAAGUGUCUCUGACUUAUUCAACGCUAGUUGUAACCGUUUCCUUACUACGUAUUUACUAUAUUAUAUUAUUUAAUGUGUAGCCUCGGUCGUCCGGGGUCGACCGGUACAAUAACAAAUGUUAGAGCCAAGUUAUGAAGAAGGAGAAUAAUAAGCCCAAUUUAGUGGAAACGAAACUUUAAGAUUAGGGGAUUUCUUUUAGCAACCCAUGGUUUUUUCCUGCACCUCCAUCGAAUGUCCCUUCAAUUGUGUCUUUUUAUGCUCCUAUCUUGAAUGAAUUUUUUUUUUAUCCUUAAGAGUAAUUUAUGAAUUCUGUAAUCUAAAAGUCAAUCUUAAAUUAUAUAAUUUAUUUUUUUUCAUAUAAAAAUAUUAAAUUAUGUAAUUUAAAAGUAAAAAAUAACUUUAAGAUUGUACAAUCCAAAAUAAAAAAUAACUUUAAAAUUAUGUAAUCUAAAAGUUUUUUUUUAAAUACAAAAUAACUUUUAAAUUAUGUAAUUUAUAAGUUAAAAGUACAUUGAAGAUUAGCCAAUCUAAAAGCUUUUUGCACAAAAAAUAUGACUUUCAGAUUGUGCAGAGAGGAAGCUUUUGACUUUUGGAUUUCACAAUCCAAAAAGUUCUUAAACUACAAAAUUAAAAAAAGAAAAUUGAACAAAAAGAUAAAGUGAUGACUUUUAUAUUUAUAGGGUGCAAAAAGAUAUCUCUUAAGAACAACAUCCCUACAACACAACAAAAGAUAAAGGCCCAAAUUUAAUGAAAAUGACAUUAUCGUGACUCUUUCUUCCUGCACCUCCAUAGGUUCUUCUGCCACCCCAUACCCAAUACGAAAAUACUUUUUCAAUCUUCUUGUGCCACCCUCAUAGAGUAGCUUCCGGAUUAUGUAAUCUGGACACACAUUUGAAAAAAGACUUCUGGAUUAUGUAAUCCAUAAGCUAAAAAAGACUUCCGGAUUACAUAAUUUAGAAACUAAUCAUGCAUAUGAAAAAAAGCUUUCGAAUUAUUUAAUCUGGAAACUAAUUACAAAUUUAAAAAAAGACUUUCUGAUUACAUAAUCCAGAUUAUUUUUAAAAGUAUAAAAAUGUAUGGAGGUGGGAGAAGAAUAUAUGGAGUUGCAGGAAGAAACAGCCCAUUAUCGUAUUAUCGUUGAGUUCCCUCACUUGAAAGGAAUUGACGGUGAUGAAAAUAGACCAUUGGUGGAAUUGAAAUGGUGAUGAAGGAACACGAGAAAGUGUGGAAGGAGGUACGCGAGAAAGAGAAAGUGUUAAUCUUAACAUAGUUUUGUGAUUUUUUUUUACUUUUCCAAUUGUUUAAUCUGAAAAAUUUCCGGAUCGCUCAAUUCUUGAUGUUUCUAGAUUAGAAAUUCAAAAGUGAGAAAUUGUUGUUUAUGCACUAUUUUGGACAGGUCAUCUCAAAACACCUUUUUGUUUUAUUUUAAAAUUUGUAACAUGUUUUUGAAUUACAAAUUCUAGAAACAUACUUAAGAUUGGAUAAUCCACAAAAACAUAUCAUAUGUUCUGAAACACUUAUACUAAAAAACUCUUUCCAAAUUUUUUUUUUGUAAUAGAUAAUUCUAAAGUUACCAUUGAAAUAUUAUGAAAGGCAGGAAGAAGCUCAUUACUUAUCCUUAGAAGGCUACACCACUUGUGUGUAUUUUUGUGAUUGCUUUAACCAAAGUCUCGAAAGACUUGUUUAAUGCUCAUCCUAUGUUAUUCAAUAGUUUUUUUUUUUAAUAUAAGAAUAAAAAACGUGAAUAUUGUACAUGAGGAUGAGGAGCUUGGGAGAGUUGUAUGAAAUUAAGGUUGGAAAAAAUUUAAAUUGUGAAAUUUAAUUCAUAAUUAUCCAAACUCAUAUUAUUUUUAAGUUAUUUAAAUAGAUUUAUUUCAAAUCUAAAUUUAUAUUUUUGAAUUUUAAGUUCAAUCCAUUUAAUUGGAAUAUGGCUUAGAUAUAUAUUUGAUAUAUUUUUGGAUUAUCCAAAGUUGGAUUUUGAGUUGGUUUGGACCUAAGUUUAGCUAAGUUAACCCAGGCCAUGGUCGAGCUAAGUCGACCCGAACCAAGGUCCAGCUGAGUUUAUCCGGGCCUAGGUUGAGUCGAAUCGCUCGAACCUUGAUCGAGCCAAGAUGACACGGGACCAGAUCAAGUCGAGUCGACCCGAACUCAAGUCGAGUUGAGUUGACCCAAGCCGGGAUCAAGCCCAAAUUGAGUUAAGUCGACUUGAGCCCGAAUCGAGACCAGUCGAUCUGAGCCCAUGUCGAGUGGAGUUGGCCUGAACUCAAGUUGAUUGAAUUCACCCGAACCCAGGAAGCGACUUGUCGGCCUGUGCAUAGUUUGAGCCGAGUCGAGUCGGCCCGAACUAAAGUCAAGUCAAGUCAAGCCAGCCCAGGCUAGUCGAACUGAGUCAGCCUGGUACCUGGUCGAGUCAGCCCAGAUCCAAACAGAGUGAGUUGACCAAGGUCCAGGUUGAGCUGAGUCGGCUUGGUACCUGGUCCAGUCGGCCCAAGUUCAGGCAGAGCGAGUUGGCCAAGGUUCAGGUCAAGCCGAGUCGGCCCGGGCCAAGGUCGAGCCGAGUCAGCUUGGACCCAUGUUGAGCCAAGUUGUUCCAAGCCCAGGUCGAGCUGGAUCGACCCGAGUCAGCUUGGCCCAAGUCAGCCUAAACCCAUAUCGAGCCAAGUCGACUCAAGCCCAUGUCGAGUCGAGCCGUCCUAGGUCUAUGUCGAGCCGAGUUGACCCAAACCCAUGUCGGGCUGAGUUGACCCAAACCCAGAUCAGGCUAAGUUGACCCGAGCCCAUGUCGAGCCGACACCAUCCGAGUCCAUGUCGAGUUGGCCUGGGUCAUGUCGAGCCGAAUUGGUUUGGGACCAUGUCGAGCCAAAUGGGUCCUGGGCGAUGUCAAGUCGAGUGGGCCCGGGGCUAUAUUGAGUCGAGUGGGUACGGGGCCAUGUCGAGCCGAGUCGGCCUGAGUCAGGUCGAGCUCAGUCGACCCAGACCCAGGUCGAGCUCAGUCGACCCAGACCCAAGUCGAGCUCAGUCGCCUGAUACUUGGUCAAUUCGGCCUGAGCUUAAGCGAAGUCUGCUUGAGCUUAGGUCAAGCUAAGUCAGCCUGAGCUUAGGUUGAUACAAAUCGGCCCUAGCCCAUAUCAAGCUGAUUGCCCUAGGGUCCAUGUGGAGUCGAGGGACUAGGUCGAGCCGAGUUGGUCUGGGCUCAGGUCGAGUCGAUUCGGUCUGAAGCCAGGUCGAGUUGAGUGAGCUCGAGCCCUGGUCGAGUCAAGUGGGCUCAGGGCCAUGUUGAGUUGAGUGGGCUCGGGGCCAUGUCAAGUUGAGGGGGCUUGGGGCCAUGUCGAGCGAGUGGGUCUGGGACCCUGUUGAGCUGAGUGGUCCUGGGGCCAUGUUAAGUCGAGUGGGCUCGAGCCCAUGUUGAGCUGAGUCGGCCUGGUACCAGGUCGAGUUGACCCCGACCCAUAUCGAGUCCAGUCAGCCUGGUACUAGGUCGAGCAUACUCGAAUCGGGUGCAGGUCGAGCCGAGACGGUCUGAAUCCAAGUCGAGCCGAGUUGGUUUGGGUUUGGGUCUAGCCAAGUCGGUCUGGGUCCAGGUCGGCUAAGUCAAUCCAUGUUUAGAUUAAGAUGGAUUUAAUCUAUUUAAAUGGAUUUGAAAAAUUCAAAUAAAUAUGAUUUAGUUAAAAUUGAUAAGGAUUUUCAAUCCAAUCCAUUUUAUUGAAUGUGGAUUAGAUCUAGAUUGUAUUUUGAAAAAUUCAAUCCAUGACCACCCAUACAUGGAAUGUAAGGAUGACAAUUUGGCGUGGUUGGGCUGACCCACGACGUGAUAAAAAAACGUGGAGCCAGCUAUUUUAACUCGCAUGCUGAUACGCAACUCGCACGAGCUAGGUAUGGGACAUAUCAACCCACACAAUCUGCAUACCUUAACAUUUCAUUUUAAUCCCUAAAAAUAACACGUAGUUAGCUAGCCAACCCUAAAUGUCAUUCUUCCUCCUACGUACAACUCUUACCUCCAUUGUCAGGAUACUUGCUGCAUGGAUCCUUGAAAAAGCUAGUCAAAAUAAUCCAAUUGUUCAGCAAUAUUUUUUUUAUGUUUAAUAAAUUUUUUACUAAGAUACAUUUGUGUCUAUAAUAUUUUUUUAAAAAAAUUCCUUAUACAAGAUAGUUUACAGGUUCGCGAGCUAACCUUUAUACAGAGCGAGUCAACAAAAUCAAUUUAUAUUUCUUAUGUGGAAUGUGGACCAACUUGACUCACAUUUUAUAGACUAAUGUGGGGCGAACCGCAUUUGAAUCCUUAAUGAAGGGAAAAUUCUUCUUGCAUCUCCUUACUUUUUUUAAUUUCAACAAUACCCUUUUUAGUAUGUUGAGUGUGACGUCUUCUUCAUUUUCAAGUGGUGGCGGCUGGUGGUGAUUGGUGGUGAACAUUGGUAGUUGAGGUAAAUUUUAUGGUGUUUUUACUGAUGAUGAUUGUUUCUUCGUUUACUUAUUUUUUUUUUCAUUUUUUUGAAAGCCACAAAACCCAGAAAAACAAAACAGCGAGAUGUAAAGAUGAGUACAAAACUAAAAAAAGUCUAUCUUCAUGUUGAAAAAUGUCAAAAACAACAAAUCUUCUUGUCAACUUUUUCACACAUAUCCAGAUGAUAUCAUUGUUCUGUUGAAUGCUACUAAUAGAGAAUAAUAAAAGUAUUGCAAUGAAAAAAAAUAUUAAAAAAAAAAUAUAUGAGAUACGAAUGUACACUGAAAUUAUUUAAAAUUAUACUUUAUUUAGGAUUAUUUGAAAUUUUGAAAAAUAUUAAAAUCGAUAUAUUAGUAUGAAUACAAAGUUGGAUAUUUUAGUAUGAAUAUAAAUGUGGAUAAUGGGGGGGGGGGGGAAGGAUAAGGAGGUGUUAGGGAAAAAUUUGCCCAAAUGGAGAGAUUUGCUGGAGUGGUCUGUAAUCAAAUAAAACUAAAUUCCAAAUCAAAACAUAAUUAUUUUCACGAGCCUUUCUUUUUCUUGGGUGCCAUCAUCAACCUAUUUAUUGGCUAAUUUACUUAAGAUUAUAUUUUUUUAGAAAAGAUAAUUGGUCGGAUUCGAAAAUAUUCAAUGUUUUUUACAGCGAGUGUUGACAGUGUCACCAUCGCUUUGGACUUUGGACACUAGCUGCCUUUUAUCCCUCUUUUCUACUUUCUGCCCACAUCACUGCAAACUAUCUCCUUCCAUCUCCGAAUCUUCUCCCAAAUCCUUCAAAAGAGAAAAUGGGUUGUCACGGCAGCAAGGAGAAAAAAUCAAACGCAGAAUUCAGCAGUGCCUAUGGAUCAGGCAGUGCUGGUCACAAUACUGUUCAACAACCAUCUACCACCACUGUUGCACAGGUUCAAACAUCACCACCACCCAAACCACAACCACAUUCAGAGGCGGUAGCGAGUCCACCAAAACCGAAACUUUCUCCGACCCAGAAUGCCAGGGCGGUGCAGAAACCCGACGCCACGAUUCUGGGGAAACCCUUUGAGGAUAUAAAGAAGUACUACAGUCUGGGGAAGGAACUGGGAAGAGGGCAAUUCGGUAUAACGUAUCUGUGCACGGAGAAUGCGACCGGAAUGACUUACGCUUGCAAGUCGAUUCUGAAGAGGAAGCUGGUGUCGAGAGCGGACAGGGAGGACAUGAAGAGGGAGAUUCAGAUCAUGCAGCAUUUGUCUGGGCAGAACAACAUUGUGGAGUUCAAGGGGGCGUUCGAGGACAGGAUGUCGGUCCACCUUGUAAUGGAACUCUGCGCCGGCGGGGAGCUCUUCGACCGGAUCAUCGCCCAAGGCCACUACUCCGAGAGAGCCGCCGCCUCACUCUGCCGCGCCAUGGUCAACGUUGUUAACAUUUGCCAUUUCAUGGGAGUCUUACACCGCGAUCUCAAGCCCGAAAAUUUUCUGCUCUCUACUAAGGAUGACGAUGCUACGCUCAAGGCUACUGAUUUUGGACUCUCUGUCUUCAUUGAAGAAGGUUCCCAUCACUUUCACUUUCAACCCUCCUACUCUCUGUCACUACUCUUUGCUUUAGAUAUUCAGGGGGCAGUGAGCGGUGAACCACGAUAGAAAUUUUGUUCCUUUUUCGCUUUGAUGUUAUCUAUUUCUGAUUGGUUUAUCUGUUGCUUGCAUUGUUGUGCUACUUCUGAUUCUGAUUUUUUUUGUUCCCUACUUCACUGGUGAACCAUUUGGGCAUGAAGAUUAAGUUGACUCAUCAACUCAUAAGAACAUUGAUAGGAUAGGUUUUCAGAGUUCUAUCGCCUGGUUAAACUUAUGUCUAAGGUGACCAUUGACAUUUGGGAACUUUAAAGGCCAACACACUCCGUGGAUUGUGAGAUGCUUGAUUAUUAUAUAGAUAUCACCUUGAUAUGGCUACCUUGUCAAUGAUUCGUGGAGAUGAUUCUAUACUAAGGAAUUAUCGGAGUGAGAUUGAUUUCAGAUGUAGGUAUCUGAUCAGGACAGCGAUUGUAAAAAUAAUAUUUGAUUUUGUGAUGUAGGUGAUAUUUUAAGCAAAUUUAAGAUCCGAUGCUACAUUGAUUUCUAAUUCCUUUUCAGCAGGUGCAUUGAAGUGUAUCCACAGGAUUGAAUGGUCAUUUUAGUUACAGCUUAUGUUGAAUUCUAAUUGCAUUCUAUGUCGUUCUAAAGGACCUAACACGGCCAUUACUUUCACAAUUUGCAUUUGAUAAUUCAUUGUAUUUUCUGAAUUCUUUCAGGGAAGGUAUAUCAUGAUAUGGUUGGCAGUGCUUACUAUGUUGCUCCCGAGGUAUUGCGUCGUAGUUAUGGAAAGGAAAUAGAUAUUUGGAGUGCAGGCGUCAUAUUGUAUAUUCUUCUCAGUGGUGUACCACCUUUUUGGGCUGGUAAGAUCUAAUUGUAGUUUGACAAUGUUGAAUAUCCAUUGUUUAUUGUUGAGUUUCUUAUUUAAAAAUUAACUCUUCAACAUACAAUAGGUGUGAGAAUAUGUUUCUAUUAUCUUCUGCAGAAACUGAAAAGGGAAUAUUUAACGCCAUAUUGGAAGGUGAACUUGAUUUUGUAAGUGAACCAUGGCCAUCCAUAUCAGACAGUGCUAAAGAUCUAGUCAGGAAGAUGUUGACACAAGAUCCAAAGAAGCGGAUUACUUCUGCGCAAGUCCUUGGUAUUAGACUACCGUUACUAAUUUGACUCAAGUAACUGUCAUAAAUGCAGUACUUAUUUAUUUAAAUUAAAACUGCUAUUAUUUGUGUUAGUAUUAGUUUAGCAGUUUACUUGUCCUCCUUUCAGUUUUUAUUACAAAUUUUUUGAGUGCUUCUAUUUGCUGCAUCUACUUUCCCAAGUUACAUAUAUGUAGGCAGCGAGAAUAGUUUGCUCAUGCGUUGAACUGUAAAAAUAAGAACCAGCAAGCAAAAUCCUAUCCAGAGAAAUGUUAAUAGCCUACCAACUAUAAGUUACGAUCAAAAUAUCAUCAACUAAGUAAAUUUUUCUCAUUAGUCAUUUGAGUUGCCACUGUUUUGUCUAGUUUUUUCUUUUCCAAACAAAACCUGAUUAAGAUUGAUGAUUUUGUUUGGUAAGAACACCCAUGGAUGAGAGAAGGCGGAGAGGCAUCCGAUAAACCAAUUGACAGUGCAGUUCUAUCCAGAAUGAAACAAUUCAGGGCAAUGAAUAAGCUCAAGAAGCUAGCAUUGAAGGUAUGACAUCAAACUUGAAUUAAACAUCCACCGUCAAUGUCCAUUUCUGAUAGUUCUUGAUAUUGUUGAGGGAUGAUGAUUCUCUUUUGAUUGCAGUUGUUAUUUUGUGUACACAAAAAUUUUAAAUUUACCCAUUAUGGAAUAUGACUACCACAAUAUUAUUAAAGUCCUCCUGUUUGUUCUGUCUGGUAUAUGAACCUUUGUUUCUUUCACCUGAAACAAGUUAAUAAUCUCUUUUCAACUGGCCCUUGCAAUUUCUUUUCAUCAUAUUUAACACAACAAUGUUAUGGGAUGAGAGAAUUGCGUUCUAAAACUGACAUAUUGUCUAUGUUAUUGACAUAAAUUAUUUUACAGGAAAACUGGUGUCCUGAAGUUUUCAACUUUUCGACAAGGAAGUACAAACACUUGAGAAUUACUCCUUAUCUCAUGUUAUUUUUAAAAACUUUUGUACCUAUAGUCUUAUUCCGAUAGUAAUUAGAUAAAUCAAAGCAUGUUAAUAAGACUACACCUACAAUGACUUGAGCUCAUAUUUAGAAGUUUAAUUCUCUCUCUUGAUUAAAGAUUUGUGUUUUAUAAAUUAUACUGUUAUACGUUAUAUUAUGUAUUUGCAUUGUAUCUGUGCUUCUAGGUUUCUAGAUACUGCUUUUAUUCUUGAAGUUGUCCUCUCAAUUCAUGGGAUGCCGCUGAGAAGCAUUUUAUGAGUUACGUGUUCCAGUCUACUUUUUUCUCUAAAUAUUUCUCCAUCACUGACAUUGGUGCAAAUUUCUCAAGGUUAUUGCUGAAAAUCUAUCAGAAGAGGAGAUUAAAGGUCUGAAAGCAAUGUUUGCAAAUAUGGACACUGACAACAGUGGCACAAUUACCUACGAAGAAUUGAAGACUGGCUUGGCUCGAAUUGGAUCAAGGUUGUCCGAGGCUGAAGUGAAGCAACUCAUGGAGGCUGUAAGUUGUCAGUUGUUACAUACCCUUGUGAAGAGCACAACUAGUUGGACAUUUGUGCAUUCACUGUAUCUUGAACUCAGCGUUGUUUUUCUUAUGUAUAAUUUUUCUCAGGCUGAUGUUGAUGGAAAUGGGUCAAUUGACUAUCUUGAAUUCAUUUCGGCUACAAUGCAUAGGCACAGACUUGAACGUGAUGAACAUCUUUACAAAGCAUUCCAGUAUUUUGAUAAGGAUAACAGUGGGUGAGUUUUACAAGACUGGUAUUUAGGUGAUUUCCAUAUUACAAUUUCUUUCUAAUCAUCUGUGUUCAGACAACUAUCAUCCACUGGUUUGAUUCUUGUCGAGUUCUUCAUUGUUGUUAUGAGAAUUUGAAUUUUGUUUUUUUUAGUCUCCAUGUUCCAUAUUAGACAGUACUUUUUAUCAGUAACAUUUCUCUGUUAAACUGCAUUAGUUCACUUUAAGACUAUAUCAAUAACCUGAGACUUGAGGGUCACGCAAGGUUGAUGGAUAAGAAUGGGCUUUAAAUUCAUGUCCAGGUACAUUACUAGAGAUGAAUUGGAGACUGCUAUGACCCAACAUGGAAUGGGUGAUGAAGCAACAAUAAAGGAAAUAAUAUCUGAGGUGGAUACAGAUAAUGUAAGUUGGUUCUAGUUUGUUUAAUGGCGGUACAGAACAAUGAUGCUGUAACUAACAAUUCUUGAACUAACAGGAUGGAAGAAUAAACUAUGAGGAAUUUUGUGCAAUGAUGAGAAGUGGAAUGCCACACCAGGGAGGGUCAACCACUUUAAAUCCACUGAUGGGUUGAGCAGUGACUUGUUACUGUUGGGAAAAAGCAGUAUCUCCGGGAAUGUGUGACAGUACACUUCAUGCAAUGAUGAUAUUUCUUUGCAAUCCCAAUUUAUUACAAGGUUCCUGUGGUGUCUGUCGGAUUGCUUGGUCUGUACUUUUUUUAUCUGUUCAGCUGUCACAUUUUACAAGUGACAUGGAAAACAGAAUUUUUAUAUUAAGAUACUUUUGUACCAUAUAGAGUUAUCAUUUUUAUUGUGGCUAAGUAACAAGUAAUCAAGGGAGGGAACUAUUUUCCUUAACCUUUAUAUUGAAGUGCAAACUUGAACUUUUUUUCGAAUAAUGUUUUGGCAAUUUAAUCUAGUGUGUCAAUGCUAUGUUUUCUUCUUUUUUAUCCCUAUUGAUUAGAGCUAUUAGAGAUAUAAUAAGAGGUAAAUCACCUCUUGUUUUAAUCAGCUAUAUGUUGUGGCCUAUCUUAUAUUUAUGUCUAUUACUUUAUUCUAGGUAGUUAUCUCAGUGCUUAAAUGCAAUUAAUCUCAAUUACUUAAAUGGUCUGAGUAUUCGUAGUUGUAUUUUGUAUAUUUUCAUUUUUUAAUUUGACUGUUUGACAAAAAGUAAUAAAUAGUGGGUUAGAUGGUUACUCUAUACCUAAUAGUAGAUUAGUUAAUGUAAGAUAUUUGAUAAGCUAGUUGAUUACAUUUGAAGUACUGGUAAAAAUAGCCUUUAAAUUAGUUGAUAAAUAUGAAAUUAUGUAAAAGGACAUGUGAUGCUUUUUUUUAUACAUAAGUUCUAUUUAUUUACCUAAAUAAGAUUUUAAAAUAUUUAUAUAUUUAUAUGCUUUGAUUUGUUUUCAAUUAAUUUUAUCUAAAAUCUUAAAAUUUUAAUUUUAAUAGAAAAAGCAAAAUGAGAACAAAAAACUGAAAUGAAUUGUGUUUUAUUUUUGUUAAUAGUUAAUGCUUUACUUUACAAGUGGUCCUUAGACAUGAAAUUUUGACUAAAAUAGCAUAAUUAAGAUAAUUUAUUUCCUCCAAUGGCAUACUAUACUAAAUAUUUUAUUAAAAAUAAAAGAAAGGGAAUUGAUAAUUUGGAGUUUUUUUAAAAAUUAACUAUUUAAAAAAUUGGUAUGCUUAAAAAAUUAUGUAGAAAAAUAAUUAUAUAAAAUAUAAUAAUUUUGGAAAAUAAUUAUUUGAAGAAAUAAGUAUUUACAAAAAAACAUAUAUUUUAAGCAAUAAUUAUUUAGAAAAGUAUGUAAAUAAGAAAAGAUUGUUAACAAAAUUAGCAUUCAUAAAUUUUGAAAUAAUUUAUUUUUUAAAUUUGGUUUGAAAAUUUCACAGAAAAUUGUAAAAAAUAGUGAAAGGUGAAACCAAACUAUGAACUACUGUAGUAAAUCGUACUAUUUAAAUAAUUAUUUGGUAUAAUAUGUAAUUUGAGUAAAUAUAUGAUAUGAGAAAACAUAAAUAGUUAAACUAUACUAUUUUGGUUAAAAUUUCUGUAGAGAUGUUGGAGCUGGAGACUCUUAUCUUUUAUCAAGACACGCCACAACAUAUAGUAGAGUGAACUUUUAAUUUUGUAUGUGAGAUAUGUAUAAUACUUUUUGGCUUUUAUUUGGGACAUGAUAAAAUAGGACUUUAAUUAAAAUAGGUAAGAAUAAAGUUGAGAGGAAAAACAGUAUGGUAUACAUCAUAAGCUCAAACAUUACUACUUAAAAGGAUCAAAUGGUUUUCUCUAUCAAAUGUUCAAAAGUUAACUUAACUAAUGUCAAAUUUAUUGAGCAUCUGCCAAAAGGAUGACCUUGAUGACAAGAAAGUGCAGUAGUCCACACAGAGAACAGCUGCAGUUUAUGGUCUGUCAUAGUAGUAAACUAUACACAGAAUGAGGCAAAAGAAACUAGAAAUGCAGUGAUCAUGAAGUUUUUGUUUCUUUGUUUUUUUUUGUAUUUUAUAAGGAAUCCUGAGAAGUCAGUAGAAUCGUGGGUCCGAAGUUUCAUAUAUUUGAUUUCUUGGGGUAACCUCAAAGUAAACUGGCCACAGCUCCUAAGAAUAAUCAAAGGGCGUUGCAAUUGUUGCAAAAGGAGAAAUGCCUGACGCUAAUAAACUUUGUUUAAUAUUAAUAAGAUGGUAUCCAAGGUUUUAGCUUCAUAUUCUCCUGACAAAAAUUGUAUUAAGAGACAACCAUUUAAGUUACUCAUCCACGUGAGCUUGUUUUUAAUACUGCAUAUUAUGCACCCCACUAACUAUAAUAUUAUAUAUAUAUGCACGUGUGCACCCCUUUCUUUGUUGCUAUAAAUGUCUGGGAAAGAGAAAUCAUUAUUAUAUAGUAAUCAUUUUACAACAAACAGAGAAAUAUGAGUUAAGAGAAAAAGGCCUCUCACAGACGCUAAAAUUACUAAAAAUUAUGAAAACUUCAAAGAUGAGAAGCUUUUUCAUUCUUUUGUGGCCGAAGGGUGGAAGUGGAAUUGUAACAUUUGACAUUGUAAGUUUGAAAGAGCAACGCAGUAGACAGAGUUGAAUAAAUAAUAGAAUAAUAUAUGUGAAUGGUGCCUCGGAUGCUCCAAACUGUUAACAUGGUAACAGCCUCAGACUUUAAAGAAAAGACAACGCAAUGCAACUCUAAUUAAAACAUGACGCUGAGUUGUCAUGACCAGUAGCAGAGAAGAUUCAUGCAUUGUCCAAAAAAAAAAUUUGAGGCCACCAAGCUAUGUAUGCUGCAGGUUUAUUAAACCUUAACAAGCACCAAAGCUGCACAUUCUCUUCAAUGGUCUACUAAUAUCCCAAAAUUAAUAACUAACUACUAAUAUGUACUCACAGUACAUGGCUUAAUAAUAUAUAACUUGUAUUGUAGCAAGCGCACUUCGAUUUUGGAACAAGAAAAAUCGCAAAUCAAAUACGGUUAAAGAUACACAACUAUUCUUCUGAUGCGAAUUUUUUAAUUUAGAUACAUGUAAUUUGCACACCCUUUAAGCCUAAGAGGCUACAAUAUGAUUUGAGCUUCUGGGAUGGUGAAUUGGUGAGACAAACCCGUUAAAGAUUUCGCUUUUCUGCGAUCUGAAGAUAAUACCAGAAGUGUGGCUCGGAAUACAAUGAUAUAGAGAGAGGAGCGCACGUGGUGAUGCUAAUGCAUGCCUCUCUUCUCGCUGUGCUCUUUUUCUUUUACCAAACUCAGAAAUCAUAUUAAGCAAAACUCAAAACAAAAAGGACUCCGUUCUUGCUUUGCAUUGAGAUCACUAUCAUGCCAUUUGCCUCUGUCUAUUGGCAUUGACUAAUGAGUUUAACUUUUCUUCUUGGCCUCCACUGAGAGUGAAACCUCUUCUCUUCUUUAUAACCGUUUUGUUUCCAUCCAAGUAUUGUUUUACGUAUCAUUGCUGAUAUUAGUUUUGCUUUGGAAGUACAAUUUUCUUAUUUACUACUAUUAAUCAGGGGUUAUAGGGUAUCUAUCUGUCACUUUACGUAAUCAUUUAACUUAAUUCCCAAUGGUACAACUCCAAUCUUGUGCUACUUUGGUCAAUGCCUCAUCAUUGUGUGCUAUAGAACAAGAAGUGAGAGGAGAUAGCGUCAAUGUGGUUGCUGAGAUUUCGGCCGAGUUGGAGAGGGAAAGAAAGAAGAAUGCAGAGCUCAUGGAGAGAAUAUCAAUGCUCGAAGCUCAGUUAAGAGAAAGAAACAAAGAAUCUCAAGUACGGUUAGUCAUUAAACAAUUAGUGACUACUUUUUCUUGUUUGUCAUUGUAUUUUUGCUUAAAUAAGCACUUGCUUGUUUAAAGUUAGUGUUAUGCAUGAAAAUUCAUUUUCUAACUUGAUGAACCGGCUGCAAACCAUUGUUAUAUUAUAUCAUAUAGCAUAUAUGAGUAUCUGCUCAUUGCAUGAUGAAAUCUAAGUAUAGUUGGUCGGAGUGUGGGGGAAUGAUGUACAUGUUAUAUUUGACACUGAUAUCAACUGUAUAUGAUGAUCAAGAUUUAUUGACACAUUAGAAACAUGAUCAGCAUGAUGCCCCUUUUAAUUAUUAUUCAUGUUCCUUGUCUGUUGAAGUUUUCAUCCGUUUUAUCAUUGAUGAAAAUGUCUCCCUUGGUAUCAGGAAAAUCAUCAGCGUGCAGUUGCAAGAAGCUUGAAGAAUUUCAAGAGGCAGAAGAUAGAAAUGGUAGAUGAUGAAAAAAAUAGGAAUACUGUGAAAAGUGAAACGGCCUCAGAGUACACGCCUGAUACAGAAGGCAUUGUUCCUAAGCAGAUUGAUCUAGAAAAGCGCUUAGUUAAUUGGAUGAGCAUGGACAAUGGUCAAAAUUUGUACGCUGAAAAAUUUAAAGACUGGAACUCUGUUGCAGAUUUCAGUGAAACGGAUAGUGAUGAUGCUUGUGAUGAAAUUUUUGAUGAUGAUAUGGAAAAUAGCCAAAGACAUGAGGAGGUUGAUGACACAAAUGAAGCCGUUAGUGCAGAAAAAGGUUACCGUGCUGAUCAUGUUGACGAGGAAUCAAAUACAACAUGCAUGGGAAAUUUUUCUGGUGAUCCAGCCAGUAAUGUGAGACAAGAAGAUCAUGAAAAUCAAAAGACGAGUUGCAUAUUAAUCACUCCAUUAUCCGAGAAGAGUGAAGUCAAAACACUCCAAGGGAAAGAAAUUAAGGAGAGAGCAGCAUUUACAGCAGCAGCUGAGGUUCCUUCUUCAGGAUCGGCUCGCAUAUCACAUAAUAGAAAGCCUCCGAAGGUACCUUUCUGCCCAAAAGAAGUGAAAAGAAUAAUUGAGUCAGAAGCCCUUCUGCAAAAAAAUGCUCAGUCCCACACUGUAAGGAAAAUCAUAGUUUUUGCAUCACUUGGCAUAAGGCAUGGAUGUGAGGAUAUGUACGAACUGGACUUCAAUCAUUUUAGCAUUUUGAACAAAGGAGAACCAUACGUGUCUCCAAAAAGCCCUGGGGUAAGAGCAAUCCUUAGAAUGCUAUUUCUCUGAUGGAGCAAAUCAAUUAAAAUAAGAGAUAUUUUUUGUCAUGAUGCAUUUAAACUAGUAACUAGUUGUGUGCCAAAAUGGAAGAAUGCAACCAUUAGCCAAAUACUAUCUGGAACCAAGUCACUACUUUGCAUUCAAGCAUGAAUUUAGACCUAGAAAAGUUAGGCUCAGGUAUUUCUAUUUUAUAAAUGUAACGAUUGAGGUUUCAAUCUAUGUAGGAGCAUGUUUUGUACGAGAAUCCUGGUGUUCGGAGGAAAAUAUUUUAUCCAAAUCAACAAAACCCUGUAUUAUGUCCUGUUCAGAUAAUAGAAGAAGAAAGAGUCAUGCGUCCAUCAGAUCCUAGCUGUCCAUCAUACUUAUUCUUGUGCAUUAAAUAUGGUGGAAGGACAAGAAAUCUUCCUCAAAAUGAGUAAGUUUUGGAAUGAUAAUGGUUCACUGCUGCUUCCUUUUCUCAUAGUACUUUCCUUUAUUAUAAAUGGCAUUGGCUCUGAUGAAUAUUUCACUUCAAAAUAUUUGUAUGCAGUCUAAUAUGGAGUAAUUUUUCGAUUGCAUAAUACAGAUAUGUGAGACAGAGGAUGGGAAGAAACAAACUGAAGUCUUUUGGUCCACUCCUGUGCCGAAUGGCAGUGUUGGUUCAUAGUCGCAGUGGAAGCUUUUUCUUCAAGGCUUUGGGCAUCACACUCCUGUUUAUGGCAGGAUUUCCUGAUUAUCUAGUUCAAAGGGAAACCAAAUACCGGAACUUAGACUUGCUUCAGAAAUAUUACAGGUCUAUCUAAUUAUAUGCAACAACCAAUCUAAGCAUAAAUGAAACAGAAAGAUACAUAUAUUUCUAGUUAAAGAACAGCACAAUCUAUUAGGAGCAUUGCUCGAAAUCAAUGUCAUCACAGAAAACAAAUCAGUAGAUGCUAUCUAAAUAGGAAAAUAUUUAAUGUAAUUCAAUCUAACACAUAAUUUUCCCUUUGCAGGAGUGAUGAGGAUGCUGAAGGCGAGGAGUUGUUUCUUCCACAUUCAAUCGCAUGUGACAAUGUAAGAAUACGAAUCUCAUAAUGCACUGUUCUUUGUAUGAGCCACUUGCCUGUUCUUUUUCUUUGAAAAUCUCAAGCAACAAUUUCUAAAAUCAAAUUGAGUGAGUAAACUCAACUAUCAAAAUUUAUUUCUAUACAUGGAACAGAAGAGUACAAGUUCUCACAUAAUAGACGCAAUUUAUAACGUUUCUAUUGGUUUUGGUGGCUUCAAAAUAGCUCCUGUUUUUGGUGUCACAUAUUUGAUAGCUCUUUUAAGCUUUUACAUUGUAUUGUUGUAGCAGGGUACUCCUGAACCCCACAACUUAACCAAAAAGACACUUCCUGCAAAAUCCAAGGGAAAAAAGCACCCUAAUGCCAUCAUCAAGUCUCAGAAUUCACAGAAGACCCCAUCUCAACAGGCAGCACCAACAAGUUCAGCAGCUACUCAAUUUGGUUUAACAGGCUAUUCCUCAGCUUACACGUAUGCAAUGGCAGCAUUUCAUUCAAUGCCAUCUCAGGUUUCUUCCCAAGACAAUUCUCACAUCCUAAAUCCAGCUCCUGCCAAUUCCAUUACCAAUGUCUCUGGUAAUCAUGGUAUACUGCUACCGCAGCCAGCAAGUUCAUUUCUGCCAGUGAUGUAUUGGCCUCCACCAAAUGCAUUUCUUCCUGUACCCUAUACUUCCACAUAUGGAUACCAUUCUUUUCCUACUGCUGCAAACUACGUGUCAAUCCAAACACAGCCUUAUCUCAAUCAUCCAAAGUCGUUAGAAGGUAGUGGAAAGAAUGAUUUAGCCUCAGAUGAAACUGACAGUGACACUGAUAGCAGCACUUCAGGCUGUAGUGAGCACAAGAAGAGUCCUGCAGUCCACAAAUGAUGGACUCAGCACUACUAUGGCACGCCAUAAAUGAUAUACUUGGAAUGUAUUAAUUUAUGUAAUAAUGUUGUUGAUGCUUGAAGUGAAAUGAUGCAUAGCAUAGCUUUUCUGUGCAGUUUGUAACAAACUUUAUGUUCUUACCGUCUUCUAUAUUUUUUUUUGGGAUUGCUGUACAAUUAAGCAAUUCUUUAAUUACAUUAUAAGCACACAUAACACUGCAUCUUUGUAUUAGAUUAGUAUGAAUAUUUAUUAAAUUGAGCAAUAAUCUUAAACAUCAACAAAUUAGGAACUGAGCCAUGGUGGACAGAACAAUAAUUGCAGUGCUUCUCUCUGAAGUAUGCAACAGCAUUAUGGACUUGGUUUCAAAGGUGUAUCAUAUUAAUAUUGUGACCGUAUUUUAUCUUAUUUCUUUUUGCAUAGUUCUAGAUCUUCUUAACAUUUUUUUAAAUUUCUUUUGUACUAUUGCAACUAAGCUUUCAUCGUAGUUAAAUAAACGCAAUAUAUUAUUGUAUUGAUAAUUAUAAGCAUGGACGAUUAGGCAGAGGAAAAUUGAGUUCUUUUAAACAAAAAUUUGAUGUUACUGAAAAUGUAUAGUUAGGAUAAAAUCAGUAAAAGGGUAAAAUUUGUUUAGUUUUAAGAAUAAAAAAAUACAGUUUCAAAAAUAAAACAAAUGUAUGGUUUAAGAAUAAAAAAAAACUUAAUUACUUAAGAAAAAUUUAAAAGCCAAAAUCAAACCAUCCAAAUUAAUAAUAUUAGAAGUUGUAAUAGUCAUUGCUUUCUUGUUUGACAAUUUAUUAGAUCCAAAUUUAAUUAUUAUUACUAUUAUUAGAUAAAAAAAAAUAUUAAAAGGUUUGUUGUUAGAAUUUCUUUAUAAAAGUUUUUUUUAAAAAAAAGUUAUUGUUUUUUUAGAAACAUAAAUGGUCAUAUUUUGGUUGUUAUAUCUUAUGAUUAAACUUGUACCAUAUAUAAGAGCACUAUGUUACUAGUUAUUCUUCUUCUGGUCCACAUACUCUCUUGUAUAGCAGAUUGCCUUAUCUUAACCACGUCCAUUUUUAGGAAAGACCCAUUUUCUUCAAUCUUAUUGUUCUGUGGGCUCAAUCAAUUUCAAUUUUAGUCUCAGUGGGAAACAACACUAAUAUUUAACUAACCAAUCUCAUUAGUCAAUUUGCCAAGACUUACCAACAAGAAUCUGCACACUUUUUUGUUGAUAUUCCACUGCUUAAUUCAGAAUUCUAUUCUGUCAUUUCUCAGUGUUGAUUUGCACUGCAACACAGGAACAUGCCAUCUGAAUGAUGAUUUUCUUUUUGGCUUUUCUGCAUAACAUUACCAGUGGUCAAAAAAUUAUUUAUCUGUCAUUUAUCACAUAUAUUUACAAGUAAAUUCAUAUAUUUUAUCCAUUUUAUUUUAGGAAUGGUUCUUACAAGUUCUGGUUAUUCUUAGAUGGAAUUCUUCCGGUUUUCUUGAUUUUUAGGUUUUGUGGUUUUUCAGUCAACCCUUCUACUUAAGCAAAAUGACUAAGGGAGAACCUGCAGAGAUAUUCUGACAUUAAGUUAGUCUGUAUGUAACUUAACCUUUGAUUGUCUCAUAUUCUGACAUUAAGUUAGUCUGUAUGUAACUUAACCUUUGAUUGUCUCUAUUGUUUCUAUUUAUACUUUUUGGUUGGAUUAAAGGAGGUCAAGGUAGUACAAGAAUAAUUAAUAAUUUAUCUAUUAUUUCUCAAUCCAUCAAAUAAAAAUUAAUCCAAUUUUUUUUUUCAUAAUUAGGUUGUUUUUUGUUUUUAUCUUUUAUUUAUCUAUUAUUUAUCUUUAUUGUUUUUAAUUUUUUUACAAUUUUUUUCAAAAUUUUAUUUAAAAGGAUGAUUUUAAUUUUAAAUACUAUUUUCAUGGAUGAAUAAGAUAUGCACUCAUAAAAAAAAUAUGAAUGGAUAUAUUGGACUGAAUUUUUAUCAAAUAGAUUUUUUAAUUAAAUUUUUAAUAAAUUAUGGAUUAAUGAAUUGUUUUCAUCUGCUGGUCAUUAUUUGAAUUAAAAUUUAAUAAGUUUCCCACCUGUACCUAACCACAUUCCUAUUCAUCAGUAAUUACUUUUGUCCCAAUUCUACAUAUUGAUUGCUUAAUCAGUUUGCUAACCUUCAAUUAAAAUCACAUAAGAUUAAUAUAAAAAAUUGUUAGUAACUUGUUUGUUCUGACUUGUAUAGUUGUGAUCAUAUUUAAAACUAUUACUCUGAUCUCUCAUCUGAAUUGGUGUGGUAGGUGCUUGUGUGCUUUGCUAUGAAGUUCUUACAAUCCUGGAGUAGUGCUUGAGGUGGGGAUAAUGGAUUGUUCAUGUAGAGUCUGAAUCCUAGACAUUGAUAACAAUACUUUUCUAAAACACUUUAUCUUUUUAGCUUUGACAAAAGUAAAAUAUUUUACUUUUUUAAUAAUGGCAAUGCUGGGUGGCUAGUUUAACAAGUGGUCCAUCAUAAACCAUAACUUUAAACUCACAGGCCCUUUUCAAUAUCCUAUCUACUUAGUCAUCAAAUACCAUUCUCUUGCUAUGCUAUUUACAAAGUAGCUUACAAAGAACCAACAAGAAAAGAAUCUAGAUUUCUCAUCCACGUCAAUGGACCACUUUUGUUUUACUUCAUCUUUGUUUUUGGACCACUUACAUGUACUAUAAUAUCUGUAUCUGUGACUGUGAGCAAUUAUUGUAGUCUGCAAUUAUACAUAUUUUGUUUCCUCUAUCCUGGGGCCUCCCAUGGGCCAUGGUUUAUGUUGAAAGAAAGAACAAGAUUUAGAGUAUGGAUAUGGAUAUGGAUACCAUAAACAUUUUUGUCAAUGCCAUCGAUAACAGAACUCACAUGCAUACAUUGUUGAUAUCAUAAUUAACACUGUAACAUACACUUCUACACAACUCUAAGCUACUUGCAUACUAAAUAUAAUAUCCUUAUUGAAAUAAAAAAAACAACAACAGUCACAUCUCAGUCCUCACAUAUCCCAUGAACCUGCCGACAAGGUUCAAACAUUGAGAAAGCGGUGGUCUGGAUCGGUUCACAUCACAUCACUCCACUCAACCAAACCAACUCAGUUAAAAUAAAACAUAGCAUGUUAUUUUUGCAUAAUAUUUUACAGAUUUCUUCUUCCUCAUAUACAGGAGAAGAAAGUUCAAGGCUCCUCAUGGUGCUUGUUGGCAACAUUGCACUGCUUUCUGAUCUCCCCCUUUGUGCCAGUGAGAGGAUUGUUUUCAGAGAGCAAAGCAAUGGCUCUAGAAAACUCCUUGAAGAAAUAGUCUUGGCUCUUGGCCAUUUUCUUCACAUAAGGCUUGGUCCUCUUGUCAUUGGCUAGUUGGUGAUCCACUAUCAACAACCCCUUGUUGUCCAAUAUGUUCCUGUAGUAGUUGUUGUCUAGAAUCAUAGGGGUGCCACGGUCGUUUCUCACGUACUGCACGGCCUUGGGGUCUGGGAUGGCAUCAGGGCACUUCUUCAGCAUGUGAGGGACAUGGUCAGGGUUCAGCGCUGAAUCAAUCUCUGGGUACAAACGGUGCACCAACUUCACACAAUGGGUUCUACCAACACUGUGUGCUCCUGUUCAACAAAAUAUCUCAAUAAUUAAAGCUUAAAUCUGCAACCAAUAACGCCACGUGUUGCUUUUUUUAAUAUUGCAUCAAGUUUCAUACUGAGCCCACAUACAUUUAUGAAACAAUAAAUAUGACUCAUACAGUUUCCUGUGCUAAUUUAUGUAUGCAUUAUGAAUAUGUUUAUGCAGAGAAAUUAUUGCAUAUAUUAUGAAUGAAAGAACAAGUAUGGUGGCACAAGAUUUGCAUAAUGGGGCUUGUCUUUUUGAUGAACGUGUGUAUGUAGAAGAUGGAUUAUGGGAGGAUGUAGAGUAGUUCAUACCAAGCAAUGCAACCACCCCGGGAGUGUCAAUUCCCAUGGCACCAAACUUGUCAAGAACUGAAGAAAUGGACUCAUUGUGGUCUGGGAGGAACUCUUCCACCACAUCAGCUCUGCUCCUUCUACCAUCCCUUCUUCCAGUUUUAAGAGGGAUAUGGGGGCCUCCUAGCUGUAACACAUUCAAUUUGGAGGCUUCCAUCAAAAUAAUUAACUAUAAGAAUGAUAAUGGAAAAACAAUGAAAGCAGUUGCCAAAACGACUCUGGACUAAAUAAGUCUCCAAAUACUACUUCCUUCACACUAAAAAUAGAGUGAUCUGGUAGAAUUAGUUGAUAUCUUUAGCUCUCAAAAGUGAACUUCCUUAAAAGACGAAAAAAAGUAGCAAAUGACAGAUCUAAUGAGGGUGAGCAAAAGUGAGAAAUGGAAGAAAACAAAAGGAAAGGACAAGGAGUUAGUUACCGAAACAAUGCCAUCUCUGGCAGAGAGAACGAGUAUAUCAGCACAGGAAACAACUCCUGGGCACUCCCUUUCCACAGCUUCUUUGAUGGUCUCAAUGUACCUGAAAUUCCUCAAACCAAAGCUUCUGUCUGUCUCCUUCUCAGACAAGCUCCUUCUUGUGGAGUCCAGCAAGAGUGAAGCAUCACAACUCUGCCCUCACAAACAAAACAAAACAAAAGAUCAAACUCCUUCAUUAAAGAUUAACUAACAAAAAUAAAACAAAAUGGGCAACAACAUGCAACUUGCAAACCAAUAAGAAAAAGCAAGAAAGCAAGGAGUUGCAUAAAAAAAACCAAGAUUAAUCACCUGAACAGCACAGUCAUGGAAGAUGUUUCUGAGCCAGGAGAAAGCAGUGUUCUUGUGGCGUUUGUAGAGAAGCUUGACUUGUUCUUUGAUGAUAUCUUCAGCCUGAGGACAUGUUUCCUUGUAGAAGUUCAUGACAAGGCCAUUAUCUUGGCCUUCCUCUGCAAGAGAGGGAGUCAGCAGUGAAAGUGCUGAAAAGGAUAAGACAGCCAAAAGGGUUAAAAGCUUGGGAGCCAUUCUCACUCACUCUCCUGCUUACACUCCUCUCUGCUUCUGCUUAAAUAAAGUUCAAGUGCAAAUAAAAAACUACUGUGAGAGAGAAUGGUUUGGUAAAUAAAAUGAAAAUUGGUUUUUGAGUGAUGAUGGUGAUGGCUUCAUGAUGAUCCAAGGCCACUCAACCAUUUACUGAAUUAAUUAUGGGGCAUGUGCAUAGGCUACGGGACUCCACUCCCUGCAACUUUUCUUUUCCUAUUUUCGGCUUCAAAACUUGGACUGUGUGACACGCCAUUUAAUUUCUUGCAUCAUUUCACUUCAUUUAUUAUAAAUUAUUCUAUUUCUUCCACAAAUUCAAAAUCCCUCAUGCCUCACUCUUCCAUAUUCUAUUCUUCUUCCCAUAAUAAUAUAAGGAUUAUUUUACCAACUAAUAAUCUAUUUUGUGGGACAUCUGUUAUUGAAAGCAGUCAAGUUAUUUAUCUUCUAUUUAUUUAUUUUUUAUUGUUAUUAAAAAAAAAAUAGUUUCCAAGAUAAAUGUCUAUCACUAACGAUAACUUCAUCUUGGAUUAAGUAAUGUAAUCUCUAUUAUAUCUAAUUAAGUAUUAAUUGAACAUGUUCAGGUGGGGAUAGGACGAUUCUCUAACUCCGGAUUGGAUGUGGGUCAAUCGGCUUGUGUGAAAUGUAUUAAGAUAAAAAUAAAUAUAUGAAAAAUUAGAUAGUAUAUUUUUACGAGUAUGUACAUUUAAUUAUGGAUCAGUAAUAGAACUCAUUACAAUUAUACAAAGAAAUACAAAAGAUAAAAUAAAAGUACGUUACUGUAAUAGCGUUAAUAACAUCUAUAGCAUUAACAACAUCUAAAUAUUAAAUAUUUAUUUGAGUGUUGGAUAAUUUUUUACAAAUAUACUUUUGUCAAUUGAUAGCUGAAGCUUGAACGAGAAAAAAAAAGAGAUGAAAAAAGAAAGCGUGAUCGAAGAAAAUGUAUCAAUUGUCCAACUUAGUCCCUUACAAUUACAUAACACUUCACGAUUUUGACAUGUCCAUCCUAGUAAUUUUUUGUUAAAUAUUAUAAAUAAAUAAAAAUUUUAAAGUAUGCAUUAUUGAUUUAUUUUAAAGCUUAUUUAUGAACAGGUUGUUUGUUCAAGAAAAUGAGGACAAACAUGUCAAAGGCAUAACUUUAGUCAAAGGCAUAGCUUUAAAGACAACUUGACAUAGAAGGUGUCAAGAUUCAAGUGAAAGUGAAGAAGACACAAUGAGUUUGCUAUAAAAAAAGGUUCAACAAAUUCUUGAAGAAGAACAACAAAGGCCAAUCUUCUAAAAGGUAUAUUCCAAGAAACUGAAUGAUUUCAAUGCUAACAAAUACACAUGCUUUGGUUGUGGUGAACAGGGACACAUCAAGGCAGAUUGUCCUAACAAUGAGAAAAAAGAGAAAACAGAAUUCAAAUGAGAAAGAAGAGGAAAGACCAAGAAAGCUUACAUAGCUUGGGAUGACAAUGAAGUGUUUUCUUCCAGUACCUCAAAAGAUGCAGAAGCUAAUCUGUGUUUGAAGGCAUCAACAUCAAGUAGUGUAACUUCAUCUUCUUUAUCUAAAGGUGAUAACUAUUAUCAACUUCUUGAGGUUUUUAAAGUGACUCAUGAAGAGGCAAAUAAGUUGACUCUCACAAACAAUAGAUUAAAAAGUUUGAACAACUGGUUGGAAACUAGAGUUUAAAGCUUAGAAGAAGAGCUGGAUAAUUCCAUGAAUGAUUUUGAAAAUCUUGAACUUAUUUACAAAAACUCUUCUUGUGAGUAUAACUCAAGUUCUUGUGAAAAUUUCAAAAUCCUUGAAAACAAAGUUUUUUUAUCUUGUGAGUGGAUAAACUCACUAAAGGAAAAUCAAAUAUUGAGAGUGUGUUAGCAUCUCAAAGUUGUGUAUUUGGAAAAUCAGGUCUUGGUUUUUAUCCACAAAACAAAAACAGUGAAAGUUCAAAACUGUUUUCAACCUUUGCAGAAAAACAAUCGGUUAAAAACUCGAAACAACCGGUUGUUUUUGCUUCUAUUGUAUGAAAAGAUGGCAUUAUGUUAGAUACUGCAAAAUAAGGAAAGUUCUUGUUCCAAGAGGCAUAUUAAAGUGGAUUCCUAAGUUUCAUAAAGUUUCUUAUGAUCAAACUAACACUUAUGGAUCCAAAUAUUUUAAAGGAUCAAGCCUUGGCACUUGAUAUGUUCUUUUUGCAGGACUUUGCUUCCAUAUUGAAGGAUCUGUAGAAUCUGGCUUUCAUGGAUGCAAAUACUCGAGAUAAAGCAUUGGUUAUGGAAUUAUGAACUGUUUCAAAUCUAUACAAUGAUCUUGAAGGAUAAUUUUUGUUUUUCCUAUGCUUGAACAUUCUGUUUUAAAUCAAAUUCAGUGGUUUCACUCUUGGUUUCUGGAUUAUUUUGUUUUGUAUCUUCCUUAAUCUCAUUCAAACAAUAUGUGCUUUAAUUUGUAUCUCUGAAUUUUGAUUUCUGUUGAAGAAUUUGAUUUUAUUAAAACUCAAAUUGUUGUCACAGAAAAUCAAUCGAUUGUUUUCACGAAACAACCGAUUGUUUCAUCCCUGACAGCACUGUGGUCAAAUCUGCUUUAUUUCUUUGUGCUUCGAUUCAUGUUUAUGAUCAAUCCCAAUGUCGUUAGUGGUCAAUAAUGCAUUUAUUACUGCUUUGAACAUGUAUUCUUUGUGCAAUUACUGCUCUUUAUAGAAUAUAUUCCUUUUUAUAUUGGAAAUUAAAACCCUUUUUAAGCUUGGUCAAUUCAGCAUAUGAUUUCUCUCUUUGUGCUUUCUGUUAGGGUCUGACAGGUUGCUUUAUUGCCUUUGAUUUGAUUCUUUUUCGUUUGAAUUUUAACCCACUAAAUGCCAAAGCUUUGACUGCCUUUUUUGGUUAUAAAUAAGUGUGGUUAUUAGUUGUUUUUCUUCACAAGAAACAACUAUCUAUUUUCUCUUCUGCUCUAAUCUGUUUCUGCAGUUUGCCUACACUCUUUUUCUCUCACUGAAUCAUGGAAUCAACUGCUCCAUCAUCCAAAAGGAUGAAAACAAGGGCUGUGAGAAGCGGAGGUAAACUUAAAAGCUGGUUUGCGGGAGAAACAAAAUUGAUUGAGAAAUACCUACAUGAGACAAGUAGGAAAAUAAUCAAUACUCCAAAACUAAUUUCCUUCAGUUGGAUGAAGCAACAAAAGCUCAUUGAAGUAAAGAACUUGUUGAAGGAGCAAAUACUGAAGAAGUUUCUUGAAAUGUCUGGAAACAUAUAUCCAGAUUUGGUAAAAGUCUUUUGUACAAACCUUCAAUUUAAUGGUCAUAAUCUUAGCUCUCAUGUGAAAGGGGUGGACAUUGAGAUUACCCAUGAGGUUUGAACUUCCAUAACCAGGUUGAAGUACACUGGACUGAGAAUCAAUAAAGGCAAUAUAGGAGUAGUUGAAGAAUUUAACAAGAUGCAAUUCUACAAGAGUUACCUUAAAAAUCUUCUCUCAAAAGUGAGGAAUUUUUCUGUUGGAGGAUUAAAGCUGGAUGAGAGGCUCAUUGCCUUCAUCAUCUCCUGGAUUCUCACACCAAGGGGCAACAACCAUUCCACUCUUUCAAAAGAAGAUUUGGUUCUGAUUUACUACAUCAUGAACAAAGUAAAGUUGAAUUGGAUCCACAUCUUUAAGGACCACAUGCAAAAAUCAACAAGGUUAAGUGAUUUCCAUUAUCCCUAUUCCAUUUUGAUUUCUAAAUUUCUACACUAUUUUGAAGUGGAUUUAGAGGAAGAAUUGUUUGAGGUUGUGAAGUCCUCAAGUGAAAUCAAUAAUGGUUCCCUAAGCAAAAUGGGGUUUACCAAAAUUGGUGGAAGGUGGGUGAGUAAAGAUGGAGACAAAGUUGGAUCAUCAAGUGGGGCACAAGCUAAGGAAGAAAAUGAAGAUGCUGCCACUGGAGAUGAACCUGCAGCUGAAGCAUAUGAGGCUAGACCAAGAUCUACUCACAUGAAUGAAAGGAUAACCUCAAUGUCUCCAUUUGAAAGACUCAUGGUGAGUAGGAUGGAUAGCUUUGCUGAAAAUCAAAUGAGCCUUCAUGAGUUGUGUGAGACUAGGUUCCAGAAUAUGGAUUCAAGAUUUCAAACCUUGGAUGAGAAAAUUGAGGAAGUGCAGAAUCAACUCUUUGAUCUGCAGUAUGGCAAGGAUGAAUGAAGCAAGUUUACAACCUUCCUUUCCAAUUAUGAUUUAAUAUUCUGAACAAUUUCCUUUUCUUUAUGUUGUUUUUAUCCCUUCUUACCCUCUAUUUGUGAAGAAAAAUAGGGGGAAAAGUGUUUUGGGGUUGCAGUGUUCUUAUUCCUACACUUAUUCUGCUUGAACUUUGCCUUAACUGUUUGGUUGUUGUUGUUAUAGCUCUGAUAAUUUUAACCGGUUAAUCCUGUAUUUUAAUAAGUUGUUUUUCUGCUACUGCACCUAUGUAUGUGUAACUGGUUUUCACAAAGAUUUGGUUGAUCUUCCGCUUUGGAAAUCACAUAGUGGAAACUGGUUUUAUGCUGCUUGAUAUAUUUGGAAUAGAUUAUCCUGUGUUUCUGCAUCUUUUUGUGAUUGCAGGUUGUGACAAAUUCUAAACAGAACAUCCCAAAGCAGCCCAGGGAUUUGUCUUCAUCAAAUAGGGGGAGGAUGUUGAAAAUGAAGCUUUGAUGCCUCCAAAUCGGUGAAGAGAGCUUAAUGCAUGUGUUGUUGUGUCUGGGUUUUAGUUCUAGGUAGUUUAGAAUUUGUAAAAUUCAUUCUUGAAUCCAAAGCACAGCUUAAUCAAUCUGGUUUUGAAAAUGAAAAGUGUUUUUCUAAGCUAAGUGAAAAACAAUCGGUUGAUUUCUCGGUUUAGUCGGUUGUUUUCCACCUAGCUUGGUUGGAGGGUUUUCAAACUAUUUUUGACUUGGUUGACUAACUGUCAAAACCAAUUCAACUGAUUAAAAUGACAUUUCAACUGGUUGUUUUUUGAAUUUCUUAACAGCUUUUCAAAAACCUAUUAAAUCUUUUUUCAGUUGAUUUGAAACUAUUUUGGCUCGUGUUUAACUGCCUAAAAAGGCUAGUUUGAAGAGCUAUAAAAAUAGGUUACCCUCCAUAUUUGAAAUAGAGAAAGAGAGAUUAAGAAACAAUUUUGAGGAAGAUUUGCUUCAAGCUUUGCUAGAUUUCCUAAGGCUGUGCCAUUGGUUCAAGAAGUGAAUUAAGAGCUCUGUGAUUUCCUGUAAACCAGGUGUAAUCUGUUCCUUCUAUUCUUGUAAUUUUUUUUCAUUUUGUAUACUUGUAAAUCUGCAAGUUAGAGGGUUGUUCUGACUGUGUGUGUGAAAAGGCAAAGAAGGUGUGUGUUCUUGUGUGAUCAAGAUCACCUCUUUGUGGUGUUGUGUGAUUGUAAUUUGUUGUUGAUUACUUAGUGCAAUACCUAGUGGUUUUCUGGGGACGAGAUGUAGCUCUGGUAAGGAGUGAACUUGAUUGUGUGAUCUUCUCUCUCUCACUCAUUACAAACUGUUUGAUGUGAUUUUUUUUUGUCUUUGUUGCUUUAAACAAUCGGUUAAAUCGAAAUAUCAACCUAUUGUUUUUCUGCAAACAGUUUUAACAACUUUGAUUUCUUAGCUUCCCCGAUUGCUCUUUCUGUAAUUCUUUAUAAAUCUUCAUUCUUAGCUAAUAUUUGCGAAAUUUUUUUGUUAAACAAUUCACCCCCAUCCCCCCUUCUUGUUUAGGCCAUUAAUUCUUACAACUUUUUAGUGAGAUUUUCAAAACACAGGAAGAUAGGAUAGGAUUAGGAAUGAAAUUGGUGGCAUGUGAUGAUUCCAUUGCAUUUCAAAUAUAUGUUUUAAUAGAAAUCCACGGAACAAACCUAAAGGACAAUGAAAGUGGAGGGCAACAACAGAAGGCGGUCCUGACGCUAAGUUGUAGGGAAGUUGAAUGGAGGAGACAGGUCUGUGGUGCGGACUGCGAAGGAGGAGUGGAACGAAACUAUUUUUAGGCAAUGAAUUAUUUGGGAUGGGUCUUGUGGGGUGGAGAUUUUGUGUAUAAAAAAUAAUUAUUUAUUUAAUAUUACUCGGGCUAGUAGGCCAAUCCGUCCCGCCCUGUUGUUGGCCUAUGCGGGCUGCGGGUUAUGUGGGGCGGGAUUAAGUUGGUCAACAAGUUAGAUCAGUGAGCUUCCCUACACUUUUUGGUAGCGGGCUAUGGGCCACCCUGCAUGGCCUGUCCCACAUUGUCAUCCCUAUUCCUACACUUUAGGAGGGUUUGAAGCUGAUAAGUCAAAAUAUUGUAUCACAAUUCCACAUUUUUUGUUCAUACCUCCCAAACCAUUGGUAGAUCUCAUUAGUACCCUUCUAUAGAAUAGAUUAUGAAAACUAGCCUCCCACCAAGUUGAAAAAGUUGUUGAUUGAUCGUAUGAUGGAAACACCAAUCCUAACAAACAUAUAUUAUUCAAGUCAAAUUUUGCACAAUGGAUGGCAUAAUUUUUUGUUGUGUUUACCAAAAUUUUCCAUAAAACGUGUUUGACACAUUUCUUUCAAAAUUCGACAUUAAAUUUUCAAAAAGUUGUCCUUAUCACUUAACAUUUAUCACAUUAGUGGAUAUCUAACCAUAAAAGGAAGAAUUUCUUCAAGUGCUCAUGGAAUAUUUCAACAAAGUGACAUUGAAUAUAUGGAACAUGAACUCGAAGGUAAUUCUACAUUACAUGGUCACGACACUAAAACUAAGACACUUUGUGUAAGAAAUAGGCAUUUGAUUUGGAUGAGUGGAGACACAAUCCACAAAAUUCAUAUAAUUAGAGGAACUCAGUGACUUUCACAAUAAAGUAUAAGUUGAGAUCGUCUCUUUGGAGAAAAAUUUACAAGAAGGAGCAUACUCAUGACAACAACACUUGACAAAAGGCUAAGGAACCAAGGGCUCUCAAUGCAGACAUUACACCCUUUUCAACACUAACAAGGCCCAUAUCUUAGAGGAUACUCCACCAAACCCAUCGCAACCCCCAAGAAAGGUCCAACACCCCCUAACACUGGUCAUAGUCGGCAUCAUCGCAAUUACGGACAUAUGACAAAAUAAUGUCUCACUUUAAAGGAUAAAAUUAAAGAACUAAUCCAAACACGCCACCUGCACAAGUUCAUAAGAAGGCACCAAAAUUAAAGGGAAGGAAAUUAUCAAUCAAGGUGGAAAGUAGAUAAUUUUCGCUGAUAAGGAGAUCGACAAAAAGAUAAUUAUUGCUAAGAAGAACAAUGACAAUACAUCCUUCCAAGGGAGGUGCAAAUAAGAGUAGAGAUGCAUCUUUUUAGGGUGUCAUAAAUACAAUAGUUGGUGGCUAAGUCGGAGGAGGAACUUCAGCCACAACCAGAAAAAAAAGACUCUUAUAAGUCAUGCAAUUAAUCAACAUAAUGUUAUCGACACCAAGAAGGAAAAUACCUUCAAUCACAUUCAAAAACUUACAUUUCAAGGUGAUUAACCUGUUCUAAGAUGACCUAAUCAUUAAAAUUGAGGUGGAAAUUUGUGCCAUCAUUAAGACACGUGUUAACUAAGGAAGCUCAAUUGUAUAAUAUACUAGAAAACCUUCAAAAAGUUGUAGUUACUAAAAAGUGAAAUAAGGUUGAAUAAUGAUCAGAUAGUCAUAUUCUCAAAGGAGAAAGUGGACACCAAGGAAUAUGUUGAGACUUUACAUCAAGUUUUGGGAGGGAAGCAACGAUUAUCACACCAUCAAACUGCAAUGUCUCAUUGUAAGUGUCAAUACUUCCUAUAACAUUUUACUAAGUAGGCUCUCCGUUAAUGCCUUGGGUACUAUCACCUCAACCCUCACUUAACCAUGAAACUCUCUUCGGCUUUAGGAGACACAAUCAUGGUGUAUGUCAACAAAAAAACAACUAGAGAGUGUUAUGCGAUAGAUCUGCAAAUAACCCCAACACUUAGUUUGCGUACCUCCCACAAUAUUGACAAUCACAAGAUGUGGUCACAAUGGGCUACCUUCUCUGAUCAAAAGAAAAGGAAGUUGGGUAAAGAAAUAAGAACAUCGACUAUAGAGGAUGUACAUAAACUUCUUAAGGUAAAAUUUAUAAAAGAAAUCAACUACAUUAUUGUUGAAUCAAGUGUGAUCAAAAGCUUUGAAGAAUCCAAAUCCUGGUGUUUGAUGGAAGGUUGAAGUUGCUUGGAGUUGCUCCUGUGUUUUUAGAGUAGGAUCUGGGUAGUUAUCUUUGUAAUCCACUCUUUGUUGAAUCUAAAACUUAAGUGUUUUCAAAUCUUUUAACUUUAAAGUGUUUUUCAAACUAAGUGAAAAACAACCUGUUGUUUUGUCGAAACAACUGAUUGUUUUACACUUAGGUGUUUUUGAAAAUGUUGAAAACUGUUUUGGUUGGUUGACUUGCUGUCAAACCAAAACAAUCGAUUGUUUCGUGAAAUCAAUCGAUUGUUUGUUUGAAAAUCUUAACAGAAUCUGUUUUGUUAGUUAAGUGUGCUUUAAAUGAUUUUCAAACUGAAUGCGCUCCUAUUUUAAAUGCUUUGACCAAUAUUUCAAAACUUUAAAUAGUUUGUUAAUGUUUUGUAACAAACAAGAAAAAAAGAAAAGAGAAAAAACAGAUUUGAGUUUUUCAGAGAUUGCUUUCAAGAUUUGAGUUUUCACCUUUGAGCUUUGGUUUUCUCAAGAGAUAGUGGAAUAUGAUUACAUCUGUAUUGAUUUCAGUUCAUUCUGUGACAAGUGUAAUUCGUUCUUAAUACUUUGUACUUUCUGGUGUUGUAAAGCCAAGAAGGUUGCUCUUGAGGUUGUCAAGAUCAACAUUUUUGGUGGGUGUGCUGAGCCAAAGGAAGUGUGUUUCUUGAAGGGAUCAAGAUCAUUUCUUUGGUGGUGUUUGUGUGUAAUCUGUAUUUGAUUGCUUAGUGGAUUGCUUAAUGGUUUCUGGGGACUGGAUGUAGCUCUUGGUUUAAGAGUGAACCAGUAUAAAUUGUUUGUGUAUCUCUUUCUUCUCUCAAACUCAUUUAAAUUCAGUUGUUAUUGUUUUACUGGUAUAAACAACCGAUUUUUUUUCUGGUGCUUUGCUGUUUUGAGCUUUGUUUCUUGGCUAACUGAAUUUCUAAUAUGGUUUCUUGCAAAUAAUUUCAUUCUAGCUUAAAAAUUUUGCGAAAACCCCCUUUAAACAAAUCACACCCCUUCUUGUUUAAGGCCAUACAUUCUAACAAUUGGCAUCAAGAGCUUGGUACUUGAAAAAUACUCAAGUUUGAUCCUAAAAUCUUUUUUCAAUGGCUGAAAAACUACCUUUUGGAGAGGGUGCUUCAAUCAACAGACCACCUCUAUUCUGUGGUUUGAAUUAUCAAUUAUGGAAAGUUAGAAUUAAAAUCUUUGUUGAAUCUCUUGACAAGGGAAAUUAGGAUGCAAUUGAAAAUGGUCCUUUUAUUCCAAAAUUUGAAAAAGAUGGAUCUUCCAUUGAAAAACCUUGGUGGACUGAUUCUGAAAACAAAAAGGCCAAAUUUGAUUGUAUUGCUAAGAACAUCAUAACAUCUGCCUUGAAUUCAGAUGAAUUUUUCAUGAUUUCUCAAUGCUCAUCGGCCAAGGAGAUGUGUGACACUUUGGAGGUGACUCAUGAAGGAACCAAUGAUGUGAAGAGAGCUAGAAAGUAUACUCUAAUUCAGGAAUAUGAAAUGUUUAGAAUGCUUAAGGGUGAGUCAAUCGCUGAAGUAUAAAAGAGGUUCACCCACAUCAUCAACCACCUUAUGAGCCUUGGGAAAACCUUUGAUAAAGAAGAACUAAACAUCAAGAUCCUCAAGUGUCUUGAUAGAUCAUGGCAACCUAAGGUGACAACAAUUUCUGAAUCAAAAGAUUUGACAUCCUUGACAACGACUUCAUUGUUUGGUAAGCUUAGAGAACAUGAGUUAGAAAUGAAUAGACUCAAUGUUCAAGAAAGUGAAGACAAGCAUGUGAGAAGCAUUGCCUUGAAAGCUGCCACGCACAAAAGCAAGCAAGAGUCAAGUGAUGAAAGUGAAGAAGAAAACCUUAGUUUGCUGUCCAAAAAGUUCAGUAGAUUCUUGAAAAGAAAUCGCAACAAAGAAGCCAACAAAGAAAGGUAUGGCAACAAGAAAACUAGUGAUUUCAAUUCUAACAAUUAUACUUGCUUUGGUUGUGGUGAACAAGGGCACAUAAAAGCUGAUUGCCCAAACAAAGAAAGCAAUGAAAAGAAAUCAAGCUACAAGGAGAAAAAGGGAAAAUCAAGAAGAGCAUAUAUUGCUUGGGAUGAAAAUGAAGUCUCCUCAUCAAGUGAAAAUGAAAAGGCAAACAUAUGCUUGAUUGCAGAAGGAGAUGAUGAGUCAUGUAGCUCAAGCAAUGUAAGUUCAUGUGCUGAAAAUUAUAGUAAAUUGCUUCAAGCUUUUCAAGAAACUCAUGAAGAAGCAAACCGAUUGGUUCUAUCAAACAACUGAUUGAAAGGGCUUAACAACUGGCUUGAAUAGAGGGUUAAGACACUUGAAGAAGAGCUAGAAAAAUCAAAAAUUGAUUUUGAAAAGCUUGAAAAACAUUGCAAAAACUCUUCUCAUGUGUGUGACUCUCUUGUUUGUGAAAAUUGUGAAAACCUUGAAAAGAAAGUCCAUUAUCUUGUUAGAAUUGGAUAAGCUUUCAAAGGGAAAAUCCAACUUUGAGAAUGCCUUGGCAUCUCAAAAUUGUGUUUUUGGAAGAGCUGGAUUAGGUUUUAAUCCACAGAACAAGCAAGAUAAUUUUUCAAAGAAAUUUUCAAAAUAGCCAGUAAAACAACCGAUUGUUAAGUCGAAACAACCGGUUGUUACAUGCUUUUAUUGCAUGAAAAGAGACCAUUCUGUCAGAUUCUGCAAAAUAAGGAAAUAUUCUGUUCCCAAAGGUUUCAUGAAGUGGAUUGUCAAAGGUAGUGAGGUUUCAAAUGAUAAAGAUAAAUCAAAUGGACCCACAUUUGUAAGGGGACCAAACCUUGUUGCUUAAAUUCAUUUUUAUGCAGGGAAAUUAGAAGAACAUGAAGCUCUGAGUCAUCUGAUCAGGUUCUUGGAAGGAAAGGAUUAAGACUGGAACUGAAUUGAGGGUGUAUACCAGUUCAAGCCUUUUCAAAAGUCAAAAGAAGCUUCUUGAUCACAAACAAUGACUCGUUGAAGGGACUUCAUAAAAGGAUAAGACCUUCCUUAACUUUGCCUUUGUCUUCCAACACAAGCAACCAGGGAUUUGUCUUCAUCAAAUAGGGGGAGAUUGUUGAAUCAAGUGUGAUCAAAAGCUUUGAAGAAUCCAAAUCCUAGUGUUUGAUGAAGGCUGAAGUUGCUUGGAGUUGUUGCUGUAUUUUUAGAGUAGGAUCUGGGUAGUUAUCUUUGUAAUCCACUCUUUGUUGAAUCUAAAGCUUAAGUGUUUUCAAAUCUUUUAAGUUUAAAGUGUUUUUCAAACUAAGUGAAAAACAACUUGUUGUUUUGUCGAAACAACCAAUUGUUUUACACUUAGGUGUUUUUGAAAAGGUUUAAAACUGUUUUGGUUGGUUGACUUGCUGUCAAACCAAAACAAUCGAUUGUUUGUUUGAAAAUCUUAACAGAAUCUGUUUUGUUAGUUAAGUGUGCUUUAAAUGAUUUUCAAACUGAAUGCGCUCUUGUUUUAAAUGCUUUGACCAAUACUUGAAAGCUUUAAAUAGUUUGUUAAUGUUUUGUAACAAACAAGAAAUAAAGAAAAGAGAAAAAACGGAUUUGAGUUUUUCAGAGAUUGCUUUCAAGAUUUGAGUUUUCACCUUUGAGCUUUGGUUUUCUCAAGAGAUAGUGGAAUAGGAUUACAUCUGUAUUGAUUUCAAUUCAUUCUGUAACAAGUGUAAUUCGUUCUUAAUACUUUGUACUUUCUGGUGUUGUAAAGCCAAUAAGGGUUGUGUGCUCUUGAGGUUGUCAAGAUCAACAUUCUUGGUGGGUGUGUUGAACCAAAGGAAGUGUGUUUCUUGAGGGGAUCAAUGUCACUUCUUUGGUGGUGUUUGUAUGUAAUCUGUAAUUGAUUGCUUAGUGAAUUGCUCAGUGGUUUCUGGGGUCUGGAUGUAGCUCUUGGUUUAAGAGUGAAUCAGUAUAAACUGUUUGUGCAUCUCUUUCUUCUCUCAAACUCAUUUAAAUUCAUUUGUUAUUGUUUUACUAGUAUAAACAACCGAUUGUUUCGCAGAAACAACCGAUUGUUUUUCUGGUGUUUUACUGUUUUGAGCUUUGUUUCUUGGCUAACUGAAUUCCUAAUCUGGUUUCUUGCAAAGAAUUUCAUUCUAGCUUAAAAAGUUUGCGAAAACCCCCUUUAAACAAUUCACCCCGCUCUCGUUUAAGGCCAUACAUUAUAACAAUUACUUGUGUAGAAAACAUUAUCUUGAUAAGAAAAAUGAAUAAAAAAGAUAAAUGUAUACAAACUAAACAAAUCUAAACAACGCAUACCUAAAAAAUAUUCAUCAUUGAGCAUUAACCGAAUAGUUGAUGAGACUCUUAAGCAUAAGAUUUGAAGUUUAUUAACAUAUUAUGGAUACAACCAAAUUUGGAAAUUUAGAUACACAUGAAGAGAGAACGAAAAAACUAAAUUCAUAACAUAAAUUAGAAUGAAAAUAAUAUGACAGAAAUCAAGACAAACCAGUCAUUACAGUGAGACGUCGUAAAAUCAAUUCUUAUUUUUUUAAUUAAAAUUAUAUAACAUAAGAUUAAAUUUAGAUAAGUGUAUCUUCAGAUCAACGGAAUAAAAUUUUGAAUAAAAAAUUUAAGUUUCAUAUAACACAUAAUAAAAUUAUAAUAAUAUGAUAAUUAUCAUUAAAAUAAUUAAUACAGCUGAUAAUAUUAUUAUUGUUACGUGUGCAUGAAAGCGUUUUAAUACCUUCAAUUUAUUAAAAAUGUCAAGACCAAGGUUAAAUUACUCAUUUGACAUGUGAUGAAUUUUUAAAUUUAUCUACACCUAUAUAUAAAGAAGAUUCCUUUUCAUAAUAUUUUUUUACAUAAAUUUUUUCUAAUUUAAUAUAUCUCAUUUUAUUAGUAUAAUGGAGUAUUUUGUCAUUUUAUUAGUACAAUGAAGUUUUUUUUUUAAUUUUACCUUAUUUAAUAUAUCUCAUGUCAAGACCACUCUUCCCUUAAUUUCUUAUUUUAAGGCAACAACAGAAAGAAAGAACUCUCACCCUAAUUCGGUUCUCAUACCAAAUCUCACAUAUCAAAUAAAAUAACAUCUACUUCUAAUUACUCUCUCCACACCAUUUCAAGCAACUCUAUUUUUUGGUAAAUCCAUUAUUCUUUUGUAUCUAGCAUCAAUUAAAUCUUAACUUUACAUAAAUAUCAUCACAUUCUCCAAUCCCAAAAUCAUCAAUGGAAGAAGAGAAAAAACUUAAAGAAGAAGAGAAACUCAGACAAGAGAAGAAGAGAAACUCAGAUAAGAGAAGAAAAAAGAUGUUGAUUAAUCAAUUCAUCAUUUUUCUUUUACAUGUUAUUUUUUGCUUUUUAAUUUCGACUCAUCCAAAAUUAUUUAUGUAUGUAUGUUAAAUUUUUAUCAUCGUCAAAGUUGAGCAGAAGUGGAAAAGAAAAAUGUUGAUACACAGGCGCAAGGCUCGAACACUCCUCUUAAAUGGCGUGUCCGUGUCGGACACCGACACUUGUACGCCACUCGUAGGACACGUUUCAGUGAAGUAAAAGAAGAAAUACAUUAAUUUUCUAAAAACUUAAACUUGUGUAUAAAUUUUUAUUAUGAUUAUAAAAAUAAGGAACAAAUCCUUCUGAAUCAGCCAUGAAAAAACAUCUUUCUGCUAAAAAAAAACUAAAAGAUACUUGUGAACAUAAAUCUUUAUUGUCAAUUUAUAUAAUUCUUAAUUAUAUAAUAUAUAGAUUUGUGUCUUUAUAUCCUACAUUUUAGAUAUUAUACGUAUUUUCAUGUUCGUGUUAGUGUCUAUACUAUACGUAGACAGUAUUUAUACUAGAGUUAAUAAUGAUUUUUAAGAAAAUCAAUGUAAUAAUUUAAAUGUUAAAGUUAUUCGUUUCGUGGAUUCAAACUUAAUGUAAUUAAUAAUUUAAUUUCUCACGAAAAAGGAUUACAUGUAUGUUUGAAGGUAUUUUUGCAACCAUAAUUAUAUUUAAAAAUUACUAAAAUUAUAAAACUCUUUGCAACAACAUAAUUUUUUUCGAUUUUUCCUAAAAAAUUAAUAAUAUUCAAGUUCAUCACUAAUCAUCUUCGUCAAAUAUUUCUUUAAUACAUCAUACUAUUUUAAUGAAUUUAUCAAUUUUUUAUUUGAAUUCAAAAUUAAAUAUUUUUUUAAAUAACACGUGUGUGUCUUAAAUUAUAUAAUAUUUUUAAAAAUUAUCUAUAAAUAAAUUUAUUUUAACAAUUUUUAUCCUGUAAUAAUGGCACACACAAAAGAAGUCCAACAAGUUAAAUGAAAUUUAAAUUAAUCUUGAGUAAUCAUGACUUGGUAAGGCCUCACCAGAAAAGGCUGAUGGCUGGCUGAGCCGGAGCCUGAGCCUGGCUCGGUGGGACCAUCAGAGCUUCUGUGUGCUCUGUUACCACUCACCACCGACACUCAAUAAUAAUGCUUUGGAACUCCACAUCUACCUACCAUGCACUUCCCUCCACGCAUUAACCUCUCUACUUCCUUAGCUUUGCACCAUUUAUUGUCACAAUUAACUGAAAAUUUAAACAACAAAAAAAACAUAAUUUUAUAAAUAAUCCACUCAGAAGCUUCACGUAGUGUCUUUAUGUACUCAGAAAGUGAGAAAGUGACAUGAUGAGGGAUCUCUUGUAGCAAAGAAAUAUUUCCAGAAUUACAGCAGAUGACAAAAAUUUGUUGGCAUAUCAUUAUCGAAAGAGCGUUAAAUCAUUUUCUGUAUUAAACUCUAGGUUUGUAGGGGUGGAGAAGAGGAAUAAUAUGCUUCAAAAGCAAAUUCACAAUAAUACCUUACUGCUAAUAUACUGCACUUACCACCUUUCUUACACUAAGGAUUAUAAAUGUGGAAUUUUAAUUCUUCACGUGAAAGCUUGUGAAGCAGAAUGACUUUACCGUAACUAGAAAAUCAUUGUCCCAUAUUCCAUCAAGGAGAAUUCUGAAUAUUACAACAUUUUCGGUUACAAUUAAAAUCAGACUCAUUUUUCCUGCACCUUCAUCUACAGUCAUAAAAAAUUUAAAAAUACAUUUUUAUCUUUCUUGUAUCAUCCCUGUAGAUUAGCUUCCGGAUUAUGUUAUUAUCCAAACAUCUAUUUAAAAAAAUAUUUUCAAAUUACAUAAUUCGGAAGCUAAAAAAGAUUUUUGGAUUAUGUAAUCUGAAAACUAAUCAUACAUCUUAAAAAAGUAUUCGAAUUAUAUAAUCUAAAAACUAAUUACGAAUUUGAGGAGAGACUUCUGAAUUACGUAAUCCGAAAGAUUACAAAGAGAUAUUUUUAGAAAUACGAAUAUUUAUGGAAGUGGAAGAAGAUAUGGAAGUGGAGUAAGAAUUAGUCUUAAAAUCAUGCCAGCCGAAACUUGAUUUAAUAGAGUAGCUGUGUAGAAUCCUAACGGCCAAGUAUCGGUAUGCGCUUGAUUGUAGCCCAAACUAAUUAAUGCCUAGCUUGCGUUUUCUUUCCUACCUGCGCCGUCUUACUGCGCUUCCAUACUUUAUGAAAACUCUAAUUUACCCUUUUCAAAUAGUAGGAUUCAAAAGGUAAUUUGCUACAUUCCUUUACGAUUAAUAAAAUUAUAUUUCGAAUGGUAAAAUUUAAAAAGUAUUUUAAAUAAAAAAAUACUUUCAAACUCUAUAAUUCAAACUACAAAAUCAUAUUUUAAAUUACAAAAUUUGAAAGGUAUUUAAGAAUAACGAAAAAUAUAUUUUACACUCAAUUUUAUAUUUUAAAUUGUAGAGUUCAAAAAGAUUUAAGGAUUAUACAAUUCAAAAAUGAAAAAAAUAAACUUAACACUUUUUGGUGAAGUAAUUUUGGAAUUAAAAAAGUUAUGGAGGUAUAAGAAGAAAUUACAGAUAUCUAAGAAGAAAAUGUUCAUGUUAUCAUGUUAUAAAAUAAUUUGGACUUUGUUUCACCCAACAAAAUAUGAAUCAACACCAUGUUAUAAGGUUUUUCUUCCUGUACCUCUAUACCUUCUCCUUGCAACUCCACAAGUCAAGCAAAAACAUAAUUUUGUCCUUAAAAAAAUAUAUUUUAGAAUUCUAAAAUCGAGAAAUAUUUUGUUUUCUAUUUACAGCUCCUAGAUUGUAGAACCCAUAAGGUAUUUUCGAAUCUGAAAAUAUCUUUUGAAUUCUAUAAUAUAUUUUUUCUUUCAGAAAAUACAUUCUAGAUUACAGAAUUCAUAAGAUAUUUUUGGAUUUGAAAAUAUAUUUCGGAUGGUACAAUAUGUAGCCCUCUUACUAUAAUAUGUAUUUUAGAUUCUAGAUUGUACAAUCCCAAAAAUAUUUAUGGAUCCAAAAUUACCUUCCAGAUAGUACAAUCUGUAACACAUAUUAUAGUAAAGGAAUGUUACGAAUUUUACAAUCCAGUAUACAUGAAAAAAGUGAAAAAAAUAAGCAAACAAAAAACGAAUGGUAAAAACAUCACAAAACUUAUAUCAACCACCAACGUUUACCACCACCAACCACCACAAACAACCAAGGCCACUUGAAAAUGAAAAAGAAGUCACCACACUCUCCACCAAAAUAAAAAUUCUAACAUAUACUUAAAAGAAUAGGGCUUGAAAUUAAAAUAAUAUGAAAGUGUAGGGAAUGUGUGGAAGUAUAGGGACAAUAUGCCACUUGUUCUAUCCGGUUGACUUGCCCCGUCGGUCGUCUUCAACGGUUUCUUUGGCCCUUCUAUCCUUACCUGAGAACUGUGCCUUCUCCAUCAAAAAACAUGUCACCUGCAAAGAUAAAGGGGUGCCCUAGCGGCCGUUUGCACUCCGUCGCUCAAGUCAGUAUUAGGGCAAAGAACAUCAAGUGUAUAAAAUAGUUUUAGUCUCAAAAGUUGCUUACCUUACUAGGGUUCUUCACACCCUUUAUAUAGGUUGAAACUAGGGUUUACCUUUGUUUUGUUACCACUGCUUAGGGUUCCUUGGGAAGUGUCCCUGUGUCGCUAUUGUGUAAUCUUCGCAUAUCUGGCACAUGAACUUCCUUUAACUGGAGUGCAACGAAUAAUCAGAGUGCCGCCUAGGUUCCAACUUGGUGCACCUAAUAUCCAGCGUCAUGUGUUUCGCGGGUGCCCUAAGUACCCACGUGCCAUGCAUGCAACUUUCCUGGAAAACCCUAAUUCUACUGGACUUUUGCACCCCCUAAGGUUUAUCCAUGAUGAUGUGCCUUCAUGCAUCAUGCACCCCACAUGCAUGGGUCUCUCGUGCCUUAGGCUUCCCAUCCAUCUUUUAUCUUUAACUGUUAUCUUAACGAAAUUCUAGGGCCCACCUUACGAGGCUUUCACUUCAUCCUAACGGCAGAUGUCCGAUCUUAUCCCUCUACUGGUGAGGUCCGAUAUCGAUCUCCGACAUCAGGCUUAGGGUAGCAAUGUCAAAGACUAACCAACCCCUUGGUAGGUGUGUCUGGGGCCCACCUUAAGUGACCCCCUUUCAUUACCAUACAUCAGUGCGCGAUGUCUGAGGUCAGUCUUUGAGUCGAUGACCGAGGACUGGUCGGGACACCACUUAUAAAAUAAUUUGGGCUUUGUUGCACCCAACACAAUUUGAACCAACACCAACACUAGGCUGCUUCUUCCUACACUUCAUAAGUUCUUGCAGGACCCUCAUAAGUUUUAUAAUAUUUCAAAAAUACUUUUCAGUAAAAAAAAGUUAAAAUGUUUGAAGGUUUAGUUAUGGAGGUGUGUUUUCUAUAUAUUAUGGAUUGUGUAAUCCGGUGACUCUUCGGAUUACACAAUCUAGAAUUAAUUUAAUUGAAAUGUUUGUGUAUCUUUUGGAUUAGGUAAUCUAGAACUUGUUUCCGAAUCUAGUAAAAUGUUCUGAAUUCUCCAUUCAUAAUGCAAAAUUAUAUUUUGGAUUAUGUAAUUCGAAACGUAUUUUUAUAAAAAAAAAAUAUAUUUCCGAUUAUGUCAUCUAAAAGCUAAUUUAUGAUAUGGGAACCUUUUCUAGAUUGAUAGAAUCCAAAAGUUUUUUUUUUGAAUAAAUAUAUUAUGAAUUAUGUAAUCUAAAAUAUUUUAAAAAAUAUAUAUAUAUUAUGAAUUACCCGAAAGUUAUUUUUAAAUUUAGAAAAGACUUUUAAAUAUAUUUUUUUAUUAAAGGAUAAAAAUAUAUUUUCAUGAAAAUAUCCAGGAAGAAAAAUAUCCAGGAAGAAGCAGCCCAACACUAACAUAAAAUGACAAAAAUGUUUUUUUAAUUUCUAAAUGGUAAUGGAGGAUGCAAGUAAAAAUAUAUUUCAUGUUUAAUAUUAAGCUUUCCAAAAACAACUUUCCAUAAUAGUCUUUCUAAAAUAUGAUUUUAGAUUUUUCCACUUUUUUAAAAUAUACUUUUAAAUUUUGUUUUUCAGACUUUUUUUUUUUGGAAUGUAUUAUUUGUUUUCCAAAUUUUUAUAGAAUAUUUUUUAGAUUUUUGUUUUCCACUUUUUCAAAAUAUAUUUUUGAAUUUUGUUUUUUAAUUCUCUGUUUUGAAAUGUAUUAUUUGUAUUCCAAAUUUUUUAUUGUAGCCCAAACUAAUUAAUAGAAACCAUUGCCCUAGCUUGCGUUUUCUUCCUUCACUAUAUGACUUUCAUACUAUUUAUGAAAAGUCUAAUUUUCUUUUUUAAAUUGUAGAAUUUGAAAAUUAUUUUCUAAUUUGAAAAUUCUGAACUUUAAAAUUAUAUUUCAAAUUGUAGAGUUCAAAAGAGCUUUACAGAUUAUACAAUUUAAAAAUAAAUUAAAAAACAAACUCAACGCUCUUUGGUGAAGGAUAAUUUUGGAUUUAAAUGAAUUAUGGAGGUCUAAGAAAAAACUAUAGAAAUAUAUAAAGAAAACACUCAUGUUAUCAUGCUACAAAAUAAUUUGGGCUUUGUUGCACCCAACAAAAUUUGAACCAGAAUCAUGUUAUAAAAUAAUUUGGCACAUUUUCCUUGCACCAUACCAUUUUUUUACCAACACCCAAUAGCACUAUGUGAAAUGUCUAUUGUAUUCUUAAUGAAUAAAAGCUAGGUUUUCACUAACAAUGCAUUCCCUACACCAACCCUUAGGCACCCAACAUUCAGUGACUACUUAAGGCACGGUGGUACUUAACACACACCACUGAGUUCUUAAGGCACUACGAUGGAGAGGAGAAGAGUUGUCAUUCACAAAGGAGGAGAAGAGUUGUGGUUGCAAGAACUAAUACGCAGUGCAAUACAAUAAGUUUUCGCAAAUUUUGUGACUUUUGGAUAUCUAUAUCCGGAAGUGUUUUUCUAUUCUAAAUGCUUCAGUUCCAAGUGAGGACUUUGAAGAUUAUAUUGAACAAGAAGAAGUUGAAAUUGAUGAUGAAGACUAUCCAGGAGUGUUAGUGGAUAAGUCAUUACUGAUUAAUUAUGAAGAUCAUGUGGUCAAAUAGUUAUGGGAUGAUUUGGUAAGUAAUGAACAUUAAUUGAGUGUCUUAUGGAUGUAUGUAUUUAUUGAUGGUAUAGGUUGAUUAUUGUAGGAUCGUGGUGAUAAAUAAGUUAGGAGCACCUCAUGAGCGUAUAGAGACUACAAUAGACAUGUGUGGCUUAAGUGGUCUAGUUCAUGCAAGUUAUCAGGUCGAGGAUUGUUUUGUGCAUUUGUAGAGAGGUGGCAUCCAUAGACAAACACAUUUCAUUUGCCUAUUGGGGAGAUGAUCAUCACUCUUGAUGAUGUGUCAAAUUUGUUGUAUCUGCCCACUAUAGUUAAAGAUGACGAUCUCACUACAAAUGAAGUAGACCUGCGAUGGUUACAUUUCAAUGAUUAUGUCAUACAGGAAAUGGACGUAGCACCUUAUCCUGGCGCAUGUGUUCAACAUUACAUGGAGUGGUUUCGAUCGGUAUCACAUUCAUAUGUCAUUGACAUGGCUGAGGAUGAUCGUCCUGCACCUCAAGAUCAUCUGCCCACGUACCAGUGGCAACACAUCCUGAAGAGAUACAUCCUGAACAUCCUACUCUAGUAUGUAUGAACAAUUAAUAACAUUUUCAUUUGUGUUAAUUUUUGUCUAGUAUUAUGACACUCAUGGUUGUAGGAUAUUUGUCAUAAAAUUACACAAACAUUGCAACCAUUACUUAAUCAUGGUGAUGUGGUGGAGGACAGUCCUGUGUGGUAAGGAAUACAAGCAACCCUGAUGUUAGCACGAGAAGCGACGAAUGACCGAGUUGAGUUGGGUAUGUCAGAAAACAUUCAUGUAGGAAUGAUUGAUUAUGUAUUAGGACAAUUGUUGUAAUAUUUUUAUCCAUGAACAAUGUUGUUUGAACUUGAACUUUAAGUAUAACUUAAUUUUGUUUUGACCUUAUGACUACCUUUUAAUGUUAAUUUUACUUAUAUUCUUUAAAUUAGUUUGGUUUAGAGAGUUUUAAUCCAUUAAAAGUACCAAAAUUAUCACACUGCCAAAAAAAAAUAUAUAAUUCUGGAUGACAAUAUCCAUAAACAAAACAGGAUGCCAAUAUCCAUAAACAAUUAUGUGACAACAUUUGUACACAAAUAUGUAACAAGGCAAAGUUGGAUUUAAAAACUUAUGUUGGAUUUUGAUAUGGUGCAAGGAGAAAUUGCCAAAUAAUUUAGGCUUUGGUGAACCCAACAAAAUUUGAACCAGCUCCAACACUAAUGACAAAAAUGUUUUUUAGUUUUUAAAUAGUAAUGGAAGAUCCAAGUCAAAAUGUAUAACAUAUUUGAUAUUAAAGAGUACAUUUCUGGAUUAAGCUUUCCUUUUUGGAUUUUGUUUUCAAGACUCUUUUGGAAUGUAAUAUUUCUAUUCCAGAUUUGCUUUUCUGGAAUAAGAUUUUGGUUUUCCAAUUUGAUUCCAAAAUUUCAUUUCCAGAACACACAAAAUCUGUUCUCGAUAUUUAUUUUCCGAAAUGUAUUUUUCAAUUCCAGAAUAAAGGAUAAUUCUAGAAUUUUAAAAAUUGAUUGGGUGCAGGUUAGAAUUUGAUUGGAUGCAAGAAUCAUAAGCCAAUAAUUUGAAGCAUUCCUCUUCAAACCAUUGCACAAAAUAAUCUCGAAAACAUUAUACAUAGACAGUAUGCAGGGUUGAGUCAUUACUAAAUUCAACAACUAUCGUCCACUCCUCAACCUCUCACGUACAAUAUUUGCCAGUCCGACGAAUAGUUUCUGAACUUCAGCAAUCUAGACUCGGCAUUUACAUUUGCUACUCAAAAAGGUAGAUCAGUUAGAUUUUUGGCAUUUUAAUAUUCCGAAUGACAUUUACUCUGAUUUCAUUCAGAGAGCAGUGUUUAACCUCAAAUACCAGCUCAUUCACUAUCUUUAGAUCUGUCUGCAUCUUACAUCCACUACAACGUGACGAAUAUGUGGAGCAUACCAUUUUACCCUCUCAACAUGUUCUACAGAAAUCUCCCAACAAUAACCUGUGGGUUGAUCAGUCGUAAUUCACAAAAUUAGAUCUUCUUGCAGUGGGACAAUACCAAAGUUGAAUAAUUUAAAAAUAUAAAAUAAAAUGUGCUACCUUCCGAUCUAGCAAUGUCAUUUAUUGAUUUUGCCACACGAUCAAUCCACUCACUCUCCUCUGAGUCUUUUGUAUUCCCGUGGACAUGUAACAUUCCACCCUCUCUUCUGCAAACGUUGAUUCAAUGAGAGAAUGAAAUUGAUGAUGAAAGUAGAAGCCAAGAAGUGAAAUCAGAGCAGAAUUAAGUUCGUCAUAACAUAUUCACAAUUUUCUUCAUGUCUAGGUUCAUAUAUUAAUUCCAAUUUUGUAAGAUUUCAGAGUCAUUAACUGAAUUAAGAAACAUAAAUUUGGUUCAGUUACUCAUACAGUUUCCAGAUGCAGUGGUUUUUUAGGCAAUUAAAAUGCAUGAGAUAUGAACCACAGCUUUUGGGGAUCAUUAUGACUAAAAUUGGUAGAAUUAGUAGACAAGUCAAACAAGCCAAUUUGAAAAUUAACCACAAAGCGAAGACAAAAACCUUAAGUAUGUUGAAUGCAAUGAUACAUAUUAGUAUUUCCAAUUACCUUAAAGCCCUCACUGCUGUGAUCCAGCUAAGCUCACUAGAUGGAAUGAGACCUAGACAAACUCUAUCAGCCACACCCUGUAAAUGAAAAAAAAAAAAAAAACUACAUUAAAAUAUUUCUUCCCACAAACAUUAAUUAGUGUCAAGAAUCAACGAAUCCAUUUUCCUUAGACAUCACACUUUCAUCGUCAGUGUUCACAAUGAUUGGAUUUGAAAAAGGAGAAUAGAGCAAACAGAUCAUUGAUCAUAUGUUUCCUUCCUACUUAUCUUUUAACAAAACAAGGGAAUAAAAAACUCCCAAUUUCUCUUCAUCUUCUUUUUAUCCAAACAAGGGAAGAAGAAUAUUACAAUCUUUUGAAUUCCUCUGUACAAUUUUCUUGCCCUUCACAUAAUUCCUCCUUUCAUCUUUAAGUUCUUUAUUGAAUACUUGUAGGAGGAGCGUCUCUAAUAAUAUCACAGAAAUGCUCAUUGAUUUUCUCAUGUGUUUGGAAUAACACAGAGGCUAAUAAUAAAUUAUCUUAAUUAGCAAAGAGAAAGAAAAGAUUCCAGAAUAACUUUUACAGGUAUGUACUACAGUAUACAAUCAAGUUUUAUUGCAAGUAAACUACACAGUUUGCUAAUAACAGAAGUACAUUUCCUUUUUAUGAAGAGUCAACAAAAAAAGGUUAAUCAAAUAUCAAUUCUCUUUAUUUCUGUUUUGACUGAUAAUUGUUGUCUGUUACAAGCUAUAACUGUCUUCUAUUCUUGUUUUGGCUGACAGCUGUUUUUUAUUAGACAAUUAUAACUGUCUUCAUGACAGUUAUAUAACUCUUACAGCUGUCUCACCUUGCCUAGCUGUAGCUUCUCAUCUAUAAAUACUAUUGUACAGAGAAGCUCAGCACCUUUUUGUAAUCUUCUACGUUGAGAAACACAAUAUAACAUUUUUCUAUUCUUUCUAUCUCUAUAUUCGAUAUAUAUUAACCAUCUCAAAAUGUUGGCAAUCAAUCUUUUGGUUAAUCCUCCUAAAUAAAAAAAAAUGUUUACCAGCAAUAGGGAGGGAACCUAAGGGCAAUCAAAGCAUUACUGAGAAAGGGUGAGGGGGUGUCUGAUUUGUGACAGAUGAAAAAUGGAUCAUUCGCUUCUCCAAGAAAUGCAUCGAGUUUACAGCUGAAUUAGUAAGUUAAUUGGCAGUGCAGAAAGGUUUUGCUGUGACAUAAAACACAGUUUUAGAUGGAUUAUUCCUGGGAGUGAUUGUUGGGUGGUGAAUCAAGCUCUUUGAAAGAGUUCAACAAGGAGAUGGCAAUGGUAAAUCUUAUUUUUCUUUGCAGGGUGAAUACAGUAUAAAUAGUUAAAUACAAAUACUAUACCCUGGGAGCGGUAAUGCGAUUAUCUCCUUCAAGUAUGAUACAACGAUCAGCCACAGAAUUUGCUUGGAGAUUAUGUCGUAGUGCUUCUACUGCAUGGGGAUUCCACUCACAAGCAUAUACAAAUUUUGCCUGGGCCCUGCUUGAGAACAUGCAAAAACAAUAUGACUAUAUAUAGGUUAACAUUAUUUUGUGUAUGUGUGUGUAUAUAAAAAUGCGUCCCACUGGGCGUAUAAAAUAGAAUAUUGCUGGAAAAACCUCAGAAGCAAGCAAUGCUGGAAAAUAGAAUAUUAGAAGUCUUGGUAUUUGGGCUUAAGAGUUAGGCCCCAACUCUAUUUCACAAAAUUGGUUUGGAAGGUGAAUAGUGAAAACUGUCCAAGCCUUGUACGGACUCCAUUGGUCAUUUCUAGUUUAUAUGAGAUCUCAAUACAAACACAGGUUUGUAUGUAGAAGACUGCAUAAGCCUUAUAAAGACAAUAUUGACCAUAUUUUUAGUUAAUAUGGAAUUUCAGCAACAAAAUAUUUCAAAACCUCAAUCUCUGUUUAAUUUAAGUUCAGGAGGCAUGUCCCAUCCCAUCCCAUCCCAGUCACCAAAUGUUCAUAUUUAGAUCCAUAAUGUAUUUUAUGAUGUUUGCAAAAAAUAAAUUAUCAAAUUUUGUUCACUGUGGACCCAUAUCUUCCAUACAACACUACAAAACUUAUCACAAUAUAAUUAGAGAUUAAGUGUAAUACGCAGCUAUGCUACAAAAAGAUAGAAUACCUGACGAGGAAAGGAAGCACAAAGUAGCCAAUGCCCGCAAAAAGGUCUACUACAACCUCCUCUUUACAAUCCAGACUGGCCAUCCGGAUUUUCUCAGAAAGAUUACCCCAUGAAAACAUGCAUUUUGUAGCAUCAAAAGAAUAGAAUACUCCAUUUUCUCGAUGAUUAACCCAGCCACUAUCUCCAACAAGAAUCUGCAAUGUACUAUCUCUUGUACCAGUUGCAGCAACUGGGCCCUAUUAUAUCCCAACACAUGUCAUAAAUAAAUAAUUCAUUGCAAAUCUAUUUCAGGAAAGUGAUUAAUAAACUAAAGAUAUAUAAAACAAAAUGACUCAGGAAUAAAGUAUUACUGGUAAUUCUGAAAAAAUUUACAUAAAAAACCACCUAGUACAAAGCACUUAUGGUUUGCAUCUUAAUAAGAACUUCCAAUUCAGUCCUGCUUUAACUUAGCCUUCAUUGUCUAGACAUUGAUUGCUUCUAUCUUGGAAGAAGAUGCUAAAACCGGAUUCCAUCCUAGACUGAAUUUAUAUAUUAUAUUAUAAUCAGAGAAUAGUAUCCUUUAACCUCUACAAAUUAUUUGUUAUUUGAAACCUAAGUAUUUCACAUAUUUGAAAAAUUCCAUCAUCAUACUUAUUUUUCACAUACAUUCAAUAUGCACUGUAUAUUCAACAGGAAAGAUUUAAAUAAACCAUGAAUUAGUAAAAAUAAGUAAGAAUCAGAAUGUUGAAUCUUAAGGAAGGGCAAGCAAACACAAAUUAAUGUAUUAAUAAUGAUGCAUGCGUCAUUACCUGGCGAGCUAGACGGUGAGCCUUGAGUGAUUUGGCAACAAUGGGCCAAAGCUCUCCUGCAAUGGAGUCCCACAUGGAAUCCUUAAAAGAACUAAUUGGAAGUAUAAUAAUAUCUCCAAGCCGAUCCCAUCUGGAAGAAUAAAGAAUUAGUACAAAGAACACAACACUAAAGAAAUCACCUACAAGGGGAAAUUCCAAAAAAAUUGCGAAAUGAGCAAGAUUGCAGUAAGUUAGUAAGCACUAAUGGUAUGUUUGUUUUUCUAUUCAAACAUCAUUGAACGAGGGUGUUCCACUUUCCAAGACAAAAAGGUAGGAGUAAUGCAUGUCAUGGAGGACUGAGUUGAGUUCAACUUAAAAAAAUACAACCUCUAACUAGGCACCAUAAAAGCAAUUUUAACAAAAGAAACCUUGUAGGAAGUUCCUCUAGAAGCCGCGUUGGUAGGCCUUUAUGCUUAAUCAAAGAUGUUACUGCUUCGGUCAUCACUUUUAAAGGAGAUUUGGCAGUUUUUCUUUCUUCAACAACCUUGUCUUCAAGAAUAAUUGCACCAUACUCAUGGAGAAUGGUCAAUGCUUCAGAAUAGGAUAACUCAUUUAACAAGUAUUCAUCUUGUUUAAGUGGUUUUGAAAAGGGAACUUCAUUUUUUCCAUUUGAUGCAUCUCGCAAAUGAUGAUUCCUUUCACAAAAUACAGCGAAAAAUUCUUGAUGGACAGGAAAACAGAUAUGUACUCCACCCUCUUCAGAGUGUGCCUUCCUCCCUAAGUCUAACCAUCCAAAUUUCUUCAAUAUAUCCUUUCCCAAUUUUGCAUAUUUCUUUUUCAGUUGCAAAAUAUAAUGCGAUGCAAUCAUCUGACUUUGAUCAUUCAAGCAGGGUAGGUUAUCAUUAAAACAUAAACUUUCAUCUUCAAAUACAUUUGGUCCAAGUUCAAGUUGGGGUUGACAUGAAUUUUUAAUGUUAUUCCCGAUUGUCCCUUCAUCUUGGUUAAUCACAUGUUUGCUUUGAUUUUUGACAGACAUAUGUUCAUCAUGUGAAUGGAUUAUAUGGAGCAAGUUGACUUUUGCAGGCUCACUGAACUUUGUCCCAAAUGCGUAGCAUGAUGCACCACCACCAACUAUGACAAGAUCAUCACCAACAACAUUGGUUGUACUACGCACAAACAAAUCUUUACCUACAGAAUUGAGUGUUACAUGCUUCCAUAGACGAAGCUUCAAAUCAAGUAAAGCCAACUCUUCACAGUGUUGCCUAACAGGACAACCACCAAGAACUCCAAGAUAAUUCUUAUGGACAAAAAUUGAAUGGGAGAAUCUGGCAUGUGGAUUCCUUCCAGUUGUCCUUUCCUUUGUCCAUUGACCCUUCUGAACAUCAAAACUAUACAAAUCCCCAAGUGCUUUCCCACCAUUGUAUCCACCAAACAUGAAAAUCUGAGAAUCAGAUGCCACCAUAGCAUGUGAGUGACGCGCACAUGGCCAGUCACCAGAAACUGGUAUUUCUUUCCAGUGUAAAGUGUUUGUGUCAAAAACAUAAAAGGAAGAAAAGAUAGUAUCAUUAUCAAGACCCCCAAAUACAUAAAUGUCAGAACCCAUGAUAGCUGCAGCAUGACGAUGCCUAUCCAACAUGAAAAUAACUAUGUAUUAGAAAUACAGUGUAAAAAUAAUAUGUACGCUACCCAGUGCCCUAAGGUUAAAAAAUUAAAAGGGGAAAACUCAUUAUUGGGAUACAUAACAAUGCAUUCCUCCAAGUGUUUUAGUGCGCCCUACUACAAUUUCUAAUACCCCCGUAAUUCCUUAACUAGUGCUGGGUACUGGUUAUCAACACCCAAAUAAUAUUACCAAGUCAAUCAACAGCAAGUAAUGUCACUACGCCUUAUGAUAUUGUUACAAUACAAUAUAAAAUUUAAUUAGUAAUUGUAAGCAUUUAUGCACAUGAAUUAAAAUACUGAUCCCAGAAUUUAUCCAACACAUAAAGUGAUCUUAAAAACAAGUGUGCAAUUUUUUUCACUACUGAAAAGUUGCUUCAUCAGUGGGCUUUCUUUUGAGCAGGAACGGGGCUGAAAGGUAUAAUAUAAUAUAACACAAGAAUGCUGUUAAGCCUUACCUGGGAAGAAAUAAAUUGUCACUACAUUGCAGUAACUUCCAAGAAUUCAUUGUUGUAUCUAGGAUCCAUACAUCACUGAGAAUUUUGUCAGGACCAGUCCGACCUCCAAUCACAAACAUGCAAUUUCCAACCAAAGAAGCCGUAUGGCCCAAUCGUGGAGUUGGAGAAGCACAACCAACAGUGCUAACCAUUUCAAGAUUGCCAGAAUAUGGAUCAAGCAGCAACAAAUCAUUUCUUCUGGCAUGUCUCCCCAUGCCCCCAAAGCCACCAAAAAUGAUAACUUUCUUGACACCAGCAUUAUUCAAUCCACAAGCUGAGUGGCCCCAAAGGAAAAGCUUCCCAGCUGGUUCCCCAACAAUAUCAAAAUGGCUAAUUGACACAUCAGAACCAGGAGUACUCACAGACCCUGCCAACCAUUCAAAGAUUCAGACUUUUGAUUGAUAUUAAAAGGAAAGUUGUCCUGCAAUCAGAUACAUACCAAUAUGCAUCAGUACUGAUUUCAUUACUCAGACACAUGCAUUAUGAUAUUCACAAAUCCUGUAAAGUACCAAAUCAACAUUAGAUGCAACAUAGAGCAUCUCCAUUGGACAUAACAUAUGUCGUCAGACUUUCCUCAAAUGUGCCAUAGUAAAAAAAAAAAUUCAGCUCAAACACUUCUUUCACACAGCUUGGACACCCAUCCGACACUUCUUAAGCACGAGUUAGAGUGAAUCAAAAUCAAUACCUAUACUUAGUUAAACACACUUAGACACUCCUAUCAUAAAAAAAUAAGGAAAAAGUCAAUUUAUAUUAGAAAUAUAGCAAGACUCGUAGUAUUCUUUUACGAGACUCGUUUCCAUAGGACAAAACCAGUUGUUUUAACCAUUAACAGAUAUUAUUUUAGUAGUAUUCUAUCAGUGGGGUCAUUAUUAUAUAAAAACUGAAAAGCUUAACAACAAAUUCGCAUUUAGAAUGUGAAUUAUAUAAAUCUUAAUUCCCAAUUUAGUUUUCUGUCACGUUGAUUAUCUAUAUAUAUAUAUAUGAGAGAGAGAGAGAGAGAGAGAGAAUUUGGUUUUAUAAGCAACAAUUCUGAUAUAAGAACUGACAUGUCAAUCACUCCAAUGGAGAAACUACAUAAAAGCUGGUUCUCAAGUUUAAGAAUCUCGUAGGCAACUAACAUUGUAGAUGCUCAACUGCCAAUCCCUCACUACUGCAAAAAUUGACUAAAUUUGACAAUUGAAGAUAACCGUUGACUAAAAUGAAGAAACAUGUUAUACCUUUAGAGGUUUCGGCAUUCCCGUUUCCUAACUGAGAUUCAUCCUCGAGUUCAAGAUGGUUGCAAGCUUCAUUCGUGGGCAACAAACAGUCCCCGUUAUCAGUAAUCAAGGAACAAGUGGACUGUAUAACUUGGAAAAAUCUCUGUGUUCUUUUCCUAUUAGCUUCCAUCUUGUCAUUUGCGACCCGAACGAGAUAACGAAUAUACUCGGGCGUGACCAUGACAGUGCGCGUAUCCCCCAACGGCACCUCCAUGCGAAUGGAGCAGCGAAUGGCGAUGAUGACGCGCUUCUUGGCAUUGGUAAUGCCACUCUCUCUAAAGCCGCAGGAGAUAGCGAGGGAAACGAGGGAGUGAGCGGCGGAGAGGUCUCUGCACUCGAGAGCAAUGAUGAGGGGCUCGAAUCGGAAGACGAGUUCGGAGACGAAGGGGGAGCGAGUUGACUCGGAGGGGAAGAGGAGGGAGAGGACCGAGUCGGGAUCGGCGGGGUCGUGGGAAACGAAGAGCCAGGUGCCGCCUCUGGCUUUCUUUUUAGGGUUUGGAGAUUCGGAGAGGGGUUGGGAGAGGAUGGAGAUUCGGCCGGAGCAUGAACUUGUGGUGAAGUAAGAAGGGUUUUGGUUCAGAGCGUUCACCAGAGGAACGAUAGGUGCAUCUAAGGAGCCCUUCGGGGAUUUGUCUAACUCCGUUGAAAUCAGUGAGGCCAGUGCUGCGGCUUUUCUCUUUUCGAACUCCAUCGUUUUCCUCUCACAACCGUAAACCCACCAAAAACCUCUCCCCAGGAUCAAAACCCACGGGGGCCUUUGUUGGACUCGGGUUAUGGGCUCCUUAACCCAGGGCCCACUCUUGACCCAUGGAUUCAGGCCCAAGUGAAGAAAAAUAUUGGCAGUUUCUUCCUGCACCCCUACAUUUUUCUUCCUGCACCCCUAAAAGGUUGUGCAAAGACAAAACUGUCCCUAUAUAAAACUGUACAUUUAUUUUUUUGCAUUUUGGAUUAUGAAAUCCGGUAAAUUUUUGGAUUGACGCUUCUGGUAAAAUUUUGGAUUGACACGUCCUGUGGUCUCCCGGAUUUGUGCUUCCAAUAGUACAUGAAUGACAGUGUUAAUCUAAAAUAAAAAAAUGCAGAACAUCCAUAAUUGAAAAAACCAUUCCAGAUCUGUCAAUCCGUAAUUCAAAAUAUACAUUCCGGAUUCAGAAAUCCAUAACUGAAAAAAAUCAUUCUAGAUCCACCAAUCCAUAAUAGAAAUUAGGCUUCCAGAUUCAACAAUCUAGAAAUCAACAAUUUAUGCAAACUUUACUUCCAGAACACCCCUCAUCCAAAAAGAAACAUAUUCACUUCCGGAUUGGUGAAUCCAUAGCACACUCCCAGAUGCGGAAUUCAAAUAACAGGUGGAGGUCAUUUUCGAGAUUUACAAAAUUGUGGGGGUGCAGGAAGUAACUGUCAAAAAUAUUUUUCAGUGUUUUUUUAAGCAAGUCAAUAUUUGUGCAAGUCCUAUGCAAAAAAGUUGGACGGUAACAGAACUGCAUUAGAUUAUCCUACCUAGGAGGAGUUAGUGCAAGUCCCAUGAAGAUUCUCCCACGUGGCUUGUUUCAAUUUGUCCUUUUAGUAUGCACGUGUGACCAACUAACUUGUAGAGUGGGUACAAAAUCUAAACCCACACUAAUAAUCACUGCUCUCAAAUCUCUAGUUUUAGAAAAUGGGCAUGCCUUUGCUCUUGAACUGCAAAACGGUUUUCACCAAUGGAAGAACAUGCUUCGGCGCUGGUUUGUUCUCCCCUACCACUGCCCAAACAAACCAAUCAGUUAAGGUAUCUUUUGGAUCACUUCCAAAACUAUGUCCACACUAAUUUUUGCUAACUCACAACAUAUUUUGUUUUUACUACAUGCAUCGAAUAUUCCUAACAAACACAAUGAAUCAUCACAAAUGUUAAUAAUAUCCUACUUUUUCACUGUACGUUUAAAUAUAUUUUUAACGUAAUUCUAAAUAAAAAAUGUUCACUUAAAUAACUUGUUAUCUCUCUUAAAUUUGUGAAUUCUACAUUGUAAUUAAAAAUUAACAACUUUUUUUAUUUUUGUUUUGAUCUUUACUGUUUAUUGACUAAUGUUAAGUGAUAUUAUAUUUGUGAAGUAAUAUACGGGCUGCUUAAUAAGACUAAUAUAUGUUUUUUUGUCUCUAAUAAGUUUUUAGACAUACUUUUUUGUCUUCAAUAGAAUAUAUUUACCACUUUGGUUACCAUGAAGUUUUUUUUUUUUAUAUUAUGUGUGUCUUAUAAUUAUAUAUAUUAAUUGAUGAGUUAAUGAGCAUGUCAACAGCAUAGUAGGAUAAUAAAAAAAUUAAAAUUAUUUUAGUUAAAGGAAAUAAAAUCAAUCGGUAUGAUGGAAAUAGUGUUUUUCCUCUUUAAUUCAAUAGCAAAGUGGGAUAACAAAAAUAUAUUUUUUAAAUUAUUUUAGUUAAAGGAAACAAAAUUAUUCAGUGUGAUGGGAAUACUGUUUUUCCUCUUUAAUUAAGGUUUACAUAUUCAAUUUUUCAAUAUUGGUCAAUCUAAAGAAGAUGAAAAUUAAAUAAAUAUAAGGUUAUUUCUUGUAUUCUUUAUUUUCUUUGUGUUUCAUUCUCAAGUAAGAAAUGUUGAAAGAAAGAAAAGAUACAAAUCUUAAGUGAAGGGAAACAACAAUGUUUGCAUCAUUUUGAUUAAUCUUGUCCUUAAAAAAUCAUUUUCUUAAAACACACGUGUCAAUUAUUAUUGCAGUGUCUCAUACCCUUAUUUUCUUACACUUGAUUACACUAUAAUUAUGGGUUAUUUUAAUAUAUUUAUGCUUUUAUGCAUCUUGGUAAAUAUAACAAAGUUAUUUUUUUCUACAAUUGCAGUGUGAAUUCAAGACUGGUCGACACUCUAUCGGCAUCCAUGCUUGUGCAGGUUUAUUAGCUACUUUUGUUAAAUUUAUUUACAAUUCCUAUGUCAAAUGAUAUAGAUCUUGUUUACCCAUACUCUUCUAGUUUUUAAAAUUUUCUUAAAUAUAAUUGAGCAUUAUUUUUUGGCAGAUUUUUCAAGUAGGAGACAGAAAAAGAUCUUUAUUGCAAUGCCCAAGAGUUAUGGUUUUGAUUCAAAGGGAUUCGUGGUAAUACCAGCUGUUGAAACAAGUAAUUUAGUUGGAAAAGAUGAAAAUGUUUAUAUAGUUCAUAAGCAAGAUAAUGUUGACACUUCCAACAUGGGGAAUGUUGAAUAUUUGAAUGAAAAUCAUGGGAAAAUUAUCACAAUUGUUGAAGAAUCCGAUGUUAAUGGCAGUGAUAAUAAAGUAAUUAAUAGGGAAGUUGUGAUUGGAAGAAUAAAUUAUGAUAAUGAUGACAUAUUAGAUAAAGAAACUUCUCAAUUGUUGAAGUUACAAUUGGAAGAAAGUUUCAAGAGGCAAGAAAUAGUGAGGAUUGCAAAGGAAAAUGUGUCACUCCAUAACAAGUUGUUUGUAUAUCCUCCUGUGGUUAAGCCUGGUCAAGAUAUUGAAGUGUUUCUUAAUAGGAAUCUUUCAACUCUGUGUAAUGAGCCAAAUGUUUUGGUUAAAGGAGCUUUUAAUGAUUGGAGGUGGAAACUUUUCACUGUGAGAUUGAAUAAAACAGACCAACUCAAUGGUGAUUGGUGGUCUUGCAAACUACAUGUUCCAAGAGAAGCCUACAAAGUGGACUUUGUGUUCUUCAAUGGGGAAAAUGUGUAUGACAAUAAUGACAAAAGGGAUUUCUCCAUACCUGUUGAUGGUGGAAUUGAUGCAUCUGAGUUUGAGAAUUUCUUGCUUGAGGAGAAACGUAUAGAAUUAGAAAGACUUGCUAAGGAGGAAGCAGAAAAAGAAGAAGAAGAAAAAAAGAAAAGGAAAAUGGAAUUAGAGAAAGUUGGAAGAGAUGAAGAUAGAUCAAUGGCUAGGGCUGAGGUAGAAAAGAAGAAAAAACUGUUGCAAGAGUUGACAAAAAAUGCAGUAAAAUGUAUUGAGAAUGUUUGGUAUAUGGAACCUAGUGAGUUUAAAGAAAAAAAUUUGGUGAGAUUAUAUUAUAAUAGAAAAUCAGGUCCUCUUGCGAAUGCUCAAGAAGUAUGGCUUCAUGGUGGGCACAAUAAUUGGAAGGACAAAUUAUCAUUGGUUAAAAGGCUUGUCAAAUGUUCAAAAGAUGGUGAUUGGUGGUGUGCUCAUGGUAUGUUCAUUCAUUUAUUUGAAGUUAGUAAUUUAUGAGAUAUGAAACAAAUUGUUUAUAGAAAAUGUGAAUUUACAUGUGGACAUAUAAUUCUUAAACAUAUUUUUUUUCCAUAAAAGAACUAAGAUAAAAAGUGAAUUAUUAUUAUUAUUAUAUAUUUAUUUAUCGAGAUUUAACUUGAAGUAAGCAAUAUUUUUAAAAAUCAAUUACAUUUAAUGCAGUUGUUAUCCUAGAGCAAGCAGUCGUCUUAGAUUGGGUUUUUGCUAAUGGUCCACCUGGAAAUGCAAGUGAGUAUGAUAACAACAAUCAUAAAGACUUUCAUACUAUUGUGACUAAUAAGGGCAUGCCAAACAAAGAGACUUGGAUUUCUGAAGAGGAAAAGAUAUAUAUAAAAUUGCAAGAGAAAAGAAGGUUAAGAGAAGAAGCUGCACUUGUCAAGGUUAGUUUUUUAAAGAGAUGUACACACAAUUUAUACAACAUAAAUUUUUUAUGUUUAUAGUCUACCACAUUAUAUUACACUUCAAAAAAAAAUCUUUUUCUUGUACAAAUUGUUAAUCCAACUAAUAUUUCUAUAUUAAAUGACUUAAGACUAACAAUAUAAAUUCUAACAUUGAAACUUCAUAUAGUCAAACAUAUUUAAUAGAUAAAUAAAAAAUUUCAAUGUAUGAUUAUAUUCCUACUUCUUUACAUAUAAAAAGUUACGUAGAACAUAUUGUGAUGUACUUAUAAUGUAAUUUAUCACAUAUUUGAAGUAUGGUUUUUUUUUUCAUCACGAAUAACAUAUUUAAAUAUUUGCGUUGAAAUUGUAUUCUUAGAUUGAUUCAUAUAAAACUUUGCUUAUCUAAAUUAUAGUCUAAAAAAACAUUAAUAAUAUGUUUUUGCUUUUCAGAAGAAAAAAUUUGAUAAUAUCUCAUUUAUUUUAUACUUGCUCUUAUUUCCAGGUUGAAGAAACAACUAGGUUAAAAGCUGAAAUAAAGAAAAAAACUUUGCAAAGACAUUUACUCUCUCAAAAGCAUAUUGUCUUCACUGAACCUCUUCAUGUUCAAGCAGGGAGUACAAUAACUGUGUUUUAUAAUCCUCGCAACACAAACCUAAAUGGAAAACCAGAUGUUUGGUUUAAACAUUCAUUUAAUCGUUGGACUCAUCGUAAUGGUUUAUUUCCACCUCAAAAAAUGUUGUCUUCAAAGAAUGAUACUUAUGUCAAAGUCUCUGGUGAGUCUCUCAUAUAUAUAUAUAUAUAUAUAUAGUUUAUAUUUGAAAAGAAAAUCUAGUAAUCCAAUUGUUAACAGUAUCAAGGAUUUAACCUCUUUAUUGCUUAAUUGUUUAUUUUGUUAUAACUUAUCAAGAGAGUCUUCUAAAUAUGUUAUUAAUAAUUAUACCAUUAGCAAUAAUUAUGUGUUAUUAAUGGUAUCAUAUUUUUCCCAUUGUGUUUUAUAAAUUUGUAGAUACAAUGUUGAUCACAAACAAAAAGUAAAGUCUUUAUAAAAAUUAUUAUUUAUUGUUUGUAUCAUAAAUCUUGUAUGAGAAUAUUUUUUUUAUUUUAGAAUAUUUUGAAGUUUGAUGAUGGUAAUGUAUUUAUAUAAUCAUUUUGUUGUAGACAUUAAAUUAGUCCAUUUAAUUAUAGUAUUGUGCAUUUAUUCCUUAAAAAGACUUUAUGAUUUUGUGUUUCUACAGUAAAAGUUCCAUUGGAUGCAUACAUGAUAGACUUUGUAUUCUCUGAGAAAAAAGAUGGUGGAAUCUUUGACAAUAAUAAUACAAUGGAUUAUCAUAUACCUGUUUUGGGCAGUACUGUAAAAGAAACACCCAUGCAUAUUGUCCAUAUUGCAGUUGAGAUGGCCCCAAUUGCGAAGGUAAUUACUAUUUCAUUUAUAUUAUCUUAACUUCAUCUACAAGUCCAUACAAAUUUUUAUUUUGAGAAUGACUUUUUUAAAUUACAAAUGAUUUGUUCACCAUUAUUAUUGCAUCUAUAAUAAAAAAAAAUACAAUUUUCAUGGGAUUAUAUUAUCUAGGGAUAUCUUAAUAUGAAGUGCACAUCAAAGUUUUAGUCAUUUUUUCUUUAACUAUUGGAAAACUUGUUUAUAAUAAGUAGGGUGUGAAAAUGUGUAUAAUAGAAAAAUUAAAAUUAACAUUUAGGGAAAAAAUAACAAAAAGUAAUCAUUUACAUUUUUUAUAAUAUUUGAAUUCUAAAAUAUAAUUUGAGAUUUUAGAAGGCAACAUCUUUAAUGAUCAUUAGCAAAUCAUGUUGUGAGUGAUUUUAACGUUUUUUUACAAUUUUAAGUUUGAUAUUAUUUUUUUGGUAGGUUGGAGGCCUUGGUGAUGUUGUUACUAGCCUAUCACGAGCAAUUCAAGAUUUAGAUCAUCGUGUUGAUAUUAUUCUUCCAAAGUAUGAUUGUUUGAACCUUAACAAUGUAAGUUUUUUUUGUUAUUUCUUUGUCACUUAUGUUAUAUCAUCCUACAUUGAAUGAUUAGAGUAUGUUUAAAUAAUGAGUUUUUUUGUCAUUUGUGUUGACAAAAUAUGAUAUUAUAAGAGUUUAUAACUCAACUUCAAUUUGAAACUAGUUGGUAAUCAAAUGAGAAAAACACAAAUAUCAUGAAAUUGUUUUCUUUUUUAACAUGUUUCUUAAUAUUGUUUGUUGAGAAUAAAUAUUGAUGUACUCUUAAAUAUAUAAAUAACUACCAUUGUUGUGUUUUUUAGAAUAUUGGAUUUAAAAUUUGUAUAUUGUGUGAUUGUGUGUUUGUAAUAUUUUUCAAAUAUGUCUCUUAAUGCAGGUAGAAAAUUUUCAAUAUCACAAAAACUAUUUUUGGAAUGGUACUGAAAUAAAAGUAUGGCAUGGAAAGGUGGAAGGUCUCUCUGUAUACUUCUUGGAACCUCAAAAUGAGUAAGAAUUUUGGCUCUUUAACUUUAAAGUUGUUAGGAAACACUUACUUAUAACCAAUGUUUACUCUUUUAGAAGAAAUACUAGUAAAUAGAAACUAAUUUUGUUCGUUCUUUCUCUAUUUAUUUUAACCUUUAUUCUUGUAUUUAUGAAAAAUAUUAAGAAAAAAACAUAAUAGGAGGUUAACAAUUUUUUUGGAUAGAAAAUUGUUAUUAUAAUUUAGGGUUUACUAUUUUUGUAAUUUUCAAUCAUUUAUUUUCUUUAGAGAAUGAAUGUAACUAUAUUUUUAUUUAGAAUUAAAUGAUAGACAUUAAAUUCCUAUUUAAAUUUCCCAGUAUCCACUACUUUGUUUUGUUUAUUAAUAAUUGUUGAUUGUAUAAUGUUUGAAUUGAGCACUCAAAUUAUAUCCACUUUGUGCUUGUUUGUAGUAUUUAUGGUUUAGAGUUUAUGAUACUUAAUAAUUAUGUUUUUUUCACUUUUAUUUACUUUAAGAUGACUUGAAAACAUUUUACUAUUUAUUAAAUUGAAUUAUGUUUAGCAAUAAUUAUAUUUUUUUCUACAGAUUUUUUCGUGUUGGUCGUGUCUAUGGUUGUGCGAAUGAUGCCAAAAGAUUUGGUUUCUUUUGUCAUGCAGCUCUUGAAUAUCUAUUUCAAAAUGGAUUUCAUCCAGUAAGAUCUAUCAUUCAAGUAGUAAUUGUAUUGUCAUUUUUAUAAUCUUCGUUUUACACUUUCUCUGUUGAUGUGAGAGUUAUAUAUUAUUUUUACAACCAUGAUGUGACUUGUCUAUAAAAAUGUAGUUUAAAGUGCAAUAUCUCUAUUUAUGUAUUUGAAUUUAACAUGAUAGAGUAUUAAUGUGACAUUUUAAAAAAAAAUAUUACAAUCUAUAAAUUUUGUAGACAUUUAUGAUCCCUUCUAAUGAAUGAGUGGAAGACACAGAGAGAGUGAGAGAGAGAGAAAUAGACUUAAUUAUUGUUACCCUAAAAGAGGGUUAUCUCUCCAUUGUUUGGAAAAAAUUAGUACAAAAAGGUUACAAACUAGUUAUCUUCCUAAUUUUCGUGAGACUUUUUAUUUAAUGCUUAAGUUUACUGUUUAAAUUAUUUAUAUUUCUUUUUUAAAAUAUUCUUAGAUAAUUAUUCUUAGAUUUCAUUUUUUAUAAUAAAAUAGAAGGAGGAGAGAAUGUCAGUGGAGAGUGGGGCUUUUAAAAAAAAUAUUUUUAAUGAGAUAAUGUUAUUUAUUAAGUAAUUAUUAUAUUUUUAUUUUUAAAAUAUUAGUAAUAAAUAAAAGUAUAUUUUUGUUUAAUAAAGUGUCUAUUUGCCCUUUUUAAGGUUGAGGUAAUUAUCCUAGUGGUUUCAAAUUAAAAAGAAAAAUAAUGUAUAAUGUUGCAAAUUAGGAAAUAAUUAAAAUGCUAGAGGCUUUCUGGAAUCGGAAGACAAUAGGAUCCAUUGGGGAAAAAAAAUCUUAAAAUAAGAAAAUGGAUUACUUGUGAUAUAUGGAUUUGGAAUAAAUAGCAAACUUGCAUAACUAAAGUUGUGAGUUAAUUAGUGUGUGGUGUUUUAAAACAUUUGUCUUUUUAAAAUAUUUUUCACUUCAGUUACUUUUUAAAUUAAUUAUUUAUAAAUGGUUAUGAACAGGAUAUUAUCCAUUGCCAUGAUUGGUCGAGUGCACCAGUUGCAUGGUUAUGCAAAGAACAAUAUACACAUUGUAGUUUAAGCAAAGCAGGGAUUGUGUUCACAAUUCAUAACCUUGAAUUUGGAGCUCAGUUAAUUGGAAAAGCAAUGGCAUACACAAACAUGGCUACAACAGUAAGAGUGCUACUUAAUUAUACACUAAAUUUAUCUAUUUUACCAACUUUGUUGUACAAGUUCAUUCUUUUUAUCAUCAAUAUUCCAUCAUUUAUAUCAGCCAAUAUUUAUUUAUUUAUAAUAUUCACUUAGUUCUUUCAGAGUUUUCUUUUUCUCUUUUUACUGCUAAGGUUGAUGUAUUUUGUUAGCAUAUAAAGUGUAUUUGGUUCAAUGUUGAUUUACUUUCAAAAUAAUUAAACAUUAAAGUAAAAUAUUGUAGGAUUCAAAUUAAGGCGAGUUUGUGCUGAAAAACAAACAUACUUAGUGAUUAUGAUCUUUCUUUUGUAGGAUCAUUGAGAGAUCAUAUAAUAAUUUUUUUUUUAUAUAUUGCUAGUUGAUAUACUUAAGAAAAAGUUGAGUUGGUCAUGAAAUAAAAAAUUGUGAGAAUUAAGCAUAUCACUUUUUUUUAUAUAGAUUUUUAUAAUUUGUAUUCUUAAAAUGUAUUAUAAAAUAAUUCUCUCAUUUAAUCUUGCAUUAUAACAUGAUAUAAAUUUUAAAUUUAAUUAUAGUCCCGAUCAUGAGUAGGAGAAAAAAUUUAUAAGUGAUUUUACGUUUGUACAUUGUUAUGAUAUUGUUCUUUAUCAAUAUAAAUUUUUUAAUAAUGUGCUUUUAUUGACAGGUCUCCCCAACUUAUUCUAGAGAGGUUUAUGAAAAUUCUGCAAUUGCUCCUCAUCGUCACAAGUUUCGGGGUAUUUUAAAUGGAAUUGACCUUGAUAUAUGGGACCCAUUUAACGACAAGUUCAUUCCUGUGAGUAGGCAUUUAUACAUUUUUUCUUUUCUUAUGCACAAAAUUAUAAUUGAAAUAUUCUAACGUUUUACAGAUGUCAUACACAUCUAAAAAUGUUGUUGAAGGUAAAAAAGCUGCCAAGGAAGCCUUGCAACAAAAACUUGGUUUAAGAAAAGUUGAUCUUCCUUUAUUGGGGGUUAUUUCUCGAUUGACUAAUCAAAAAGGAAUUGAUCUCAUAAGGCAUGCUAUAUAUCGCACCCUAGAACGUGGUGGACAGGUUUUAUUACUAUUUAUUUAUUGAAUUGGAUGUUGUCUUUACCAUAAAUGUAUGUUGCUUACAUAAUAACAAAUGUGGAAAAUAUUAUAGAAGAAGCAUGAACAUAAUUAAUUUAAGUUCAUGUAAAAGAGAUAAGCAAUUAAAUAUUACGUUUUCAACAAUAACUUAGAUACAUGUUUUGAUUGUUUAAGAAAAUUAUUGUAGCGGAUGAAUGUUGUCUUUAUCUUAAACAUAACCUCCAUGUUUCCUCCUCGAGAGUAAUAUAGGCUUUAAGUAUGUGCUUGUGAUGCCCAUUAGAAAAAAAAAGUUGUGUUUAUAACAUUGAUUAAACCUAAGGAAAAAUUUCAAAGCAAGGUAAAGCAAGAUAGUUUAGUUUUGUUAUCAAGUUUUCUUCUUCAAUUUGGUACAUGCUUAUAAUUGUUAGUUGUAUUAAGAAAUACAUGUGUGAAGAAUGAAAUAUUUUGAUGCAGGUUGUGUUACUUGGCUCAGCUCCAGACCCUCGUAUCCAAAAUGAAUUUGAAAAUUUGGCUAAUGAGUUGCAUUCUCUUCAUCAUGAUCGUGUUAGACUUUGUCUUAUAUACGACGAGCCUCUAUCACACUUGGUAAUUUAUUGGAAAACAAAAAUCUUUGGUAAUGCAAGAAAUACUUUUAUCACACUUUUUAGUGCACUUUUUUAAAAAGGUUUUACUAUAUGUUGAAAGGUAUGUCCCAAAAUCUAUUUAGUGUCAUCCAUAUGGAUUAUUUUUCCAUUAAUAAAGUGUAUAAGUUGUUAGUAUUCUUGUUGUUAACAUUUGAUAUCUUGUAUGCAUAAGCAUAACAAAUAAUUAUUUUACUCGUUUGAAAUGUUGUUAUAGAUAUAUGCUGGAGCUGAUUUCAUUGGAGUUCCUUCAAUCUUUGAGCCAUGUGGACUAACUCAACUCGUAGCAAUGAGAUAUGGUUCAAUACCUAUUGUUCGAAAGACAGGAGGUUUGUACAUACCUCAUUUUUGUAACUGAGUACUAAAUGAUUCGUUGAUAUGUCACCAAUUUAGUAUAUAUUUAGAAUGUGUUGUAUCUUUUUCAUGUUUAGUUCUUUUUUUGUUGUUAUGGGUUUUAUAAAUGAUUACACAUUUUAUAGAGGUAUUUUUUUUUUUUAUCUUGAUAAUGUAUAUUUUCUAAUUCUCACUUUCCUUAGAACAAUCAUGUUUGGAUGGAUAACUAAAAAAAUAUUUGAUAAACAACACCUACCCCUUUUGACAUAUAUUUUCCAUAAUUGUGUAGGACUAUAUGAUACUGUAUUUGACGUUGAUGAUGAUAAAGAUCGAGCACAUGCAGAAUAUCUUAAACCGAAUGGAUUUAGUUUUGAUGGAGCUAAUGCUCCUGGUGUUGAUUAUGCCCUCAAUAGGUGAGUUAUAUGUUGUGUGCAAUGAUUUAACAUUUGUAUCUAAACAUAAGAAAAUCAAAAUUUCCAAUAAUAGAAACUCCAAAAUUACUAAAUAGUUGGUAAAGUUUGAGAGUAAACUCAUUUUUUUUAUCAAGAUAUAUAUCUUGAAUUGAGUCACUUGUGACUUAAGCUUAAUGUUGAGAUUUUUUUUACAAUUAUGUCAAGCCUUAUUGUAGUAACCUUAAAUAUUUUGAUGUAUAAGAAUCAUAUAUAUUAAUAGUUUGUUUCACCUUAAUAGCUUUGCAUGCACACUUAGUAAUCAAUGAUUUUUAAGUCCUAAAAUUUGUUUUUGCAAUAGUAAUUUAAAAGUUGAUUUUUUUUUCAGGGCAAUAUCAAGAUGGUACGAUGAUCGUGAUUGGUUUAACACUUUAUGCAAGACAGUGAUGGAACAAGAUUGGUCUUGGAAUCGUCCAGCUCUUCAUUAUUUAGAACUUUACCAUGUUGCACGUAAUGCAUCACGUUGCUCUUAAAAAAAUAUGAGAUUUAAUAAAAUAAAAAUUAUGUUUUCUUAUAUCUUUUAUACACAUUUUUUUUGUGUGAUUAUUUAAUUUAAAAACUCUUGAUUUUUUUUUUUUGCAAAUACAGUUUAUUAGAAAAAAAUAAUGAUGAUGUAGAAAACUAUUAAAAAAUGAUUUUCAAAUGGUCCAUGAUUAUUUUUAUCAAGUAAUAAUAAUAAUAAUAAUAAGUUAUUUUAUGAUAAUUUUGUAUUUGUUAAGAAUUUUUUAUCUUAUAAAUUGAAAAGCUCAUGGACAAUAACAUCAAUAACAUUGUAAAGUAGAUAGGCAAAAUAAGAAGAAGAUUUUCCUUAUUCUUAAAAUGUACACACUUUUUUUUUAUCAAUGCUCUUUAAAAAUAUAUUUAGUUUCAAAUGUUUUGUUGAAUUUAGAAAUAAUUAAUUUGAUUAAACAUUUUUGUAAAAGAAUAGAAAAAGAAUAAAAGACACUUAAAUAAUAUUAUGCAUAGAGGUAGGCCUAACUAAAAUAAUUAAUCCAAUAAAAAUACUUACAAUAUUAACAAAUUUUAAAAUUAGAGUUAUAAUUAGAAUAUAUGAGUUUUCGUUCUUACUCAUUCUCUUCUCAAUAUCCGACAUAUAUGAAAUUUAUAUUUUAUCUUCAUUUUGUCGAAUAACAAAUAUAUAUUAUUGAUAUUUGUCCUUAUAUUUAUAUUUGUACUCUUCUAAAUAUUUAUUAAAUAAUUCAUAUUUAUAAUGUAUACUCUUUAUUAUUUAUUAAAAAAAUUAAAAAAUAAAAUUAAAAUAAAGAGAGCAGGAUAGUAUUAAAAUUUCAAAGUCAAAAUGACACAUAUUUUAUUCUCUUGGAUGACAAAUAGUAAUAGCAAAAUUAUAAUUACAUAUAUUUUAAAAUAAGUAUCAAAUAUAUUUAAAAUGUUAUAAUAAUUUAAAAUAAAAAUAAUAUUAAAAAAGAAUAUAUAUACAUACUCAUUUCAUUUUCAAACUCAAUUAAUUUUAAAAAUUGUGUAUUAUUUAUGAUGAAUUUGGAUAUUUCUCAUUAUAAAAAAAUUCACACAAUACCAACAUAUAAGUUUGUAACAUUUGAAUUUAAAGAAAUUAAGAGAUUUUAUAUUAUAUUAAAAGUUAUUUGUUAUAAAGUUAAUUUACUUUUAUUUUCUUCAUUUCCGAUAUCCUAAGUUUAAUACAUGAAGAAAGAAGUCACUGGAGAAUUUCCAAAUAAUAUGCUAAAUUUUAAUCGGAAAGAAAUCAUGACAAAUUUGAGGGAGUGAAUCCUAAACUUAUAUUUUGUUUGGAUUUAAAGAUAGAUUUGAGGGAGUGAAUAAGGUGAAAGUGAAUAGAAAGUGAUGUUGUUUGGAUUGAGAGAAUUAUGAUAAGAAAUGAAGAAAAAGUUUAGGAAAGUUAGUGGAUGAUGUGAUAUGUGUGAUUCAUAAAAUAUUAUUUUUUGAUAAAUAAAAGUGUAAGAUUACAAAUGUAUCCUUAUAGUUAAAAUUAAAUUAAAUUAAAAUAUGAUUAAAUUGUUUUAUGUAUAAACAAAAUAAAAUUUAUGUAAAAAUAUUUUACAAUUUUUUUACAUAUAUAUUUUGUACAAAUAAAAUUCCUAAAUUAUUAAAUUUUUUAAUAAAUAUAUAUCUUAAAUUAUUUAAUAUAAAUACACAAAAAAAUUAAAUUAACAAAAUUCUAAAUAAAUACAAAUUAAAAUUAUUUGAUAUCAGUAUUUAAAUAAAAUAUAAAAUAAAUAAAUUCUUAAAGUAUUUAAAAUCCUAUAUAAAUUUUAAAUAUAAAUGAUUCAUUAUCAAUAUUUAAAUAAAAUAUAAAAUAAAUAAAGAAUGCACAUGGUUGGAAGAAAAAAAUUUAAACUUUUCAGAGUAAAAAAUGUAAAAACAUUUGGUGUAUGUGGAUUUCUUCCACAUUCUCUUCAAAGACACAAAUAUAUUUUUUACUUUUUUACUAAACAAUCAUCAAAUACAAUCACACAUAUAGCGGAAACAAACAGACACUUAGAAAAGUAUUUUGAAAUUUGAGUGAUAUAUAACAAUUAUUCUUGUAAUAUAAUAUUUCAAAAUUUAAAUAAAGUAUUAGAAUAAAUUAAUAUUUUAAUAAAAAAUUGAAAUAUUAGAUAUUAGAAAAAUUAUACAUAAUUGAUAACUAACUUAAAUAGAAUGUGGAAUGAUGAUGAACAUAUCAAUUUUCUAUAGUUAGGUGAGAUGAGAAUGGAAACAUAAUGUCACUAGUAACAUCAACCUCGUCAAACUAAAACAUGUUGUUUCGAUAUGUUUAAUAUAAUGCCGCAUGCAUAUCUUUUUAUAUAAAAACUAAACUCAAACUCAAGUUAAUAUGGUGAAAAUAUAUGGGUGGAAGUACUAGUGAAAAUAUUCAUCCCAGUUUCAUAUUCAUUCGGCCAAAUAACAAAAUAAAACGUUAUUAAAUUAAAUAUGUAAACCUUAAAUGGGUGAUUUGUAAAAGAUACACAAUACAAUAUUAAAGUCUCUAACGGCUAGUCUUGCGAUCAAAAUAUCCAACGGCUCUCAUCCCUUGACCGUUUGAAUUCGUCUACAAAUAUAGCCGUUACCCACAUAUUCUCUUCUCCCAAUCUCUUAAAAAUCUCUGCAAUCGUUUCCUUCUAUUCACUUCGCGUAAUCUUUCGACUAAACUCAGAGCUUUCAUUUCCAUGCCUUCUAACAAACCAUCAUCAAUGCCUUCAAACCCUAAUCCAAGAAGUUCCGAAAUCAGUAACCCUACGAGAAGGAGUUUCACUGGAAACCCCUUCACCAAACCCUCAAUUGUCCCAACUCAUGGAGCCAAAACUCCCGCCAACAGCCCUUUAGGUAUUUCUCUAUCUUUCUUUGUAUUUACAUUUGUAUUUGGCAUGAGAAAGUGUUAACAAAUUAAAGAUUAGGUGUUUGAUGGGUUUAGUGUUUGGUAUUCUGCAGAUUUUUCGAGAAGAGGCUCUGUUGGGGUUCGCGAAAGCGGAGGGUCGUUGAGGGACUCCUUGGAUGACAAAGAAAAUGGAAAAGAUCAAAUUUUGAAACCGGUGAAGGUUCGAUCGCCAGCUGUUUGCUCAAAGGGCUCAAAGAAUUUCAUGUCUCCAACCAUUUCUGCUUCCUGCAAGAUCAACGAGUCUCCCAGAAAGAGAGUCCUAACUGAGCGGAACGAGAUGGUUCCAAGUCCCGUGGACCCGAAAAGCCACGUUCGUAAGGUAACUUUUGCUGAUCCCUUGGAGGAAGGCUCCAGGUCUUCCUUGACUAGUGACGAUUUGAGUGGUGACAGUGAAACUUUGAUGUCAAAGAAUGAUACAGAGUCAUCUUUUGAAACUAUCAAUAGCUUGAAUGUGAAUAAUCUUUUGGUUCCAGAAGAUGACAUUCACACUGAACCAUCGUUUGAAAAUGAGCCUGAUUGUGUUAAUCUUGAUCCUACUUUUAAGCUUAGCCCCACUCCCACUCCUCCUGUUGCAUUGAAAGCUACCGUAGUAGCCCCUCUUGGCGCAGAUCCCUUGAUACCUCCCUAUGACCCUAAAACCAACUACCUCUCCCCUAGACCGCAGUUUCUUCACUACAAACCAAAAUCACGAAUGGAACUCCUCAGGAAAAGGGAAUUAGAGGACAGCUUCAUUUCUGGAAGCUUUUCGGAUUCAGAAAUCACGGAGGAUACCCAAUCUGAAGGCUCGCAGAAGGAAUCCGAUGUUUCUUCGGAUGAAAUUAUUAAGGAAGAAGAGGGCGGCCACAUUUCUGAACCGAGUCAUGCUAAGAAGACUCCCAUGCCAGAAGAAUCUGCUGAAGCAAAAGAGGUUCCAAAACCACGUUUCACAGUGAGAGCGAAGGCUGUUGCUCUGAUCUUGCUUCUUGCAGUUGCUUUUGCAUCGAUCUCAGUCACAGAUUCUCCAGUGAUUGAUCGAACUGCGUUUGAAGACCUCUACAAGGUUUAUGAAUAUUCUGUUUUUACAGUGUUUGCAAGAGCUAACUUUGAUAGGCUCACCCAGUUUGCAGAAACAAAUUUUGAUGAGAUAGCUCAAAAUUUGCAAAUUUGGUUUACCAAGUUGCUGUCAUCAAUAUCCGAUUAUGUUUCGGAUAUUAGAGGUGCACACAAUUUGGCCAAGUUGCAAUAUUAUAACUUGACGGUUCAGCAGGAUUAUUUCAUAGUGAAUCAGUACCCUAUAAUUGGUGGUAGUGAAAAUGAAAUAGGUGAGACUCACGCACCAAUAUGGGACGCUGAAGAAAAUGUUGCUGCCUCAGAUAUUGACAGUGAUGAUAUUGAGGAGGAUAUUUCCGGGGAGAAUUAUGAAGUGCAUGUAGAACAAGUUCAGCAAGAUAUUACAACAGUUGCUGAAGUUGAAAAUGUUUUGCAUGCUCCAGAAUCUGGGGAAGUUUUCGAUAUUGAGGAGGAUAUUUCCGAGGAGCAUUAUGAAGUUCAUGAAGAACAAGUUCAGCAAGAUUUUGCAACAGUAGCUGAAGUAGAAAAUGUUUUGCAUGCUCCAGAAUCUGGGGAAGUUCUCGAUAUGACAGCAUCAGAGCAGCUGGUUGAAUUAGAUAUUGCAACAAUUACUGGAGUUGAAAAUGUUCUGGAUGUUGCAGAAUCCGAGGUAGUACUCAAUAUGGUAGAAUCAGAGCAACUGUUGUCUGAAGCAGGAAACUUAGAAGCAAACUUGGCACAAGAAGCUGAGACUAACUUAAAUGUUGAAAAUCAGCCAAGUUUGAAUUCGGAGGUUUCUGAAAUUGGUAUUGAAGCGUAUCCAAAUCAGGCACAAGAAUCUGAUGUUGCUACCGUGAAUGAUGUAGCAGAGGAAAAAUCAGCAAGCAUAGAUGCUGCCAUCAAAGGGAAUGAAGGGCAAUUAGAAGCAAUUGCCGUUCAUUCACAUGUGGUGCUAUAUUUGCUGCUCUGUGCUGGUACUGUAUUGAUUGCAGGUGCAGGUAUCAACUGGUCUAGGAAGGGUAAAAGCAAAAACAAAAGCUCCUUGAUGCCACCUCCAUCUAAGAACGAGCACAUUUCGCCAGAGAAGUCAUGUGAGCCCUUGGACGUGCUUGAAGAUUCGUCGUGUCCUUCAGAAACGAGUAGCUUUCAGCAAAGCUCGUUCUACAGCGAAAAAGUAGGGAAUGAAGGUCAUAAAGUAGGCCCUGAGAAGAAGCGGAAGAGUAACUACAGGAGAGAAUCAUUGGCCUCUUCUUCAUCAGACUAUUCCAUGGGUUCCCCAUCAUAUGGAAGCUUAACUGUGUACGAGAAAAUUUCAGUGAAGCAGGUAAGUUAUACAUGUAUAUUUUUAGUCUUGUAAAACAUUUAUUAUUUUUUACUUAAGAUUGCAUUAAUAAUGAACUAUUUCUCUUGUUCUUGGUUAUAUUGUUUUUUCAGGGAGAUGAUACGAUGAUUACUCCUGUUAGGCGUUCAAGUAGAAUCAGAAACCAAGUCACUUCUCCUUCGUAGCCGGAUUUUGGGUUAGUGUGUGUUUGGCUUUUAGUUUGCAACAAGGUUGAACUGAAUGGAAAACCAACACAAACCCUUAGUGUUAACGUAGGAUUAGUAACCUUUGCCAACUUGCCCAUUGUAAUCUGACCUGCAUAAGCUGUGUUACUGAAAGCAGAAGUGUCCUAUCUUCUGAAUCUUGACUCUAGCAGAAGAAAUUUAUCUUGACUCUGAUUGUUUAUUAAUUUGUAUUUAUCUAUGACCAACUGCAUUUUCCUUCUUAUUUUGCUUUGGCUUUUGACAUGAGUUGUCCACAUCCACUAAUGUGGUCUCUAUAAAUAGCAUGCGUUGGAAGUGAGAAUGGUGAUGAUGGAAGUUGUCAUUGUCGUAUAUUUGAAGAGCUAAUGCCGAAUAUUGUUUACCCCAUCGGCACUUCAUUAUAUAAAUAAACUCUUCGAAUAAUCCAAUUUCGUUAUGUAUGCAAAAAUAAUUUUACGGGUCCGAAUAAGUUUUUUAUAUAAUACUUCUAAAAUUUGUUUGUAUAGAAAUCGGUAUUAUUCAAUGAUAUCUCAAUUUCAAUACGGAACAAUAUUUUAGACGAAUAAAAAGUUUAUUUAACCCUAAUUUGUGAUACCAAAGGAAUUGAGGGUAUAAUUAUGAAAGGAAGGAGAAUAAUUGUAAACUAAAAAUAAAAUGAGGAUUUGUAUUGUUUUCUCUCUUAUUCUUGGAGAGGGGAAGUUUAAAUUGUCCCCAUUACUUAAUAUUUUUCUCUUGAUUCCAAAAAUUUCUCUUAAGCUAAUCCCACUGUAUUGGACUGAACUCUUUUAAUUUGUGGUCCAAACAGAACAAAGAUCUGAACCCAAUGGUCAAAAAGCUACACUUUUCAAUCUAUUUGAUUCAUACUAUAAUUUUUAUUUUUAUUCUUAAUUAUAUUCUUAGUUCUUCAAAUUUAGAAUAUUUUUUAUUUUUCAAAUUUUAAAAUAUUUAUUUUCAAAAUAAUAAGGCUUAAAAUGAGUUUUUAAAUUAUUUUCAAUAUCUCAUAACUUAACUUUUAAGGACUAACAGCUUGUUAGGCUAAAUUUAAGUUAUUAAAAUUUGCUUUAUUAAUUUUAAAGAAAAUAAUAAUAAUUGGGUUGGGAUCAAUUUCUUCACACAUUUUAAAAAGUUUUUGAUUAAGUUUUUUUUUUUAGAAGUGACAACUAAUUUAUUCUGGAAAUAGAGGAGUUAUAAUUUAUGAAAAAAAGUUGGUCGAGCCUAUAAUAUGAGAUGAGACUCGACAAUGACCUAACUUGCUAAUCAUAUAAGAAAAGGUCUUCACUUUUUGGAAUUCCUUUCCUUUCUCACCACAAAACAAACCACUUCGUGCUCAAAUGACAAAUUCAAUGUUUCUACAAUUUCUCUGUUUAAAAAAGCAUUGCUUUACUAAAAUGGGAAAGAAUAUGUGUCUCACAUUAUCAUUUUAUUUUAAAAAAUGUUCUUUGAGAAAGUCAUCUUAACUUUCGAAAUUUCUCUAUUUUUCCAUAAUUCAUAUUUUAGUAAAACAUUAAUCUCAAACAACUUAGUUGUUGAGUUGUCCACCAUAUUAAGACUUUUUAUGUGACAUGACACUACUACUAUAUCUCUUCUUUUAAGGAUAUAAAAAUAAAAUAUUGUUAAUUCACAAAUAAUGCACACUCUUUUUUAUUAAUUUAAAUAUGUUUUAAUUUAUGUAAAUAUUUUCUUGUCUUGAUUUAGUGUUGUAAAAUAUUUCGCAACUUUUAAAUUCCUAAUAUAUCUUUUAAUUAUUAUUUUAAUAUUUAUAGUUCACUAUAUUUACGUUAGUGCUAAAAUCAAAAUAUCAAUUAAGAUAAGUAAAUUAAUAAAAAAAGUUAAAUCGAGAUUAUUAAAUUAUUAUUAGUGCAUAAUUAAAUUAAGUAAUAUAUUGAAUAUUUUUAUAAAUAAUAUAAUUAAUAUAUAUAUAUAUAUCUUAUAAACAAUAAUUUUAAUAUUAAUGUUGAUUUUCUAAAAUAUUCAUUAUUUUUAAUCAUACAAUACUAUUUAAAGAAAUGAACGGUAUAUACUGAUGGAAGAGGUCCAAGCACAAACCCACAUGCAAGCCCACUAAAGGGUAGAUUUGGGUCAACCCCUAGAGUUAUGGCCAAGAGGAUAUAAAAAGACGUUCUUUUAUAUGUUCAAAUGCAAUAAACUCUAGUAUAGAGUAGACUUUAAUUCUUGUCAAAAUUAGAUUAGGAAUUUUAUUUGUAGUUUUUCCUUAGAUGAAAUUUGGCACCUAAAAACUAACCUUGAUUAAAUUAGGAUUUCUAAAACACCUAAUUUUAACCAAAGCCGGUUAUGUUUAACCAAGGCACAUUUUCCACAUAUUCCAUAUUUAACAUGUGCUAAACGUUUUCCAUCACAUGUUAAAUAUGCUUCAUGUGCUCAAUGUGCUAAGUGUAAAAUAGGCGCCAGUUUCAAUUUCUUUUUCAUUUGAAUUUCUCUCCAACUCUCUUGUUCAAAUCCAGUCCUCACUUGCUAUAUAAUGAGGUGCUUGACUCAUGUAUUUGCAAGAUUAAUAUACUUAGUGAAUUGCUGCCAAAUUGUGUCAAUUUCACUUCUUGCCCAAAACCUCCUAGGUUAGGCUUUUAAUCUUCACAAAUUCCCCCUUUCCAAGUAGAGUUGGCCUCACCACUCUCAAUCCCUACCUCUCAUGCACCUUCAAGGUCACCACCACUCUUAGGAGGACCUUGCUUCAUCUUCAAUCCAUGAUGCUUCCGCCAUUCAACAAAAUCCGAAAACUAUGAAGGCACAUCUCCAUCAUUUGGUAUCUAGAGCCAUGGUCUUCAAGAGCUAAGCGCCUUAUUUCGUUUUAAUUUUUGUGUUCAUCUUGUUUCCGUGUUGUUCUUCAUGAAUCCUUGAUUGUCUUUCUGUUUUUGAGUUUAAUUUUGUGUUAGAUACUGUUUUGGUUCAUUCCAAUCGGUGCAUUCAUGUUCAAUUUGUUCUUGAGCUAUUUUGCAAAUUGUGUAGGAUCCAUAUAGAUUUGUGUUGCUGUUCUAUUUUUAGUUUAUUUGAGUCUUGUUUGCAAUUCUAAUCGGUUCAUAUUGUGUGUCUUGAGUCAUUUUAAUUUUUGAAUCCAAUUGUGUUUUGUCUAGUCAUGUUUCUCCUAAAAUUGUCAUCAAUUCCAUGUAGUGUUGUUUUUGAUAAUUUUGAUUUCUUGAUUUGAUUUGAGUCCAAUUUUAUUAUGAGUUUGUUUGAUCCUUUUGUGCAUUUUUCUUUUUAGAUUUGAGUUCAUAUUUGUGUGCUAGAUCCAUACAAAUUCAUAUACAUCCAUUCCAUUGUGUUUUUGAAGUUUCUUCAAUCUGUUUUUAAUUCUAGAAUUAGGAUUACUCUGUUUUCAAUUCUGUGCUGGCUGUUUUUUUCUUAUGAAAUUAAAAUACGUUGAAGAAAAAAUAUGAAACUCUGGAUUUAUACAGAUUGAAGUAUUAUAAAAACAAGAAAAAAGAAUUAGAUCAAAAGACAAAAUAAAAAAAUGAUAAAUCAAACAAAAAAAAUGUACAUCCUGACGCAAACAGAAACAGUAAUUUGACAAGAAUUUUGAAAAAUUUAUCACAAUUUUUUGGUGUGAUUCCAACGCCAAAAGUUUGCUAAGAUCUUGAAUUGUUUGUGGUUCAAAUUUCAGAUUCAAAUUUCAAAUAGCCAGCUCAACAUUAAUUUUAUAAGUCACGCUUUUUGUACCUAAAAUUUCCAGUAGUACUGUUUUGGUUUUUUUAAUCAAUUCUAGUGCCAUUCUCUAGGUUCAAUUUGUGUGCCACCUUUUGUUGAGUGCCUAUUUGAUUGCUUGUCAAAUUUAUUCAAUAUAUUCCCUCUAGUUGUGUCCUACAAAUUAAUCCAUUUUCUGUAGUCCUAUUUUUAAAUUUUGAAUUGUUCUUUGCUUUAAUUUAUUGACCUCUAAUUGUUGGUGAACAAAAAUUCAAAUUGGUGCUUGUUAAGUUGGAAUUAACCUUGUGGUGAGUCCAUCCCUACUUAGUAGGUACUGUUUUGAAGAUUUUAAUUGGCUAACCAUAAGAGGUUAAGGCAAGGAGCUGCAACAAAUAUAAAUACAAACACCUACAAAUUGUAGAACACAUCAAGGAAGAUCAACCACAAGCCAAGGAGUGCAUAGUUUAGGAAAUCUGAAUUUUAUUUUGUGUAAUUCAAUUUCUUUUGUAUUUCCUUUGAGUUGUUAAUUACAUUUAACUUUGAUUAAUUAGUGGAAUAAUUACGUGUAGACGGUGAUUGUGUCUUCAAUGGCUCCAAGUGUCUAGAAGCCUCACCUUAGGAUUCGUCUAGUUUAAAAGCUUUUUAGUUAGCAAUCUUUAAAUUGUGCUUAGUUAAUUGUUUUGCUUUAAUUACUUGUUUUGUAUUGUUAAUUGCUUUGCAUUGUUUUCUUUGCAUAAAAUUGUGUUUUCAUUUCUACUUGUGAUUUACGUAGUUUACUUAGAAAAAAGGUUUGUGACAAGUUUUGAGGGAUAUGUUUUGGCAAGGAAAGACUUGGUACUUAAGAAGUCCUAGUGACUCACCUCUCUUUCCUGGAAAGCUACCUUCACUACUAUCCUUAUCUUUUUGGGGUAAAAUACUUAUAACACAAAACUUUAACCAUGUCUUUUCAAGCUCGUAAUUCUAAUGAAAGUGAGGGAACAUUUAUCAAAUCUCUUUUGGAAAAAAUUGCACAAGAUGUUCAAGCACUUUCAUAUAGGCAAUUGCAAAUGGUUAACGAAAGAGAUGAAUACAUCAAAUCUAAAAAAAGUUCGCAUGCAUCUAGCUCUAGGGGCAAUGAAUUAUAUGGAGAACAAAGUCUUAAAAAUGAAUACUACCAACCACCCCCUAGGAGAGUUAGAAAGGAAAAGAAAGAAAGCCCAAGAGAGGUUAGGGUAGAUCUACCUCAUUUCCAUGGCAAAGAAAAUGUAGAAAUCUAUUUAGAUUGGGAGAUGAAAGUAGAACAAUUGUUUGCUUGUCAUAAAGUGAUUGAAGAAAACAAAGUACCCUUAGCCACUCUAAGUUUUCAAGGCAAUGCUAUGUAUUGGUGGAUGGCCCUUGAGAGAGAUAGGCGUCUUCAUAAGGAUCCUCCCAUAGAAUAUUGGAAUGAUCUUAGGGGUGCCUUAAGACGCCGCCAUAUUCCUUCAUAUUACAAUAGGGAGUUGAUGGACAAGCUCCAUAGACUCCAACAAAAGACCAUGAGUGUAGAGGAAUAUAAGCAUAAAAUGGAACUAUACAUGAUGAAAGCCUCCAUUAGGGAAUUCGAAUCCAUUACCAUAGCAAGAUUUUUAAGUGGGCUUAACCUUGAGAUUAGAGAUAAAGUUGAACUUUUGCCUUACCAAGACUUGAAUGAUUUGAUUCAACUAUGUAUCAAAGUGGAACAACAAAUUUUGAGGAAAACUUCAAGUCAUAGGGAAAACUCAUACUCUAACUCUUAUCCCAAAGAGGAGUAUAAAAGGGAGGAAAGUGUAUCUAAAGAAAAAUCAAGAGAAACUCCCAAGCAUGUAGGAAAAGAUGUGCUCACUCCACCCACUUGUAGUAGAGAUGAUAAAUGAUUUAAAUGUUAUGGUAGAGAUCAUGUUCAAGCCCAAUGCCCAAACCAAAGAACUAUGUUCUUAAGAGGGGUAGAUGAAUAUAGUAGCCAUGAUGAUGAAACUAGUGGGGGAGAAGAAAAAGAAAAAGAAAAUAGUGAAGUAGCAUAUCCAUGUGAGGGUGAGUUAAUGAUGAUCCAAAGAUCCCUCAACAACCAAUCUAGUGUGAACCUAGAGACACAAAGAGAGAACAUUUUCCAUACAAGAUGUAAAGUUUUUGAAAAUGUUUGUUCUCUCAUUGUGGAUAGUGGCUCUUGCUGCAAUUGUUGUAGCACUAGGAUGGUUGAAAAGCUAAAUCUACAAUUAAUACCUCAUCCUAAACCUUAUAAACUUCAAUGGAUCAAUAAAGAUGGGGAAUUAGUUGUAGAUAACCAAAUGAAAGUCGAGUUGUCUAUGGGAAACUAUAAGACAAAGUUUUAUGUGAUAUAGUUCCCAUGGAAGCUUGUCAUAUUUUGUUGGGUAGACCUUGGCAAUUUGAUAAAAAACCUAUGCACAAUGGUCUUACCAAUGAGAUUACUUUCACUCACAAAGAAAAGAAGUUUAUACUUUAUCCUUUAUCACCUUCACAAGUUGUAGAGGAUAAAGUGCAAAUGAAAAAAAGAGAGAGAAGAAGAAAAAAUAAUAAAAAUAGAAAACCAAGAAAAAGCCCUUAGGGAGAAAAGGGAGUGGGAGAAGAGUGGUCCUUCCCACAAGGUCAUUCAACAAGAAGAAACAAUUAAAAACACAUUUGAAAAUAUGAUUCUUGUUGAACAACCUUCAAGCCUUUUAAAAGGAUCACAUAGAAAUUUUUUUAAAGAGGUUAAUUUAGAACAAGGGAGGCAAAACUUAGAAAAUAAAAUUAUGACAAGUUACCAAAAACAAUAGAAAAACAAGAAGGGCAACUUAAUAAAAUUGAUUUUUAUACAACUGCUCAAACUAACACAUUUGCUUUGUUUGAUGAUUCCCAUAGAUGGACAUUUGAUCCGGGAAGACGAGCAUAGUUGUCAAAGCAAGAGGCUGCUAUCCGAGAUCGACCCUGUAUAUUUGAGGAUAGAUCUUCUCAAGACGGAGGAGAUGAUGGACACCAUCCAACCACAUUCAUCCCCCUAAAAAUGAAGAAGAAGAAGCAUUGAAUUUGAGGACAAAUCCUUUUCAAGAGGGAGGGGAUGAUGGAAGAGGCCCAAGCACAAGCCCACAUGCAAGCCCACCAAAAGGUAGAUUUGGGCCAACCCCUAGAGUUAUGACCAAGAGGAUCCAAGAAGACGUUCUUUUACAUGUUCAAAUGCCAUAAACUCUAGUGUAGAGUAGACUUUAAUUUCUUGUCAAAAUUAGAUUAGGAAUUUUAUUGGUAGUUUUUCCUUAGAUGAAAUUUGGCACCUAAAAACUAACCUUGGUUAAAUUAGGAUUUCUAAAACACCGAAUUUUAACCAAGGUCGGUUAUGUUUAACCAAGGCACAUUUUCCACAUAUUCCAUAUUUAACAUGUGCUAAACGUUUUCCAUCACAUGUUAAAUAUGCUUCAUGUGCUCCAUGUGCUAAGUGUAAAAUAGGUGCCAAUUUCAAUUUCUUUUUCAUUUGAAUUUCCCUCCAAUUCUUUUGUUCAAAUCCAGCCCUCACUUGCUAUAUAAUGAGGUGCUUGGCUCAUGUAUUUGCAAGAUUAAUAUACUUAUUGAAUUGCUGCCAAAUUGUGCCAAUUUCACUUCUUGCCUAAAACCUCCUAGGUUAGGCUUUUAAUCUUCACAAAUUCCCCCUUUCCAAGUAGAGUUGGCCUCACCACUCUCAAUCCCUACCUCUCAUGCACCUUCAAGGUCACCACCGCUCUUAGGAGGACCUUGCUUCAUCUUCAAUCCAUGAUGCUUCCGCCAUUCACCAACAAAAUCCGAAAACUAUGAAGGCACAUCUCCAUCAUAUACAUCUACUUAUCAUUUUAUAUGUAAAAAAAUGGUUAUUAUAAAAAAUACUUUAUAUUUGUAACAUCCAUAUAUUUUUUUCACAUCUAAAAAUCAUAAUCUGCAAUAUAUAUAACUCUUUCGUACUAUGUUUAAAAAAUGUAUCUCUCUUCAUAGAGAUUUUAAAUAUAUACAUAAGAUGAAAACAAAACAUUUUCAUUCUUCGGUUUCCCACUGAGGAGUUCUUUCAUCUGUAACAUCAUCUGCUCCCGUGUAAAUACACGAUCAUCACAUAUUAAAAGAAAAUAAAACACAAUGCAAACAACUGGGUGAACUAGCUAUUUUUUAAAAAUUCAAAUAUAAAUAUAACUUUAAAUAUCAACAUAAAGCCAUCAAUUCUCAUACCUUUUUACAAACCAUCAAGUGUUUAUUAUAGUUCAUAAUUAAUCUUUCUCAUGUCAGACUUAUACCGACUCACUACACAUAGACACUUGACUCUACUUUCGGAACACUCGUGUAUUGAAAUUAGCAUCCAGAGACUUGUACCUGUCAUACUACUUGUUGUGAAAUCUACAAAGUCAUGCGCAUAAUCAUCUCAAUAUCUCAUCAUCUCAUAUGACAAAGUAAAUCCAUUUAAUAUGCUUUGAUCAGUUCUUUCAAACCUCAUUCUUAGUCAAAUGAACCUCCUACGACUCUCAUUAACUGAAUAACUUCAUCUAUAUGAUUCCAAUAUAUCAAUAUAGUCAGAAUCGUCUCAUUCACAGGACACUCACAAACAAAUCAAUACACCCUAAUAACAAUCUCAACACGGUAUUUUCUUUCUUGAAAAUACUAUGUCUUGAUCACACUUUCAUCUCAUUAUAUACAUCAUUUAACACAUCAAUGCACCAUUCAAUCAGAUCAUAUUUUAAACUUUAUAACAAUCCAAAUAUAUCUCAAAAUUCACUUUAAACACAUAACUAAGUUCCUUUAAUCAUAUUUUUAAAUAAAAUUUAGAAUUUCCACUUAAAAACAAUAGGUAAUUGUACUGGCCAGACCUCAGACAUCGGCGUCAGACAUUGACAUCGGACAUCGGUGGUCUGAUCACCAGGAAAUAGGAGGAGCCACCAUCUGCCUUUAAAGUCAACGUUGGCGCCCACCGUGGGGCUCGAUAAAACUAGGUCCCAUUCACAAUCGUGUUGAGAGCCACCAGGCAACAUGAGGAAUACGAGGCAAGGUGCAUCUGCACUAGAAGGGGGAGACAACGUCUCCAUGCAAUAACUCAUGGAGAUCAUUCGCGCUCUCUAGCAAGCGGUGACGACGUCCAAAGUUGACCAAGACAGGAUUCUGGUUGAGGUCCAAGCCGAGCAAGCGGCCAACCAGGACCGAUUCCAGGUUGAUUUGGCUGCGUGACGCGCGAACAAUGAGGAACUACGCAAAGCGAACGAAGAUCUGCACAGAGAUUUGCAACACAUGGGUGAGCGUACAAUUGAUGAGUGAACCCCGCCCAUACCAGUUAGGGCUCGCCCCAUGCUGUUUUUGCAAGCGAUCAUGGACACUGUGAUACCAGUUAAAUAUCUCCCUUGCCUUUAUACGCCAAGGUCAAGAACAUCAUCUUUCUUAUCUUUGUUUGAUAAAGGGUUGGGCUAGGUAAGAGUUCUAGCAAACACCGCCUCUACCUUAAUACGUUGAAGAAGGGUAAGAUCAAACAGGUGGUAAAGAAGCAUGCUACUUAAGUAGGAGUGGGCCUAAAGCGUUAUUAGGCUAAUUCGAUACAAGCAAGAUAACCAACAAUAAACACAAUAAGCAAAUCAAGAGGAAAGCAGAUUUUAUAAAUAGGAAUAUGUAUCAGAUUUAUCAAUUGUUCAUCAAGCUACCAAAUAGUUACAAAGGUGGUUACAAGGGGAAAUCAUCACAAAUCAACAUCCACCAGCUGCCCAUCCGCGAUCUUCUUCGCCAGCCCAGUUUGGGAGAGAUUCACCCCAGGAUGCACACAGGCAACCUGGGCUAUGACAUCUUCAAACCCUGUUGCAUAAGACUCAGCAGCAUCACGAACCAGUUCAUCUUUGGUCUGAAGGAAGUGUUCAUCCUUGCGGACCAACUCUUCCCUCAGCUUGGGAAGCUGCUCCUCUAGUUGGGAUGAUUUCUCCUUGAGUUGUACUGACUCCUCAAGCUUGGCCGAUUUCUCCUGCAACUGGGCCACCUCUUCCUUCAAGCCAACCACUUCAGUCUAGAGAUCCAAGUUCUUGGCAUGAGCCCCAGAGUUUCCUGGGACUUCUCGAACAAGAGCCUCUUGGUCUCUCGAUCGACUUUGCAAAGAUCUGACACCUCUAAGUACAAGGAAGUCUCGCGACGUUUGAGCUCUUUGACUUGAAGAGCGUCCUGGCUAGCUGUUGAUGGCAUUUCAUGUGUUCUUCUUGAAUCAAAGUAGUGAAAGUGAUGCGGAAGCAAUGGGUGAGUGAAACAAAGCCCUCCUAGGAGUUGUGUUGGCUUUGAAGGUGCAUGAUGAGUAUGGGUUUGAGAGGUUCGGCCAGCUCAAGGGAGAAAGGUGAAAGGAUUGAAGUUUAUAGCCUAGAUUUCUAGGAGAAGUAAAGCUAGUGCACAAAAUUGGCAGCAUAACAAUACUCAAUUAAACUUGUCAAAUACAAUGAGUUAGCCUUCCUAUUUAUAGGCGUUUGGGACGUAAAUGAUAAGCUACAUUACAAGGAAAAGAAAACCAAAAUUAAAUCUAAAUUCUAGGGUGCAAUGACCGGCCAUACACAACCCUAGUUUCUAGAAGGUUUCCAUCCAAAAUGCUUCCUACACUAUCCUAUCUACUAAGUACCCCCAAUGGGCCUUUAUGCAAACAUAUACAAAGCCUUCUCUCUUCCAUCUGUGGCCUCAUUUGCUUGUGUUUGAAUAUGUUUGGCCAUUGAUCUUGUAAGGGGACCUAGACGGUCUAGCUCCAAGGGUAGCCUCCCUCCUUCACGUCCUAGACGCUCACCUUCACGUCCUAGACGCUCACCUUCACGUCCUAGACGCUCACCUUGGUCUUGGUCUUGGUCUAGACGCUCUCCUUGGCUUGCUUGGGUAGGUGUGCUUGGCCCUCUUCCAUCAUCUGUCUCCUUCAGCUUCUGCAUCUUAGACAAGGUAAGGUUGGAUGCGACGAGAUAUCCCCAAGGCACAUUGACGCGUGCUUCAGCAGAGGGUCCUUCUCCAUGUUCUCCAGCCUCUCCUGAUCCUGGAAGGAUUGCAGGGCCCGCUGAAGGAAGGUAGACAGGUCAACAAGAGGUGCACCGUGAUCACCCUCUGAAGCAUUCUCCCCCUACCCUCUUGUACCACAAAGUCACGAGGGGAAGAGGCACUGGAAGGGUGCUCCCUAUAGGAAGGGGCACGAUCGUCCGAGCCUGAAGGCGAGGGAAUCACGGCAUCAGCUUUCCGCUUCCUCUUGAAGACGAGGCCUGAGCAGGUGUCCUCGUCUUUAGAAGUAGCGACCUCAGCUACCCCCUUCUGCCUUUGGUCUACGGGGGCUGGGGCAGAAGGGCCUGGAGCAGAGGUGGUAGGGGCAGAGGGGUCAAGAGCAACCUUGAGUUGAAGAGCCACAACAACUAACUGCCUCCUCUUCUCAACAUUAAGCACCAUGCCUACAUAUGAAGACAAAAACACAUAAGAAUCUAAACUAGUAACGCACACAAGUAAAGAGACGCUCAAACAAAGACAGGGGAAAUGGGGAUACCAAUAUAGCCCUUAAUGGAUUUGGGGCUGUACUCGAGCUUGAUCAACUCAACGGUGCUAAACACCCCUCCCAGGCUGGAGAAGAACUCGCACACUUCUUAGUCACGCGGGGUCAGGUCUUCGAGGAACCUAGGUUUCUUGAGCCCAGGUUCUUUCACCCAGUAGAGAGGAUCCCGUCCAACAGGGUGGGGUUGAAUUUGCUGCAACGAAUUUUGAAGAACUUCCCUUUGAAGCCCUUGUAUGAUUGCUGGAAGAAGGACAAUAGUACUCUUCCAGCGACCUCGUUGAAGCUCAUCCACAACUUCUUCCCUGGACUCUUAGCCUCGAAGAAGUACAGAAAGACAUCCACCGAUGACAUAUAGCCAGAGUGGUCGCAUAGAAUAGAGAAGGCCCUGACGAAUGCCCAGUUGUUGGGAUGUAGCUGGGCAGGGGCCAUGUUGACCUCGGUAAGAAGUGCGCGUUCAAAGCCCGUGAAUGGUAGGCGAAGCUUGAGACUAUUGAAGAUGGUGGAGUAUAUGAAGAAGAAGGGACCUUUUGGGUCGACGAUUCAUCAAUGGACACAAGUUUGCUUUUCCUACAAGGCAGGACUUUCACGAACCUGUCAUGCUCCUUCCUGAAAAUACGAGUUUUAUGACUGGUCUCACUCUCCUUAUACGCUGCUAUAUCCUCAAUGGAGGUGAUUUUGGAGGUUUCAGCUAGAAGGCUGUCAGGAGCCCAGUGGUAUAGAGAUUUGUAGUCGAUGGAAGGAGUUGGGUUUUGAGUAGGUUUUGUUGGAGCCAUCUGUAGAAGAAAAGCUAAAGAAGGGGAAGGAAAAAGGAAGAAAAGGGCAGAGUUUAGAGAAAAAAGUUAGUGCGCUUCAGAAACAUUAAAAAAAACCAGAGAGAUGCGAAAACGAAGAACAAAAACCAUAGAGUGCAGAAAACAUAAACAGUCCUAAAACAGUUAAAGCAUGUUAUGAGCAUUGGAAUAGUAAGACUAAGGCGAUUAUGAGAUAAAAGGCAUACCUUGGAGUAAUUGCGAGUUGAAGAGUUGGAGUAAGCGAGGAGAGAAGGCCGAGUAUUCUGAGAAAUGAGGGUUCGAAGAAAUGAGAAGUCUAAGAGAAGUAAUGAAACAGUGAAAAGAGCGUAAAAUUUGAGGGGUUUAAGGUAUCAGAGAAGUGCAAGCAGCAACGAGCCUCGACCGUUGAUCUUGCCACGUGUACGCUGGUGAAAAAGUAUGGUGAGACGUCACGUCAAUGCGUUGUGCACAUCCUGUCACUCGUUCGCCACGUAGGUCGCCCAUGGCGACCACUUAGCCUCUUCGCUAAAACAAGUUACAACUCGAGCUUAAGGGGCUUGUGUACUGGCCAUACCUCGGACAUCAGCGUCAUACAUCAACGUCAGACAUUGACAUCGGACAUCGGUGGUCUGAUCGCAUUAAUAAUGAGUGUUCACCCAGACGUAAGAGGGACCUAAGUCACGGGAGGGUUCAUGCAUGUGGUGUGUAUAAUACGUUCAGGUCUAGCACAAGUAAGUACCCCUUGGGGGCGCUAAGGCUCGUAAGGGUUAGGGUUUCCAAGGAGAGACCACAUGCAUGGCACGUGAAUACUUAGGGCACCCAUAUAACAGAUGGUCCAGCAGCGCUGGUGCAUGAGUUGGUACCCUGGUGGCCAUACUGUUAAGAUUAUGCACUCCAGAAGAGGCAAGUCCUGUGCAGCAGCUGCGCUAAGCUUGUGUAAGGCGUCACAGGAUGCCUCACCAGUAACCCUAAUUCCACUUAAGGAAAGAUCCUCGUGGGAUAGAGAGUUGACCUAGACACAACCUAUAUAAAGGAUGGUAAGAACCCUAGAAAGGUACGUCGUUUCUAAGACUGAAACUGCUUUUACAUACUUUACUGUUUCUUAGCCCAGUACUGACUUGAUCGUCGGAGUGCAAUCAACAGGUAGGCCCCCCUCUAUUUCAACGGAGCCACUCUCGACCACCCAAGGAGAGAGUAGAAACCACCAGGAAAUAGGAGGAGCCACCAUCUGCCUUUGAAGUCAACGACGGCUGAGUCAAUCGAUGAGAACAGUGAUAAUAAACUAGGUUUUCAAAAGCAAAAAUCAAAAUCAAAAUUUUAAGUUUUAAGUUUUAAGUGUUUUUUACAUGCUAGCUUGAGUGAAAGUUUGAUCGCUUGAGCGAGAUUGAACUUGAGAGCACCCAAAAUUUCAUCCCAGGCCUUGCCUGAGUGAGUUUCCUUCUCGCUUGGGCAAAAAUGGACGAGAGCACCCCAUCUUCUUUCCAUUUUAUUCUCGCUUGAGCGAGAAUUAUCUCGCUUAAGUGAGAUUUGUAGAAAAAUAUGCAUAAUGUUUCCUAAUUUCAUCAUUCAGAGUCAAUAAAAAACAAUUUCAAUAACUCAUUCACUUCAAGAGUAACUUGCACUAUAUCAACUAUACAAAUGAACCAAUUUUUCAGAUUCAAACAAACAUCUACCAUAAAUCAUCCAUAUUAAAAUCAACAUAUUCACAUUUUAUUUCAAACAUUACCCUACAUUACUCAUAAACAAUCAAUCCUGCAAUAAAAUUUGAAAUUGGUGAGCACGUCACCCCCACAUCCAGAUCUUCUAACCUAGGAUUCUACUUGAAAUUAAAACUAACUUCCCUUAACUGAGUUAGAACAUGCGCUCACUAAAAGUUCCAAACCUACCAAAAGCUCAAGGGUAGGCCCCAUAAAGUCCUGAUAAAGAAUCUAACUGUAUCACUAGGACCCUGAGCUAACAACGAUUAACCCUGAAGCUAAAAGAGUCACAUGCAUAGCCUGGAAAAAACAAAUCUAACAAGUUCAAAAUGUGACUCAAAGAGAAUAGCAAAAAUAAACUUAUUUUAUCAAAGAUUUCGAUUAAGCAAUAUUGUAGUUUCACUACCACAAGUCUAAUAGCGAAUUUUGAUUGUCAAACAAACUGAGCGAUAAGGUCAGAAUCUUAUAGAGAAGGAAGAGAAAAGAAAAAGAGAAGUUUUAGAGAGAUGAUGUUCUUUUUUUUUAAAUGAAAAUUGAAUAACUGAAUUUUCUAUUUAGAACUCUUUUUGUUUUAAUAAUGAAAUAUUGAGGUGUCAUUUAAAAUAUACCACUCCUACCCCAAGACUAUUUUUCUCGGUCCUUACAAUAUUAGUUUUGAAUUGUAUAAUAUUUGAAAAAGAAAAAGAGUAACUUUUUAAAAAAAUUCAUUUUUAAAAAUUGCUCUACAAAUAAAAUAAUUUUGUGAUGUAUUAAAAAUAAAUUAUAUUACAAUCAUUAAAAACUAUAAUUAGUAAUAACAUAGGUCAUAUAAAGAAAAUAAACUAUAAACACUUAAGUAAAUUAUUUUUUUAAUAAAAUAUAAUAAUAAUAUAAGUAACAUAUUAAAUGAAAACUAAAUAAGAAUAAUACAUGUAACUAUCUUAUUUAUGAAAAAUCAUAAAUACUAGGACUGAGAAAAAUAGUCUUCGAGUAGAAAUGGUACAAUUAAAAUGACACCUGAAUAUUUUAUUAUUAAAGUGAAAAGACUGUAUAAAUAGAAAUUUAGUUAUUCAGAUUUGAUUUUAAAAAGAAUCACCAUCUCUCUAAAAACUCCUUUUUCCUUUCCUCUACCUUCUCUCUAAGAUUCUGACCACCUCGCUCAUCAGUUUGACGAUCGGAGUCUGCCAUCAGAUUCCUAACAGUGAAUACUACAAGACUGCCCGAUCAAAAUCUUUAAUAGAGUAAGUUCAUUUUUUCUCUUCUUUAUGAGUCAAAUUUUGAACUUGUUAGAUUUGUCUUUGGACAGGCUUUGCAUGUGACUCUUUUAGCUUCAACGUUAAUCUCUGUUAGCUCAGGAUCCUAGUGGUAUAGUUAGAUUUUUUACCAGGACUCUGUGGUGCAGGUUAGGCUACCCUUGAGCUUUUGGUAGUUUGAAGCUCUUAGGGAGCAUCUGCUCAAGUUUAGGUAAGGGAAACUAGUAUAAAUUUUCAAUAGAACCCUAUGUUAGAAGAUUUGGAUGUGGGGUGACGUGCUCACCAGUUCAAGUUUUGGUUUGCAAGAUUUAUUGUUUAUGAGUAAUGUGGUACUAUUUGAAAUAAGAUAUGAAAAAUAUUGAUUUUGAUAUAGAUGAUUUAUGGUAGAGGAUUUUGUUUGAAUAUUAAAAAUUUAGUUGGUUUGUAUAGUGGAUUAGUGCAAGUUACUUUUGAAAUGAAUGAGUUGUUGAAAUUGUUUUGUUUGACUCUGAAUGGCGAAAUUUGACAAAAUUAUGCAGAUUUUUCUGCAUAUCUGGCUUAGGCGAGAAAUUCUCGCUAAAAUGGAAAGAAAGAGGUGCUCUUGGCUUGAUUCUCACUCAAACGAGUAAAUUCUCGCUCAAGCGAGACUUGGGAUGAAAUUCUGGGUGCUCUCGGCUUGAUUCUCGCUCAAGCUAGAAUCCCUGAAAAAAAAACUUAAAAUUUUUAUUUUUGCUUUUGAAAGCCUAAUGUAUUAUUGUUUAUUGUUUUAUAUGAAAAUUUAAAAUCUUAUCUAAAGAUAUAAUUAAAGGAACUUAGUUUUGUAUUUUAGUGAAUUUUGAGAUAUAUUUUGAUUGCUUUGAAAAAUCUAAAAUAUGAUGUGAUUGAAUAGUGCAUAGAUGUAUUACAUGAGAUAUGGAAUGAUGUGAAAGUGUAAUCAAGGCAUAAUAUUUUCAGGAAAGGAAAUACUGUGUCGAGAUUGUUUUUAGGGCGUAUUGAUCUAUGAGUAUCCUGUGAAUGAGACGAUCCUAACUCUACUGAUAUAAUAAAAUCACAUAGAUGAAGUUAUUCAGUUGGUGAGAGUAGAAGGAGGUCCAUUUUGUCUGAGUCUGAGACUUGAAAGAACUGAUCUGAGCAGAUGAAAUGGAUUUACCCUGUCAUAUGAGAUGAUGAGACAUUGAGAUGAGUAUGCGCAUGGCUGUGUGGAUUUCAUAGCGAGUAGUAUGACAAGUGCAGGUCUCUAGAUGCUAAGUUCAAUACACGAGUCUUCCAGAAGUAGAGUCAAGUGUCUACGUAUUAUGAGUCAGUAGAAGUCUGACAUGAGAAAUAUGAGUUGUGAAUUUCUUGGAUAAACACUUGAUGGUUAUGUGAAAUGUUGAGAAAUGGUACGAGACUUGAUGAAUUUUGUGUAUUAAUUUGAAAUUGAAAUUAUGUAGAUUUUUUAUAACUAGCUUACCCUUUUGCUUUGUUUUGUGGUUGUUUUCUUUAAUAUGUGAUAAUCGUGUAUUUACACGGGAGCAGAAGAUAUUACAGGUGAUAGAGUUACUCAGUGAGAAGCUGGAUGAUGAAAAUGUUUUUUUCUUUUUAAAAAAAUUUGUUUUAAUUUUAUGUAAACACUUAAAGUCUUAUAAAGAGAGAGAUAUUUUGAAAUAUAUUUUAAGGAAGUAAAAAUAUAUUGAAAUAUUUUUAAGCUAUUUUUAACGCAUUUACCAAUAUAAUUAAUAAUAACAUGGUUAUUUAAAUGUAUUUUUGAAAUGAAACAUCACUCGUAAUUAACCUUUUUGUUUAUGCAGUUUAGUUUAUGAUGCUAUUUCUUCAUAUGUAAGUUAAGGGAUGGAUUAUGCAUAUUUUUGAAAAUAAAAGUUGAUUAUGGAAAAGAUUGGGAUAUAGGAGGGUCUAGUAAGUAGAAGGAAUGAAGUUUAUUGAAAGAUAACAAAGGGAUAUGAAAAUAAUAUUUAUGUGCUUUCACGUCUAAUUCUGAACUUCUUAAGGGUUCUAACACUUUUCUAACAAGAAAUCAAUGCUUUUCAUAUAUGCGAUGUUAAAGUUUGUAUAAAACAGGGAAGUGAAGAUAUGCAAAUAAUAAUGGUUACAAAAUGGAGUCAGAAUAAGCCACAGUUCAUUAUGGUUUUUGUGCCAAGAUAGCUGUCAAUGUUUCCAAAACAGCUAGUUACGAAUCCUGAAUAAUAAAUGUAAAUUAACAUAGAUAUACGUGCAUAUUUGCUAUCUGGCUAUGCUACAGUAUACUAGAAUAUUGCAUCCACUGAAAACUAGUAUGCUGGAUAACAACAUUAUAUAGUGGAGCACACAAAAAACAAAUAAUGCUGUCACUAAAAAAUCUCUUCAUUAAAAUAACCAUGCAUAAACAAUUGGUAAUACAAACUUUUAAACGAUUCACAGAAAAAGAGCUUCUUCAUCUUCACUCAUAAACCAAGAAGAAGACAAAUAGAUAUUUUAUGUUAUCCAUAUACAACUGGAAUCGUGAUUUAAGUAUGAUCACAAUUUGCACUGCAUUAUUCAUUCACGCAAGGCAGGGGUAAAAAGGUGGAAGAUAAAUACUAUGUCUACAACUAGAAGGUGGUGGUGAUGGAGCGAGUCACAGCAUAGUUGAAGGCAUUGUUAUUAGUCAGGGAAAACUGGCUACAUAUCUCAAUGUUGUAGUAACACCCAAUGGAAUGGCUUUUACUAACAACUGCUAUACUUGGUGGGAGGAAGCACCAUCUCCAAGGCAAUUAAUAAAGGGUGCUUAGGCUCACACUUUCAAGUUUCACACUUAAUUAGAAGAGCUCAACCAAUUGAAGACCCUUUUGUUGUUUUGUUUUGUUUAGUUUUUCUUUUUCUUUUUCUUUUCUCUCUUACUGGCGAAUGAGUUACUACUACGUAAGGGAGUUGAGGAUAAGGUUGCAGAUCCUUGAGGUACCUUCAAGCCAAUCGUGCAUCACCACCUCUCCCAAUCAGGAUGCAGCCUUUCAGAACUUUACAAAGAUAUUGAAAAAACAAAACCCAUUUAAGUUCCUGUUUCUGCAUACAUACAUAAAUACAUUACAUAGCUGAUAACAUACAUAGCGUGCACUGCUUCUGCAACAACUGAGUGAUAAAUUAGGCAGGCAGCACCUCAGGGUGCGUUUAAUUCUUUUCACCUCUUCUUAAUAGUGCUGUGCUGCUAUUGAUAUGAUGGGACUUUAUCUUUGGGUUUUGAUCGAUGCCGCUAUCCUCAUGUCCUUCAUCUGUGCUCUUUUGGACUUUUGCAAUUAACCAGGGGAGAGAGAUAUCAACUCAGACUCACUUCAAGACCCAUCAUUUUCUUUCUGCCUUCUUUAAUAUCCAUAUGAGGUUUUUCACUUAUGGGCCAAAACUAUAAUAAUACAACCCUUUUUUCGUGUUUGUGUGUGAGGUGUUGUUGUACACAUUUGCUGCUUUCUUGUCUUUUUCUGCCCCUUUGUCUUUUUUCAGGUCCCAUUCUGUGAGUGAGUCUGCCCUCUUGAAACCUGUGAUUUCCCUUGGAGCCAUUAGGGUCCGGGGAAGAAUUUUCAAGCCUUUCUUCCUUUUUCAUGUGUGGUUUUUAAAAGGGUGUAUCAGGUUCCCGUUUGAGAAAUUUUUUCAAAAGCCUUUCCUUUUUGGAGGUUAUUGAAACAAGGACAACGUAGAUUCUUGACAGUAUUCUCUUCUCUUACACCUUUCUGCUUUUUAAUUCCCAAUGAAAGGGAAAAAAAUAUAUAUUUUAUCUUAUUGGUGGGUAACCAUGAUCACAUUUGGGUGAAAAAAAAGUUUCUACACAUCUGUGUCUAUAUAUACUGAAAUAGAUAACUGUGUUAUCUAUCACAGUAUCACUCCCUCUUACCUCAAUACACUUCCCUUGUUUUGUUUCCUCACAAGCACCCUUAUCUGUAUUUGCAGGCAGCAGAAGAGAUUGCAGAACUAAUAGAAAGCAAUGGCAGAUUGGAGUGGUUUUCUGAACAAAAGCAGCGGUUUUGGUGGGGGAUCAAUGAGGAAUGAAGAUUUUGACGAAGAAGAUGUGUGGGGGGGUGUGACCAUGGAGAGGGAGAGGGACUAUAUGUGCCCAGAAAGGGGGGUAUCUAAGGAGUCCUCCGAUUCUUCUUCUGCAUGGUGCAUGCCAACCUCUCCAAGAAAGAUCCCAAGGACUAAUAAUGUCACACUACACUCCUUGGAAUCUGAUUCAAAUGUGGUUCAAAGAUCCUCAGCACCUAUGGACAUUCCUGAUUGGUCUAAAAUUUAUGGGAAAAAGGGUGUUGAGGAGGAGGGUGUAAACAAGAAGUUUGAUUUUGGUUAUGGGGAUCAUCAUCACUAUCUUGAUGAUUAUGGCGACAAUGAUGAUGAUGAUGAGCAGGAUGAUAUGAUUCCUCCUCAUCAAUGGAUUUCUAGGAAACUUGCAAGGAGCCAGAUUUCCUCUUUCUCUGUGUGUGAAGGGAUAGGGAGAACACUGAAAGGGAGAGAUCUUAGCAAAGUGAGAAAUGCUAUUUUGACCAAAACAGGUUUCAUAGAAUAGUUGGUGGAUUCAGCACUAUGAAUCAUGGUCAUGUCAUCAUCAGCUUCAUGUUUGGCAUGACCACAACCAAGUCAUCAGCAUUGUCUUACUAGGAUCCCAUGCAAUCUUCUUUUAUGUGUUUGAUUAUUGGCACUCAUGUAUGGUAUGUGAGGUCCUGCUGCUGUGGAACUCACUCGUGAUAGAGCCUGUACGUGAAAGCCAGAGGUGUCCUUUUUGUUUUGUUUUGUUUUUAUUUUAUUUUAUUUUGUUUUCUUGUUCUAAAUUUUCUGGGAAAAGGAAGUUUUAGGGAAAGGAAAAAGGAGGAGUGGCAGCCUCUGAAAUUUUGUCUGAAUCUGUAUUGGACUGAGGCCAGUGGAGUACACUCUCUGUUGUUACUGAGUUUAAUACUCUUCAAGUUUUCACUUCUGCUUGGUUCAUCAUUAGUUAACUAUUAAUGAUUUAGACUAAUAUUUUCUCUUCUCCUCAUUCUUGCAUGAUCUCUAUUACUAUUUUGUUUAUACUCUAUCAUUGUCAUCUUCAUUCAGCUACAAUCCCCACAUCUCUGUACUUAUUGUAAAACCAUGGUUUGCAUAUUCAACUCAUCAUUGCUUUGGAACCUAAUUUAAGCCUUCAGUACAAGUAAACCAAAACCACCCACCACAACAACAUUUUUUUUUAAUUGUUACAUAAAGUUUACUUUUUCUAUUUCUUUAAAACAAAGUUUAAUCACCUAUUUUGUUUCUAAGAUUUGAAAUUAUUUUUUUUCAAACUUUCAAAAAUUAUUUCUUUUAAAAUAAAAAAAAUGUACAUUUUUUUUCCAAAUAUUGAACUUAAAAGAUAAAAGUAUUUUUUUAGUAUUGUUUUUAGGUCAGUUCUUCAAUAAAUUUCACAGGUUAAACUCAAAUGUUUUUAUAAAUUGAAAAUAUUUUUUGAAAAUUUUAAAAGGUAAUUAUAAUUUUUCAUAUUUCAAUUUUUAGAAAUUAAAAAUAUAACUAAACAUUUUUUUUUUAAAUGGCGAACAUGACAUCGUUUCCAUCAGAGAUGCAGGGACCACCAUUAAUAUAUAUGUUGCAAGUUAUGAAAGGUGAGAAUGAUGGUUGCAAGGAGUGUUUGAACCACUAAAAGAUAAAGUUGCAUUCUUCUUUUUUCUUUCGAAAUCUUUCUGAUAGAAUAUUAAGUGUAUUUGGAUAAACUUAAAAAGUGACUUUGUAGUCUUUUUUUAUGUUAGGUAAGAAAUUGAAAGCUUUAUUGUUUAUUUAAAUAUCUUGUUACCUGAAAAAUGCUUUUAAAAAAUGCUAAAAAAACUCAAUAAACCAGUCGAAAGUGUUCUUGGAGAUCUUGGUGACUUGUGCCUUCAAUGAUAAAUUGGGAAAGAAAAUUUUCAUUCAUUUAUAGUUUGUAAUAUUCUAUGCAAAAUAAUUCAAUCAUCCAUAAUUCCAAGUUGAAAAAAAAAAUAUUAACACAAUUUUGUUUUAUUAUGACUAUUACUUGACAUAUCCAUGAGUUACGAAAAUAAAAUUUACUGACAAUGUUAUUAAAAUAAGAUAUAUAUAAAGUAGACUCAUUAAAAUCGUUUUUGUUUUUUUCAUGAAUUUAUUCCAAUUUUACCCUUAUUUACUAUAUCUCAUUUUAUUAGUACAAUGAAAUAUUUUGUUAUUUUUAUAUAUGAAUUACUUCAAAAAUAAAAUUAUUUUUUAAUUUAAUAUUAAUGUACCGUUUUUAUACGCAAACUGACUCCCUCACUCUUUUCUUAAUUCCUCAUUUUAAGGCAAAAAUAAGAGGAAAGAGAGAGCAUACUCUCAUACUUUUUCAUACCAAAUCUCACAUAUCAAAUAAAAUAAUCUUCAUUUCCAAUCACUAUCUUCACUCCAAAACCAUUAUUCUUUUGUAUCUACCAUCAAGUCAAUCCUAACUUUAACGUGAACAUUAUCACACCCUUCGAUUCCAAAACUAUCAAUGGAAGAAGAGAAAAAACUUGAAGAAGAAGAAGAGAGACUCAAUCUGGAGAAGAAGAAAAAAAAAGGUUGUUUAAUCAAUUCAUCAUUUUUCUUUUACAUGUUAUUUUUUGUUUUUCAUUUUUGACUCAUUCAAAAUUACUUCUAUAUAUAUGUUAAAUUUCUAUCAUCGUGAAAGUUGAGUAAAAGAGGAAAAUGCAGAUACACAGGCGCAGUUGCACUUGUGUUUCCACUAGUUAAGAUAAGACGAAUACGCAUCACAACCCUUUUUUAGUUUUUAUAAUAAAAUAGGAAAAUGUUUUUGUUAAAGGCAACUCUUUUACUCAGGUUGGGCCGUCACUGGCUCGUUUUCUCUUUCUGUUAUUUUUUGUUUUAGACACUGCUUUUUCUAUAUAUGCACGUACUUAUUUACUAUUUUACACACCGAAUGCAAUUUAAUUUCUCACAGUUAUUUGACUCCCUUGUACGUUUUCUCCUCUCUUUAUUAUGAUCUUAUGAUCUUUUUCUGUUAAUAGGGUUCACUGCUCCUUUUGUCUCACACACUCAGAGUGUUUCUAUUAGCUUGAUUCUUGCACUCAUGAACUCUAUUAUGGUAUCAAAGCUCUUCAUCCGAUAAAGAGCUCUACUACGUCCCUUUGAUAUCUUCUUCUUGUGUUCCUUUUCUUUAUCUAUUUUUCAUUUUUCUUUCUUUCUUCGUGCAUCUUGAUCAUUUCUGGGUCGUUUUGUUUUUCUUUUUGCAGAUAAUGGCUAACAAUAAUGCUACUUCGUCCACGCAAUCAGAACAACUUGUAAGUAGCUACUUGUAUCUGCACCCUAGUGAGAAUCUCAUCGCAUCCCUGGUUUCCCUAUUUCUUGAUUAAGCCAACUACCAUUCUUGGAGCCGUUCAAUCAUCAUUGCUCUUAGUGCCAUGAACAAAGUUGAAUUCAUCCUUGGAACCCAUCCUUGUCCACCAAAGAAUAACCCUACCUUUUCGACAUGGUCGCGUUGCAAUAACAUGGUGGCUACCUGGUUAGUUCAUUCCAUUUCUCUCCCAAUUAGGCAAAGUAUAAUCUGGAAUGAUUUGAAAACUAGAUAUUCUCAGGGUGAUUUAUCUCGCAUUUUCGAUUUACAAUUAGAAGUUGCGUCUUUAAACCAAGAUGAUCUUUUUGCGACUGAUUAUUUUACUAAAUUGCGCAUCAUUUGGGAUGAAUUGGAAAAUUUUAGACCUAAUCCUCUCUACUGCUUUGUUAAAUGUUCUUGUUAUGUUCAAUUUGUUAUAAAUCAAAGAAAGUGUGAAAAUCGUGCUAUGUAGUUUCUUAAGGGUUUGAAUGAUCAAUACAGUAAUAUUCGAUCACAUGUCUUGCUUAUGCAACUCAUUCCCCCAAUACCAAAAAAAUUUCUCUCUAAUUGUACAACAAGAACGUCAGUUGUCCACUGUUUUACCUCUUACAAAUAUCCAUAAUGCUAAUGUUAGUCGUACUGCUGUGCCCAAUAACUUGCUGUGUGGUUUUUGUGGGAAAUAUGGCGAUAAUGAGACUAUUUGAUUUAGAAAGGUUGGUUUCCCUACUACUGAUACUAGGAAUUCUAGACUCACAUCUGAUAGAAAAUUUUGCACUUACUAUAAAAGAAUUGGCCACACCAAUGACACCUGCUACAAGAAAUAUGGCUUCCCCCUGAAUACAGACCCCAAAACCCAACCCGUACCACUCAGAUUCACAACUUAGUUACUACUGAUGAUGUUUCUCUUAAGCAUGUUUCUAAAGAACAGGAUGUCAAAGAUAUUCAACUCACAUCUCAAUAAUAUCAAUUCUUGACUGACAUACUGCGCCAAAAUAAUUUUGCUGCUCCUUCAUCUCAAGGCUAGAUCAACCAAGUUGGAACUUUCUCUAUUUAUGCCCUCAAACCAAAUGACUAGUCUCCAACGGGUAACUCUUUCUCCUUUAUACCUGAUAUUCAUAAUUCGUGGAUCCUUGAUUCAGGUGCCAUUGACCAUGUAUGCACUGAUCUCUUUGUUUUCACACAUUACACAAAAAUUACCCUUGUUUUAAUUAAUCUCCCUACUAGCCAAACUGUUUUUGCAAAUUAUUCUGGUUUAGUAAAGUUUUCUGACAAGUUUUAUCUCCUUGAUGUGUUAUACAUGCUUCAAUUCAAAUUAUGCCUUUUUUAACCUCUAAAUUAUCUCUACAACUUAGAUGAACUUUAACUUUCACUUCUACUCAAUGCAUAAUACAGGACAAUCUAUUGCUGGCUUGCAUCUCUUCAGUUCUUUUUUCGUUCUUUCACGCACUACACCACAAAAUUUUGUUCCUUAUAUUAAUUGCAAUGUUAUGGACAAACACUUGUAGCAUUAUAGAAUGAGACACCCUUCUCAUGAAAGAUUAACUGUCUUGAGUCGUCAAUAUCCCUUUAUAAAUGUUGACAAACUGCACUUGUGUGAUACACGUAAUCGUGCCAAACAAAAGAAAUUACCUUUUACUUUAAGUACCUCUGCUACUACUACCAUCUUUGAUAUUCUAUAUUUUGAUAUAUGGGGACCUUGUCCCAUUACAUUUAUGCAAGUUUUUAAAUAUUUCUUGAUUGUUGUGGAUGAUUAUGUAAAACAUGGAAGCUUUGAUGAACCAAAUUUGUGAUGAAGGCUAGAUGCUUUGCU
rnacentral:lncRNA from 1 species